UUUGCAGUUCUUCAAAUUCAACGCAACAAGUCCACUUUGUUCCCCAAUUGAUUGGGGAAGCUCUUCAACAGCAGUCUCAUUUAAAUUUAAAUAUGUCAGUUUCCCUGCAGUCUCUGGGCACUUCUUGAGAUUUGAACAACCAGAAAGGUUAAGACUCUUCAGACAUCUUGAAUUAAUUCUACUGGGAAGAUUGAUUAGGCUUGUGCAGCCUCUCAAAUCUAAAUCAUUAAGCUUGUCCAGAUGCUGUAUAGAUAAAGGAACCUUAACCAAACUUGUACAGAAUUGAAGAUUCAGUCUCUCAAGGUUUCUGGACUUUGAAAGGUCUGGCAGGGAAGUUAUGUGCUCACAAUUGCUGAGGUUGACAUCUUUUAAAUUGACGAGAUUCUGAAGCAAAAUGAAAUCAACAGAAAGAAAUUACAGUUCAUACCACACUUAAUUUCAAAGCAAGAACUACGCAUGCAUAGAUUUCUUUUAAAAUACCUGGUCUCCUCUCCACAGUUGCUUAACCUUGCUAGAUGAUAGGUUAAGUUCAACAAGGUUCUGUGGAUGAAAAUCGCGAGGCAAAGAUGUCAAAGGGUAUCCAUCCCAAUGGAGAUACCUCAACUCUUCAGAAAGAGACUCGAGGCCAUGAGGAAGGUGCACUCUGCAUUUAUCUCCAGUUUCAGAAUUAUAAAUUUUUAGCAGUCUAAGUUUAUACAUCCUUGCGAAGGCUGUAGAACUCAACUCAAUUUCUCUUAUUUUUGAAACAUCCAAGAAUAUCCCUUCAACUUUUCCAGUUCCCUGAAAACCAGUGAAGGUGAAAGCAAGUUUGAAGUAAGAUUUUAAACUUACUAGUAAAACCAUAUUGCAUUGCAUAUGAAAAGGAAAACUUUAGUGUAUAUGAAUCUCACCAGGUCAAAACUUUAGGACUCCACAAUCUGCUCUGUCUUCCUAGCUCGUCAGAGAUUCUUUUCGAACAACUUCAUGGGCCAUUUCUUGCAAAGAUCAUGCAUUUCAACCUUGUCAUCUGAAAUUUUAAUGAGACACCUGUCAAAAACACUAAAUCCAAUAUCUGUUUUGAAACCGCAGCCAUCUAGUAUCCGCUUUACAAAAUCAACUCGAUGCCCUCUAAAGAAACAUGCAAUGUCAAGAAAUAUACUCUUCUCUUCACUAUCAAGUGCUUCAUAACUUAUUCUCAACACACUAUGAACUUUUUGCCGUGUUAGUUUUUCAUCCUUGUUCAAUGCACUUUCCCAUUCUUUUGUCGUUCUGCCAAAUAGAAACGACCCUAAGACUUUAAGAGCUAAUGGAUUCCCUUUAGCGUAAUUUAUUGCCCUCACAGACAGCUCCAUAUAAUUGUAUGGGAGCUGGUUAUCCUUAAAUGCAUGCAAACUAAAGAGAUGAAGGGCUUCCCGGUAAUUCAGUCCCUCAACCUCAAAUAUUUUGUCUGCAUAUUUCUUAAGGACCUGUUUAUCUCUAGAUGUUAGGAUAAUUCUACUUCCUGGACCAAAAUCACAUCCUCCAUGUAACAUUUCAAUUUGAUCUACAUCAUUCACAUCAUCGAAAACAAUCAGAAUCUUUUUACGGCAGAUCCUGUCUUUUGUUAAAUAAUAUUUAUGUUGUCUUAUUUAUUAAGGGUAGAAUAGUACUUUCAGUUUAACCUAUAUAUACUUUAUUUGUAAUUAGGUUAAGUUAAUGCAUUCAUAAUAUACAGAUUAUUCAGAAUUCUAGCCUCCUUUUUGUGUUUGAUCUCAAUAACUUUAACAUGGUAUCAGAGCUGAUUUUAUGAAACGAAGCUUAAUCCCAAAUACAGCUUCGCGGAUCCAACUUCUGCAAAGGUUAAUUUUUUUUUUGAGUGAUAUUUUGUCUUCCGCUUCUGCAAAAUUAGGUAUUUCGACAGUCUCUGCAAUUAUUUUGGUAUUUCGACAGUUUCUGCAAUUAUUUUGGUAUUUCGUCUUCCCUUCAGCUUCUGCAAUUUGGUAUCUGCGUUCAGUUUUUGCAAAUUUGUUUUGUGUUUUGGGAGUAAUCGUAUAAUUUCGAGAAGAUAUUUGUUUAGUUUCUGCAAUUGAGUAUUUUGUCUUCCGCUGCUUUUGCAUUCUGGUUAUCUGUGAUUGUUGAUUAUGGCUACUGAAAGAGAUGAUUCGCUUCAGUCUGUGAGUGUGAGGUUGGAUGGGAAGAACUAUUCAUAUUGGAGUUAUGUAAUGAGAAAUUUCCUUAAGGGUAAGAAGAUGUGGGGGUAUGUUAGUGGAACUUAUGUGAUACCUAAGAAUAUUGAGGAGGGGGAUGCUGGUUUGAUAGAUACAUGGGAAGCAAAUAAUGCAAAGAUCAUUACUUGGAUCAACAAUUCUGUUGAGCAUUCAAUAGGUACGCAGUUGGCGAAAUAUGAGACAGCAAAAGAGGUUUGGGAUCAUCUGCAAAGGUUAUUCACACAAUCAAAUUUUGCAAAACAGUAUCAAUUAGAGAAUGACAUACGAGCUCUUCAUCAGAAGAAUAUGAGUAUUCAAGAGUUUUAUUCUGCUAUGACAGAUCUUUGGGAUCAAUUGGCUCUUACAGAAUCGACAGAAUUAAAGGCAUGUGGUGCCUAUAUUGAGCGUAGAGAGCAGCAAAGAUUGGUACAGUUUUUAACAGCACUUCGCAGUGAUUUCGAAGGACUUAGAGGUUCAAUUCUGCAUCGUUCUCCACUGCCUUCUGUUGACUCUGUUGUCAGUGAGUUAUUGGCUGAAGAAAUACGUUUUCAGUCUUAUUCUGAAAAAGGAAUUCUUUCUGCUUCAAAUCCUUCUGUACUAGCAGUACCUUCUAGGUCAUUCUCUAAUCAUCAGAAUAAGUCUCACACAAGGGUUGGCUUCGAUGAGUGCAGCUUCUGUAAGCAGAAAGGUCAUUGGAAGGCUCAGUGUCCUAAGUUGAGACAUCAGAAUCAAGCUUGGAAGCCUGGCAAUCAGUCACAAUCUAAUGCUCAUAGACCACCUCAGGGUUAUAAACCACAACACCACAAUACUGCAGCAGUAGCUUCCUCGAGUUCUAUUACCGAUCCUAAUAUUUUGGCUGAGCAAUUUCAGAAGUUUCUCUCCUUGCAGCCACAAGCAAUGUCCGCUUCUUCUUCCAUAGGUCAGUUGCCUCAUAGUUCCUCAGGUAUGUCACAUUCUGAAUGGGUCUUGGAUUCUGGUGCUUCUCAUCAUAUGUCUCCAGAUUCCUCAUCUUUUACCUCUGUAUCCCCUUUGUCCUCCAUUCCUGUUAUGACUGCUGAUGGCACUCAAAUGCCCUUAGCAGGUGUUGGUUCUGUUGUCACACCUCACAUGUCUCUCCCUAAUGUUUAUCUUAUUCCACAACUCAAAUUGAAUCUUGCGUCUGUUGGUCAAAUAUGUGAUUCUGGUGAUUAUUUAGUCAUGUUUUCUGGUUCCUUUUGUUGUAUACAGGAUCUGCAGUCUCAGAAGCUGAUUGGGACAGGCCGUAGGGAGAAUGGACUAUAUAUUUUGGAUGAGUUAAAAGUGCCAGUUGCUGCUGCUGCCGCUGCUGCUACUACAGUUGAUUUGUCUUCCUUUCGUUUGAGUAUUUCAUCUUCUAGUUUUUAUUUAUGGCAUUCCCGUCUAGGUCAUGUUUCGUCUUCUCGUUUGAGAUUUUUGGCAUCCACAGGAGCUUUAGGAAAUUUGAAAACUUGUGACAUUUCUGAUUGUAGUGGAUGUAAAUUGGCAAAAUUUUCCGCCUUACCUUUUAAUCGAAGUAUUUCUGUUUCUUCUUCACCAUUUGAUUUGAUUCAUUCUGAUGUAUGGGGACCUUCUCCUGUUGCCACAAAAGGAGGGUCUCGAUAUUAUGUCUCUUUUAUUGAUGAUCAUACUCGUUAUUGUUGGUUUAUUUAAUGAAACAUCGUUCUGAAUUCUUUGAGAUAUAUGCAGCUUUUCGAGCUCUUAUCAAAACUCAAUAUUCUACUGUGAUCAAAUGCUUUAGGUGUGAUUUAGGUGGGGAAUACACUUCUAAUAAAUUUUGCCAAUUGCUUGCCCUAGAUGGAACCAUCCACCAAACUUCAUGUACAGAUACUCCUGAGCAAAAUGGUGUUGCUGAAAGAAAACAUAGGCACAUUGUCGAAACUGCUCGUUCUCUCUUGUUGUCUGCUUUUGUUCCUAGUGAGUUUUGGGGAGAAGCUGUUCUUACUGCUGUAAGCUUGAUUAAUACAAUUCCAUCUUCUCAUAGUUCGGGUCUAUCUCCUUUUGAAAAGUUAUAUGGGUAUGUCCCUGAUUAUUCCUCAUUUAGAGUCUUUGGUUGUACUUGUUUCGUUCUUCGUCCUCAUGUAGAACGAAGUAAGCUAUCCUCUCGAUCCGCUAUUUGUGUCUUUUUGGGCUAUGGUGAAGGUAAAAAGGGUUAUCGUUGUUUUGAUCCAAUAACUCAGAAACUUUAUGUGUCUCGUCAUGUUGUCUUCCUUGAGCAUAUACCUUUCUUUUCUAUUCCAUCCACUACUCAUAACCUGACUAAAUCUGAUCUUAUUAGUAUAGAUCCAUUUUCUGAGGAUUCUGGUAAUGAUAGCUCUCCCCAUGUUCGAUCAAUUUGUACUCAUAACUCUGCAGGUACUGGUACUUUACUCUCUGGCACACCUGAAGCUCCAUUCUCAUCUACAGCCCCUCAAGCUUCAUCUGAGAUUGUGGAUCCACCUCCACGUCAGUCCAUCCGUAUUCGUAAGUCCACAAAACUACCAGAUUUUGCUUAUUCUUGUUAUUCUUCAUCAUUUACUUCCUUUUUAGCCUCUAUUCAUUGUCUUGUUGAGCCCUCUUCCUAUAAAGAGGCAAUUCUUGAUCCGCUUUGGCAGCAAGCUAUGGAUGAGGAACUUUCUGCAUUGCAUAAGACAGAUACUUGGGAUCUGGUUCCUCUACCUCCUGGUAAGAGUGUUGUUGGUUGUCGUUGGGUGUAUAAGAUCAAGACUAAUUCUGAUGGGUCUAUUGAGCGAUAUAAAGCUAGGUUGGUUGUCAAAGGAUAUUCUCAGCAGUAUGGUAUGGACUAUGAGGAGACAUUUGCUCCGGUUGCAAAAAUGACUACUAUUCGUACUCUUAUUGCCAUAGCUUCGAUUCGCCAAUGACAUAUUUCUCAACUUGAUGUUAAAAAUGCCUUCUUGAAUGGAGAUCUUCAAGAAGAAGUUUAUAUGGCACCCCCUCCUGGUAUUUCACAUGACUCUGGAUAUGUUUGUAAGCUUAAGAAAGCAUUAUAUGGUCUCAAACAAGCACCCCGUGCUUGGUUUGAGAAAUUCUCUAUUGUGAUCUCGUCACUUGGCUUUGUUUCUAGCAGUCAUGAUUCUGCUCUUUUGUUCCUUCUUCAUUGCAGAUUGCAGAUUUCUUUACCAAGGCGCAUUCCAUAUCUCGUUUUCGUUUUCUAGUUGGCAAACUCUCGAUGCUUGUAGCUGCCGCAUCGUGAGUUUGAGGGGAGAUGUUAAAUAAUAUUUAUGUUGUCUUAUUUAUUAAGGGUAGAAUAGUACUUUCAGUUUAACCUAUAUAUACUUUAUUUGUAAUUAGGUUAAGUUAAUGCAUUCAUAAUAUACAGAUUAUUCAGAAUUCUAGCCUCCUUUUUGUGUUUGAUCUCAAUAACUUUAACAUCUUUAAUGAAAGGGUGUCCAAUACGUGGAGUGCGAAUAUGUAGAUUUUCUUCCUCUGUUAUUUUAGAGAAAAGUUCAUCUCGCAUACGAAAUAAUCCUCCAUUCUUUUCUGAUUCCCUUACAUUUGCAAGAAAAUAGUGACCUUCAUAAUCCCUUGCGAUCUUGUUGAAAAUAUCUCCAGCAAUGGUUGUCUUACCACUACCACCCAUUCCCCAAAUUCCUACAAAACAAACCUCCGGUAACUGUGUGCAUAAUAAGGCUUCGAUUUGCUUCAUACGUGAAUCCAUUCCAACCAGGCCCUUCAAAUCACUUGAGGAUGCAUAAUUCAAUUUCUUCAAAAUAUGAAGUACAAUUUGUUCCACGAGUCUCGACUCAGGCCUGCCAACAUGGAGGCGAACAGAUAUGUCAAAUAGUACCCCAAAGAAACACAAUCUUUUCUUGAGGUUGGAACUUGUGUGACGGAUUCCAAUUGCCAUACAUUAUAACACCACAUACAUGUGAAAUCUAAUCCCAAUCACUUGCAAGUAAUUCUUUUUCUAAAUUUACAGAUGCAUGGAAAAACUAUACUUUAAACUGCUCAUUUGGUAACAUUUCGAAGUCACAUACCAUAUUAUAAAGCUCAAAACAUAUGCUUCUGAAUCCAAAAAUAUGAUUAUCAACUUCAAGAAAUUUUAAUUGCUAUAAAUAAAUUUUAAUUGCUAUAAUUCCAGAAAAAAAAGGUUGAAGAUGAGAAUCUAUAGUUACCUAGUAACCUGUGAAUCCCAUCCGGAUAUAUUGGCAGCACUUGUUAAGUCAGCUCUCCACCUUGGAACCUUGUCCAUCUUCUGCUUGAAAUUUCUUUCAAGCUCAGCAAACGCAUUCCCAAAACUCCCUGUCUGUUCGUCAACAUCGGACGGGUCCACAUGAUAGAAAACUGGUAAAACAAUCUGCCCAUAUGCCUUCUUGCAUUCAAGUAUCUUCACCAGUUCAUCCACACACCAUGGAGAAGAUGCAUAGUUUCUUGAGAAUAUUAUCACUGAAAUUCUCGAUUCUUCAAUUGUUCUCAAAAGUGCACCCGUAAUUUCUUCUCCUCUUUCAAGCCCAUCGUCAAUGAAGGUCUUGAUUUUCUUACGACACAAAGCAUCAUAGAGAUGGCUGGUAAAAUUAUUGCGCGUAUCCUGGCCUCUAAAACUAAGGAACACAUCAUACUUCCAUUUAUGAGCAACAGCAGGUGAAGAUUGUUGGUGGGAGGAACCACUGGUGGUGGCUUUAAAACACUCAGAGGGGAUAAAACACGAAGUUUUAUUACAAAAAACAGAAGCUUAACAAUAACAAUAAAGCUUUACAAUACACACCCUCUCUCUCUCUCUAUCUAUUGUUUUUCUCUUCUCUCCACACUUAUAAUAACCUUAGCUUAGAUGCUUAUUUAUACACAAACUCAGUCGGCUCAAAAUUCAACCGUCAUGGUGUGAAAAAUGGUUGGCGGCCAAUGGUGUGAAUGCGGCUAGGCGGUGGCAGCUGGUGGCUGGCGGCUGGUCGGUGACAGCUGGUGGCCGGUGAGGCGGUGGUUGCCUUCCUUGACCUUCUGGAUGUUGAGUUUACUAUUCAACAAAUCUCCCCCUUAAACUCAAUCGAGGGAUGUCAUGCCUAGCAUGUACUUUAAUCUGAUAAAUACUUCUCUUUUCAAUGGCUUUGUGAAGAUGUCUGCAACUUGAUCAUUUGUGUUGCAAGAUAUCAGUUGAACUUCUUCAUUCUUCACAUGUUCCCGGAUAAAGUGAUGACGUGUAUCAAUAUGUUUGCUCCUCUCAUGAUACACUGGAUUCUUUGCCAAUGCGAUUGCUGAUCGAUUGUCAAUAUAAAUCUCCGUAGGAUUUUCUUGAGGAAAUCCCAAAAACUUCAGCAUAUUCCUUAACCAUAUUGAGUGGCAUACGGCUGAGUUGGCAGCUACAUAUUCAGCUUCACAGCUUGAUAACGUGACAAUCGAUUGCUUCUUGGAUGACCAUGUGAAAGAUGUGUCUCCCAUGAAAAAGACAAACCCUGUUGUGCUUUUCCUUUCAUCCAAAUCUCUACCCCAAUCACUAUCCGAGUAGCCUACAAGAUUAAAGUCUUUACUUGAGGUAUAAAACAUACCUUCAUUCAUUGUGCCUUUGAUGUAGCGAAGAAUUCUCUUGGCUGCAUUCAAAUGAGACUGGUCUGGUGUCUCCAUGUAUCUGCUGACGAGUCCGACUCCGUAGAGUAUAUCUGGUCUGGUACAUGUCAAGUACCUUAAGCUUCCUACUAAGCUUUUGAAGUAAGUUGGAUCAACAUUUCCAACCUUACUCUUCCUCAAUUCCACUCCAUUCUCAACUGGAGUUGAUACCGGAUUGCAGCUUUCCAUCUUGAACCUUUCAAGAAUAUCUUUGGCGUAACCGCUUUGGGAUACAAAAAUCCCUUCUUCCUUCUGCGUUACUUCUAAGCCAAGAAAAUGUGACAUUAGACCAAUGUCAGUCAUUUCAAACUCCUGUACCAUGCUUGUUUGAAGUCGUCAAACAUGGUAGGGUUGUUGCCGGUGAAUAUCAAAUCAUCAACAUACAGGCACGCAAAUAAGAUGCUGCCAUCUGCUCCUUUCUUCACAUAUAUAGCGUGUUCAUAUGGACAUUUCUCAAAUCCAUUAUCUUGAAAAUACCUGUCAAUUCUGGUAUUCCAAGCACGCGGAGCUUGCUUCAAACCAUAGAGAGCCUUCUUCAACUUGUAUACUUUGCCUUCAUUUUCAGCAUCAAUGUAUCCAAGUGGUUGUUCAACAUAGAUUUCUUCUUCUAGGAAGCCAUUCAGAAAUGCUGACUUCACAUCGAGUUGAUAGAUCUUCCAUCUAUGUUGUGCAGCUAGUGAGAUCAUCAGUCUGAUUGUCUCUAGCCGGGCUACUGGAGCAAAUAUUUCUCCAUAGUCAAUGCCUUCUCUCUGUUUGUAGCCUUUAGCCACUAAUCUGGCUUUGUAUCUUUGCACUUCUCCUUUGGCAUUCUUCUUCGUCUUGUAGACCCAUUUGACACCUAUUGCUUUCUUGUUUUCUGGUAGAUAAGUCAGCUUCCAGGUAUCAUUCUUCUCAAUGGCAUGUAUUUCUUCAUCCAUUGCUGUUAUCCAUUUCUCUUCUGUGACAGCUUCAUUGAAGCUUAAUGGGUCACUAUCUGCAAAGAAACAAAAUAAAUUUGUAUCUUCCAUAACUUGAGUGGCAUCAUACAGCUCUUCAAGAUUCCGCAUCCUUCUUGGUUCUUCUGAUGAGGAUGCUGAUGGUGGUGUUGAUGAUGAUGCUCCUGGUGUAUUCCUCCUGUUGAAUACAGGGAAUCUGUGCACCGGACUUUGUGGUUCAGCUGCUGGCAUAAUCACCGGACUUUGUGGUUCAGCUGCUGGCACAAUCGGUUCUUCUAUAAGUACUGUUGGUACUUCUUCACCUUCAAGGAUCAAAUCAGUGUUGAUCCAUCUGACUGCUUCUUGAUCAUCAUUCCAUGCCCAAGAUUUAUCUUCUUCAAAGAUAACAUCUCUACUCGUAAUCACCUUCUUCGUGAUGGGAUUAUACAGCCUGUAUCCCAUCCUUCUUUCACCAUAUCCGACAAAGAUGCAUUUCUCGCUCUUAUCAUCGAGCUUUCUCCUUCUUGCAUCUGGGAUCUUUGCAUAUGCCACACAACCAAAGACUCGUAGAUGAGUAACACUUGGUUUGUGACCACUCCAUGCUUCUUCUGGAGUGACUCCUUGCAAACUUCUGGUUGGGCAGCGAUUCAACAGAUACACUGCACAUGAUACAGCUUCAGCCCAGUAUUGCUUGGGCAGCUUCUUUGCUUUGAGCAAACUUCUGGCCAUGUCAAGAAUCGUGCGAUUCUUCCUUUCUGCUACACCGUUCAGCUGUGGUGUAUAAGCUGGCGUUUGAUGUCUGAUGCCUUGUUGUGUACAAAGGCUUCAAAGUCAUUUGGCUGUAUAUUCUCCACCUUGAUCAGAUCUUACGGUUCUGAUCGUGUAACCAGUUUGCUUCUCCACAAUUGCUUUAAAAUCUUUAAAACAAUUGAAUACUUCUGACUUCCUCUUCAGAAAGUAUAUCCAUGUCUUUCUACUAAAAUCAUCAGUAAAAGUGAGGAAGUACCUAUUUUGUCCAGUCGACAUAGGCGUAAUUGGGCCACACACAUCUGUGUGUACUAACUCCAGUGGCCUCUUUGCUCUCCAGUUGACUUCUUUGGCAAAACUGGAUCUGUGAUGUUUGCUGAGGACACAACUCUCACAGACUUCAUCUGGAUGAUCAAUGUGAGGCAAACCUUUGACCAUCUUCUUGCUUGCUAGCAUCUUCAUUGUGAAAUUCAGAUGUCCAAGCCUCAGGUGCCAAAGCCAUUCUUCACUGUUGGUGAUGGCGCUCAAACACCUUGUUGCAUCAUACUGGAUGUUCAAAGGAAACAUCCUAUUCUUGGACAUUUUCACGUAGGCCAUUAAUCUCCCAUUGUUGUCUCUAAUUGCCAGAUGACAAUUCUUCGAGUAAAAAUAUAUCCUCUCUCCAACAGUUGACCUAAGCUGAUCAGGUUCUGCUUUAUGGCUGGGACAUAAUAGACAUCGGCGAUGUAGCUGGAAUCGCCAUUCUUCAACUUAACUGGGAUGCUGCCUUUACCUUUGAAUGGAACCUUUGUGGUAUCUCCAAAAGUAACUAGACCUUGCUUGGUCUCAUCUAGAUCACGAAAUAACUCUCGGUAGCCGCACAUGUGAUUGCUGGCUCCAGUAUCUAGAUACCAUAUAUCCUCAUGUUUCUCUCAUGUCCUUGUUGGACAAGAAAUGCAGUUUCUUCUCUAUCAUCCUUUCUGCAUAGUUGGCUUGCUCACGUAUCUCAACGGAGCUUUCCUUCGGCAUUCAGUGCUAUAGUGCCCAAAUUGAUUGCAGCUAUAACAUUUGAUAUUCCUCUUGUCACGGUUAUUGUAACCGCCUCCUCUUCCUCUAGGAGUGAAUGCUUGUUGUCCUCGGCCUCCUCUGGUGGUGUUUCUACCACCUCUUCCUCUGAAGCUUGUAUUCCAAGAUCCUCUUCCUCUUCCUUGGAAUCUAUGAAAUCCUCCUCUGGAUUGUUGACUUCCUGCUUGAGUGGUGUAGCCACUGUUGAAGUCUCCCCUUGCUCAUAUCUGUCUUUGAAAGACAGCUUUGCUUGUAAGGCAUGCUCAAUGGCCUUAUCUUCAUUUCGCAUUACAAUCUUCUGCUCAUGAGCUUGCAAAGAACUCAUAAGCUCAUCCACUGUCAACUUGUCCACUUCCUUGGACUCUUCAAUUGCGACAACAACAUGAUCAAAUUUUGGAUCUAUGGAUCUCAAAAUUUUCUCAAUAAUUCGAGUAUCUAUGAUGGCUUCUCCAUUUCUCCUCAUCUGAUUGACUAUCACCAUAAUCCUUGUAUGAUAAUCAGAAAUAGAUUCUGAGGACUUCAUUCGUAAUAAUUCGAAUUCUCCUCUCAAAGAUUGAAGACGAAUCUUCUUGAUUCUGUCAGCACCUUUGUAUUUCUGUUGGAGAGCCUCCCAUAUAUCAUGUGACGUUUCAGCGGAAGCUAUUAUCUCGAAUGUAUCUUCAUCAAGACCUUGAUAGAUGAUGGUCUUUGCCUUGUUGUCCUUCUUUCUGUUGACUUUCAAAGCUUGCUUCUGUGCCUCUUGUAAAGCAUCUUCUCUUUCUUUGGAUUCUGGUUCAUCAUAACCAGUUUGUACAAUAUCCAAACACUCUUGUGACCCAAGGAAUGCCUUCAAUCUGAUGCACCAACUAUCAUAGUUGUCUUUGGUCAGCUUCGGGAUGAGUGUAUGUGUACCUUCUGUAGUCAUUUUGCUCUUUGAAUGACUAUAUCACCUUCUGGGAGCCGAAUUUGCCAAACGGACACUGUAGAUCGAUCCGGAAUGGUCCAAAUAGUAGGGAACCGGUCUACUUUGUUGAAAUCGGGUCAAAAAUGGGUGAACCGGUCAAAAAACCAAUUCUGUACGGCGGGCGGUUCGCUGGGUUGAACCGGGAAUAUUCUGUGGAAUAUUCGGGGAAUAUUCUGGGAAUAUUCGGGGAAUAUUCGGGAAUAUUCUGGGGAAUAUUCUCUCUCGGCUGCGGCUGGAAUACGGCUCGGCUCGGCGCGGAGGACGGCUCGGCUUGUGGCUCGGCUGGACUCGGCUAUCGGCUCGGCUGGCGCUCGGCUUAGGCGGCUUACACGGCUCGAAUAUGGCGCGCGUGGACGACACUCGUCGUCUUCCUCUGGAGCGCGUGGGUGCGCGUGGGUGACAGUCACCGGAUCUUCAGACGGCGCGUGUGGAUCACCCCGGACUCCGAUCAGGCUGAUUUUUGCGGCAGUGAACUCGUCUUGAUGAGCUCUACACUAUGGAAUGAUCAAAACUUGUUUUUGACAACUUUGAAAUUUCGGAUAUACCCCACAACUCUUCUGUUUUCCGACGAACGGGGCUCUGAUACCAAUUGUUGGUGGGAGGAACCACUGGUGGUGGCUUUAAAACACUCAGAGGGGAUAAAACACGAAGUUUUAUUACAAAAAACAGAAGCUUAACAAUAACAAUAAAGCUUUACAAUACACACCCUCUCUCUCUCUCUAUCUAUUGUUUUUCUCUUCUCUCCACACUUAUAAUAACCUUAGCUUAGAUGCUUAUUUAUACACAAACUCAGUCGGCUCAAAAUUCAACCGUCAUGGUGUGAAAAAUGGUUGGCGGCCAAUGGUGUGAAUGCGGCUAGGCGGUGGCAGCUGGUGGCUGGCGGCUGGUCGGUGACAGCUGGUGGCCGGUGAGGCGGUGGUUGCCUUCCUUGACCUUCUGGAUGUUGAGUUUACUAUUCAACAAAGAUGCCAUAUCAGACAGUUACAGGAUCGUGUCUUCCUCAAUCACUAAGAAUCGAAAUCAAUAACUGCUCUCCUUUUUCUCCUAAAGACAUAAAAAGAGCACCCACUUCAACAGCUGAACAUUCAUUGAGAGAAAUUGAAGUCUAAAAGUUCAAAAACCCACACAACAUAUAUUUAUUAGAAAAUUCCUCAAACUCUUAACGAUGGACAUAUACUAGCUUAAUUUGAUAUGAUCUAUCUUAAUUUGAUCACUCGUCACUUGCUACCAAUGCUAGCUUCCUAUUACUUUCAUUGCAAGAACAGUAACUAGGUGAGCAGAACGAAUUACAGAUGGCAGAAUUAAUAUGUUCAUGAAACAAACUUAUCAAACUCGUAUAUGUAAUCUUGAACAAAGAAGACGCAUGAACCAGAAAGACUUACGAACAGAUCAUAAGAACAGUUGACUUGUGUUUAGCAUCAGCAAACAAGACGAAGAAGAAGCUGCAUAUUGUUGAUGAUAAAGACGAUUUUUCUUGUCUAUUGCCUUCAAGUAAAUCUUUACAGACAAUCUGAUCUCAUCGUACUCUAAAUGUAAUCCCAGUUUUUGAUCAAGAAACAGGUGAAUGAGAGAAGACUUUGGGGUAAUCAAUACCAAGUACAUUAAUAGCUAGUCUAUCACAUCUUAGUCUUGUAUUUCAAAUAGACAACCAUGUUAACAUCAUCUCGCAGUAUUAAAUCCAUGUUAAUUUUCUUGGUGAGGCCAAAUUAGCAAACUCAACUCUGUCUUGCAUCAGCUAAAAGUCAACGCGUUAAAAGGGGUUUAAUAUAACACUUUAUUUUUAUUUUUUUAAAAAAUAAAGUUUGGCUUGGGGGGGGGGGGGGCGCUUUGUUAAUCUUGAUUAUUUAAUAACUAUCUCUCGUUAAUCUGCCGUUGUGAUAGGAACGCUCUUUCACUUGCACCACAAGAAAACCAUACUUUCUCCACAAUCAUUAAUUAAUGAGCCAACAAAGACAAGAAAAACAUAACUACAAAUUGAAACCACCGCCCCCACCUCAAACCCAUUGCAAAGUGUCAAUAAUGUAAAAUCAAAACAUUCAAAAGGUAUUUUUGUACAAUAACACAAUUCAAAACGAAUGCAAACUAAUAUUCUAGGGCCUGUUUUGAAUUGUGGUUAGAGUUGCGGUUCAAAGUAUUUUUUAUUUAAAAAUAUAUUAAAAUGAUGUUUGUUUUUUAAUUUUCAACAGGCUAAAAAAACAUAACUACAAAUUGAAACCACCACCCCACCUCAUACCCAUUGCAAAGUGUCAAUAAUGUAAAAUCAAAACAUUCAAAGUGUAUUUUUGUACAAUAACACAAUUCAAAACGAACGCAAACUAAUAUUCCAGGGCCUGUUUUGAAUUGUGAUAGCAAUUGCGGUUCAAAGUAUUUUUUACUUAGAAAUGUAUUAAAAUGAUGUUUGUUUUUUUAAUUUUUUAAAAAAUAAUUUUUGAGAUCAGCACAUAAAAAAAAUCUUAAAAUAUAUAAAAAAAUUAACAAAAAAAAUUGAAUUUUAAAAAAACAUGGAUUCAAAACCACGUUCCCAAAUGUGGCCUAACCGUUAUCAAGAGCACCUCCUCUCCCUAUCCCUUCUCCUUCUCCCCUAUUCCAAUUAAUAUGCUAAUAUAAAAAAAAUUAAAUAUUCAAAAUAUUAUUUUAAAAUAUUUUUAAGUAAAAUAUACCUUUAAAAAUCACCUUAUAUAACAGCACCAAUCUUGCAUUUUUUUUUGCCUUUUGGAUUCAACCCAUAGGCAAUGACUUUAUCUUUUGCAAAUUUAAUAAUUGUCAUAUUUGAAAGUUCAAUCCUAGUCAUUACAAAAAUAAAGAUAAAAAUAAAAAAUAAAAUAGAGACGUAACCCAAAAGAUCUUAGCCAUGCAUGAUUGGAUCUUAGCCUAACCGAGUUUCAUGGAACUCAACUAGACCUGGCUAAGGGAAGACGGUGAAAGGGAUGAGAGCUCGGUUGGGCAUAAUAGGCCUAACCUAGUUGUGGGGCCCAGUCGAUAUAUAUGUUAUAUUAUCCUAUCAUUAGUUUUAAUUUACUAUAAAAUUUAGUAACCUUCUCUAAUUUCCACAACAAGGGAUACAAAGAGUUUUUUUACAGAAUGUGCUCGGUUGGGCACAUUCUGUUUUUUAUCUAAUUAUAAAGAAAAACUUGUUUAGUUAAUAAAAAUUUUUCCUAAAUAUAAUUCUAUUUCAAAUCUUGAUUUUAUAUAAUAAUUUAUUUUUUAUUCAUAGAUAUUUGUUUAUAAUUUAUUUUACAUGUAAAAACCUGUUUUAUAGUAGUUUUAACAAAACAUAUAUGGUUUAAAUCUAUAUUUUUAAAACUGCAUUUAAAAGUUUUUUUUUUCUCUAAACCGUCACCGUAAAAACUACACACUAAAAAACUCUCUCUUUCUUUGUUUUUUUUUUUUUUUAUUAAAUCUCAAGGAAUAUUUCAAAAUUGGAUCAAAUUUAAUCAAGGUUUGUUGUUCUAUAUAAUAUAAUUAAAAAGAAAAGGAGAAAAUUAUAAUUGACUUUCUUGUAUUAUCUUAUUGAAAAUUAUUGUUGGCUCUAUUGCAUAUAACGCAAUAAUAUGCUUUGUAGUCCAAAACAAAGCUGCUUUUUAGGUUGAUCCAUGUAAGUAAAUAACAAGAGUAACUUGGACGGAUGGUAUUUUGCAAUGAAGCAACAGACGGAUGGUUUUGUAAGGGAUUGAACGUGCGUGCGUGCGAGCGAGCGGGCGAGCGAGCGAGAGUGAGAGAGAGAGAGAGAGACCUCACUGUAAAGUCUUUUGGCAUAUAGCUGAAUUUUCAAGAGAGCGUAUGCCAUGAUAUUGUUGGGUGCAGUCUCGCAACAUGAGACAAUUAGUUGAAUUCAAAAAUGUUUCCAUCAACUGUAGUUGAUGAGCUUGGGACUGUUCUCAGAGAUGUGCAGCUGUGUGCAUCUAGUUUUGCAAGCCGUGGUGGAAACUUGGUGACAUUUGAGCAGCCAGAGACAUCAACAAUAACAAUAGACUUCAACAAACAAAUACUGUCUGGAAGAUUCCCAAGUUGUUUACAGUCCCUCAAAUUCAAAGCAACGAGUCUACUCAGAUGUCCAAUAGAUUGGGGAAGUUCUUUGAUUGCAGUCUCAUUGAAAUUCAAAUACAUCACAUGCUCUGUAGUCUCUGGGUACAUCUUGAGAUUUGAGCAGCCAUAGAGGUUAAGAGCCUUGAGAUAUUUCGAUUUAAUGAUUCUUGGAAGACUCAAAAGGCUUGUGCAGCUUCUCAGAUCCAAAUCAACAAGCUUCUCUAGAAAUUGAAUAGAUGAGGGAACCACUUUCAGAGUUGUACAAAAUUGAAGAUUCAAUCUCUCAAGAUUUUUAGCCUUUGAUAGGUCUGGAAUUGUAGUUAGAUGCUCACAAUUACUAACGUUGACCUCUGUUAAAUUCACAAGAUUCUGCACCAUCAUUGUAUUGAUAACAAAAAAACAUUAGUAUCUGUACAUUUUAAAAUUCAUUUGAAAGAGGAGAAAGAUUACAUUUUAUUUUAUCCUUCAAUAUUUUAUUUAUUAAAAAUUAAGGUCUUAUUCUUUCUUCAUUUUUCUUUCAAUGGGGUUAUUUCAUUCUCAUUUUAUUUUUUUUUGUGAUCAAAUAAAAUCAUUGAGACCUUUUACAAUUAUUAAAAUGAUUUUUUCCAUGAUAUUGUUAAUCCUUUAUUUUUUGAAGUUAGUCAUUGUCAAAAGAUUUUUAGUUCAUUUUUUAUUGUUGUUGUUUUUUUUUAUUAUAUUAUCAAAUUAAUCCAACUGGGUAAAUAACAAAAAGGAUGUUAAAGUUAUGUCACACUCUACUAAAAUAAGAGAUUAAACCUAAGAACUACUAAAGCAGCUUUCUAAUUAAUUAAUGAGGUUAUGGAAACCUUUACAAAAGGUUUAAGCUCACGUUUCACAGCGAAGAUAGAUUAGUUUUCUUGUUAGAUGAUGAUUAAUAUGUAGUAGACUAGCGAAAAAAAAAAAAAAAACCUUUUUCUCAGGGUCUUCGAAUAAGGACACUAUAGAGGUUUGGUAUAAAAGGAUGAAGAAGUAGAAGAAGAAGUGUUUAGAAUCCUUUACCCUAAGGUUCAAUAGUUUUUAUAUAUCUAUAAGCUCUCACAAGUUGCUUAGAGUUAUGGGUAUAAAGAACAUUCUUCCUGCCACAUAUGAUUUUAGAUUGUCAUUAAUAUGAGUUUGUGUUAAUAUAAUAUAUAUAAGCAAUUUUCCUGUAAUUAGCUUUUUAAAAGCAUUUUUAAAACAUAAUAGCUUAAGUGUAACCUUGAGGAGUGUAUAUUAAUUGAUCAGAUUUUAAAUUUUUUUUUUUUAAAUCACCAGUUCACGUCUUACAAACCUAAAAUCAUUUAUGUAGACUUAAAGUAUAAUUCAAUAAUAAAUGAAGUCUAAGAAAUACAUUAAAAAAUAAUGGUGAAUGAAUAUCCUAAAAGCACUCGUUGCUUUUCCCUUAUCAAUAUAACUUUUAAAGUCGUUUAAUAAUUUUGAUUACAUAUAUUACCCUGCAAAGACUUUUUAUGAUGGUUUACUGUUAAUAUGAAUAUAAAUAGUAAAGAAUCUUAAUAUGUAUUUUUAGUUAGUUUAUAAUAAUUUUCUUCUUGUUAUGUGGCAGUGGCACACGUGAUAUGAUGCAGUUUGCAGUUCGACAGUGGAUGACAACACUUAAUUUUUUAUUUUUUACAAACAAUAGGUGGUCUGUAAUUUAAAAAACAAAUAACAUAUCAUAUACCACUUUAAUUCAAAAAACAAUAAAUAGAUUAAGACGAGAUAUUGUUUGUGUGCUCAUAAUAAUAAUAAUAAUAAAUUAUUCAUGAGGAUUCAAUUAACCUCAGUGUUUUAUAAUUAAAAAUUUCAAAUGUAUUUUAAAUUUUUUUUAUCAUGUUUAGUAUUUUUUUAUUUUUCAAUCACAUAAAAUAUAAAUAUUAAGAGCCUUGAGAUAUUUCGAUUUAAUGAUUCUUGGAAGACUCAAAAGGCUUGUGCAGCUUCUCAGAUCCAAAUCAACAAGCUUCCCUACAAAUUGAAUAGAUGAGGGAACCACUUUCAGAGUUGUACAAAAUUGAAGAUUCAAUCUCUCAAGAUUUUUAGCCUUUGAUAGGUCUGGAAUUGUAGUUAGAUGCUCACAAUUACUAAGGUUGACCUCUGUUAAAUUCACAAGAUUCUGCACCAUCAUUGUAUUGAUAAGAAAAAAAAUUAGUAUCUGUACAUUUUAAAAUUCAUUUGAAAGAGGAGAAAGAUUACAUGUGUAGUGACUAAACCAUAUAAUCUUUUGGAAUAUUGUGGUUUCCUUUGAAGACAGACAAACUGAAGAGUUGACCUGCUUCACUGCAAUUUAAUUCCUCGACCUCGUAUAUUUUAUCAGCCACACUCUUAAGCACUUGUCAAUCUCUGGACGUUACAAGAAUUCUACUUCCUGGACCAACAUACCAUGCCUUUCAAUUAAACAUUCCACUUGUUCUACAUCAUUCACAUCAUCUAGAACAGUUAAGACUUUUUCGUGCCGGAUCCUUUCCUUGAUUAAAGUGGAUCCCAUGCGUGGAGUGUCAAUACGUAGAUUUUCCUGCUCUAAUACUCUGGAAAGGAAUUCCAAAUUGAGUCGUUCAAUGCGUGAAUCUAUCCCAACUAGGCCCUUAGAGUCACCUAAUGAUGUGUGUUUCAAUUUUUUUCAAAAUGAAUUGCACAAUUUCACUUACGAGUUUGGACUCAGGCCACAUACAAUGGACUAGAUGAUGGCAUGUCUAGGACAAAGUGCUGGAACGAUGGACUGUCUAGGCCAAGACAGAAACACAACAACAUUAGCGGCAAGAGUGCUGAUAAUUGACCAUGUGGUUCGUGAGGGACAGACCAGGCUAUAAGAACAUAUAGGGCGGACUGGACAAGAGAGGCAUGUUGGGUGGACAGCUCAAGGGAAGCAUGGGGUGGACUUUCCAAGAAGGGUCUGGGGCAGAGCACUCAUGUGUGGAACUUGAAUUGAAUAGGCUGGAAAAAGGUUAUGCUGUGGAGUAUGCAAUAACUUGUAAGCAGAAGGUAAAUUCUGCGUAUCACACAGACGGAUUUGUGUAUUCCUUUGUCAAAAAUGCUUUUAUGUUUUAAGAAAUUAAAAUUUCAAAAUUACUUAAGAAUAAAAGAUUUUAGAAAAACAAUUUUCAUUUUUUUCAAAGAAAUAAAAUCAUGCAUGCUAGCUCUUGUAUAGUGUUAGAGCGUUUUCAAUAUGAAAUGAAAUUUUGUCAAAUUGAUUGGUAAAACUUGUUAAAAUGGCGUAUUAAAAAAAAAAGAUUUCAUGAAAAUACAUAAUAAACAUUUUUGAAAAUGUAGAGACAUAUUAGUUAAGCUAUUUACCUUUUAAAACAAUAUCUAAAAAAAACAACAACAAGUAGUUACAAUACUUCUGUAAAACCCCCAAACAAAAAAAAAACAAGAAGUGGAACUGAAAUGACUCUACCAUCCCUGUCGAUAUCGGAAUCGGCAGCAACGCAGUUUCAGGCUACCGAUAUCGAAAUCGGCAGCGAUGCAGUUUCGACUGUCGAUUUAUGAAUCGGUAGCGACGCAGUUUCAGGCUGCCGAUAUCGGAAUCGGCAGCGGUACAAUUUUGGCUGCCCAUUUAUGAAUCAGCAGCGACGCAGUGUGGCUGCUGAUUUCUGAAUCGGCAGCGAAGCAGUGUCGCUGAAAUCGACAGCAACGCAGUUUCAGGCUGCCGAUAUCGGAAUCGACAGUGAUGCAGGUUCGUUUGCCGAUUUAUAAAUCAGCAGCGCCGUAGUGUGGCUGCCGAUAUCUGAAUCGGCAGCGACGUAGUAUCAGGCUGCCGAUAUCAGAAUCGGCAGCGAUGCAAUUUCGGCUGCCAAUUUAUGAAUCGGUAGCGACGCAGUGUGGCUGCCGAUAUCUGAAUCGGCAGCGACGCAGUUUCAGGCUGCCGAUAUAGGAAUCGGCAGUGAUGUUGUUUCGGCUGCCGAUUUAUGAAUCGCCUGCGACGUAGUUUCGGGCUACCGAUUUCUGAAUUGGUAGUGAUGCAGUGUGGCUACCGAUUUUGGAAUCGACAUCGACGCAGUUUCAGGCUACCAAUAUCAGAAUCGGUAGCGAUGCAGUUUCGGUUGCCGAUUUAUGAAUCGGCAGCGACGCUGUUUUGGGCUGCCGAUUUUUGAAUCGGCAGCAACAUCAAAAAAAAAUAAUAUAUAUAUAUAUAAUAAAAGUUUUAGUGUGGGACCGACCUAUCCUGGGGGGGAGAAGGGGAAUGAAAAUCAGCUCAAGGAUAACCUAAAAGGAGGAUUAGGACAACCUUGUCCAACAUCCAAACACCCCCUUUUUGCUUUUAAGAGGGGUAUAAAUGCAGCAAGGAGAGAGAGAGGGAGACACCCUUCCUAAAAACGAGUUGGUCCCCUUCCCUCUUCCCAAAGUGAGCUGCAUGCUCUUGUCCCCUCCCCUUUCCCCCAAAAUGAGAUGCUUGUCCCCUUCCCUCUUUCCCUUUCCAAGGAAAGAGCUUGACCAAACCCCAGCUGCUAGUGCCCUCCUUAGAUGUGAGAGAAAGAAGGGAGAGCUUGACAGGAGGCUGGACAGCUGCAAACAUGAAGGGAGUAGAGGCCCAAAAAUCGGUAGGGAACUAACAAGAGGAGGAGAAAAAACGAAAGAGAGGAAGAGGAAGAAACAAUCAGGAGCAGAAGGGGAGAAAUGUUGUCAAACCCCUCCCAAAAAUGCUAAAUCCGUGAGGUAUGAACCAUGUCUUUCUCCACCUGUUCUUAAGGUCUUGAAAUCGAAAGGAAGAAGAAUAAAAAUAUGGAUGCAUGGCCUAGGAACUUUACUCCAACUGUUAUGGAAAAGAACUAAGCUAAAAGGAGGGACAAAAACGGGGCUGGAUGGGGGACCUGAUUCCAGAAUAUUUAACAAAAGAUUGUAUGAUGAAAUUGAUGAGUUCAAUGUGUGUAUGCCGCUAGAAUUCAUUGAAAGAUUAUAUGUUGGAAUUGAUGGUUUCAAUGUGUGUGUUCUGCUGGAAUUUAUUGAAAAAUUAUAUGCUGAAAUUGAUGGGUUCAAUGUGUGUAUGCUGCUAGAAUUCAUUGAAAGAUUAUAUGUUGGAAUUGAUGGUUUCAAUGUGUGUGUUCUGCUGGAAUUUAUUGAAAAAUUAUAUGCUGGAACUGAUGAUGGUUUCAAUGUGUGUGUUCUGCUGGAACUUAGUGACAGUUUAUGUACUGGAGUUGUUGCAAAGUGUAGUGUGUGUUCAUGCCAAAAUGUGGGUUGGGCAGCGAAUUUGUGAUUCGUUGCCGAAACUGAGUUUUCUGCAGCGAAUUAGUUUUCACUGCCGAAAUGUGUCUUCUGCAAUGAAUUUGUGAUUCGCUGCCGAAAUUUGUGUUCUGCAGCGAAUUUGUGAUUCGCUGCGGAAGUUGAGUUGGCUGCAACAAAAUUGUGAUUCGCUGCUGAAAUUGAGUUGUCUGCAGCGAAUUAACAUUCACUGCCGAAAUUUGUGUUCUGCCGUAAAUUUGUGAUUCACUGCUGAAGUUGAGUUGGCUGCAGCGAAAUUGUGAUUCGCUGCCGAAAUUGAGUUGUCUGCAGCGAAUUAGCAUUCGCUGCCGAAAUUUGUGUUCUACAGCGAAUUUGUGACUCGCUGUCGAAGUGGAGUUGGCUGCAGCGAAAUUGUGAUUCGCUGCCGAAAUUGAGUUGUCUGCAGCGAAUUAGAAUUCGCUGCUGAAAUUUGUGUUUUGCCGUGAAUUUGUGAUUUGCUGUCGAAGUUGAGUUGGCUGCAACGAAAUUGUGAUUCGCUAUCGAAAUUGAGUUUUUCGCUGCCGAAUUGGAAGCCCGCAGCGAACCAGUUUUUGCUGUUGAAUUGAGCAGCCUACAACGAGCCAGUUUUCGCUGCCGAUUUCUACAAUAGGCCUUCUGGGCAGAAAUGACUUAAAUUCUAGUAACAAUUUCAUGGUAUGAUGGUGUAAAAUGUGGAACACUUGAAUGUGAACCUAUGAACUCUUGAAAUAAGUGUGGUGAUGAUUGUGAAUUGAAGAUACAAAUAAAUUGAUUGUGGUCUUUGGUGUCUUAGGUGUUGUGGCCAGGAUCGGACCAUUGCCAGGACAAGGACAGACCACAAGUGGAGCAGGUAGGUGGUUUUCACCUUUUUCCCAUUUUGAUGUUUAUGUUUUGAAAUGAUUAACUUGUGAUGAGAUUUUAUUAAAUCCUUGUUGUAAGAGGAAACGAUGAAGAAGAGUUGGAUUAAAUUCUUGAUGAUUGUCGAAACGACUAUGAAAUGUCAAACAAGUUCUUGAUGAAUAUUGAAACAAUGGUGAAAAUGUUAGAGUUCUAAACUGACCCAUUUGAGGUGAACAUCUUAUUGAGUUGUGAUGAAUACUAAAUCGAAUGUGAUGUUGGGGUUGUUAUGAAUUUGAGCUACUAAUGAAUGGUAGUAUGUGUCGUACAAAGAAUCUACUUUUGUAUUCUUACUGAAUGUAAUGGUGAUGAAUGAUUGUAUGAGUAUUAUGAAAGAUCUACUAUUUUAUUAUAUUAAAUGUAAUUGUGAUGAAUGUGUUACCAAGGAUCUAUCAUUUAUUAUACUGAAUGUAAUGAUGAUGAAUGAUUGUAUGAGUGUUAUGAAAGACCUAUCGUUGUAUUGUAUUGAUGGUUAAUUACCACAAAUGGUGGUGUGAGUAUUACGGGGGAUUUAUUAUUGUGUUGCAUUGAACAUUAAUUGUCAGGAAUGGUUGGAUGAGUGAUACAAAGGGUACUAUUGUGUUAUGUUAUAUUGAAUACUAAACUGUUGUGGGAUGUUUGGUUUUGCAUUACAAAGGAUCUAUCAUCGUGUUACGGAAUGAUAAAUUACUAAGAAAUGGUGGUACGAGUAUCCCUAAGGGUCUGCUUUGAUGUUGCAAGGAAUGUCAAAUUGUCAUGAAUUGUUUGAUGAAACAAUGAUUAGCUUCGGCUAAUAGCAUCCGAGUGGAUGACCGGAACAAAUGAUUGAUUAGCUCCGGCUAAUGGCAUCCGACUGGAUGACCGGAACAAACGAUUGAUUAGCUUCGGAUAAUGACAUCUGAGUGGAUGACCGGAACAAACGAUUGAUUAGAUGCGGCUAAUGGCAUCCGAGUGGAUGACCGGAACAAACGAUUGAUUAGAUGCGGCUAAUGGCAUCCGAGUGGAUGACCGGAACAAACGAUUGAUUAACUCCGGCUAAUGGCAUCCGAGUGGAUGACCGGAAAAAACAAUUGAUUAGCUUCGGCUAAUGCCACCCGAGUGGAUGACCGGAACAAAUGAUUUCGGCUAAUGACAUCCGAGUGGAUGACCGGAACAAACGAUUGAUUAGCUUCGGCUAAUGGCAUCCGAAGGGAUGACCGGGGUAAAUGAUUGAUUAGCUCUGGCUAUUGGCAUCCAAAGCAGAUGACUGGGAUGAACAAAGAUUAGCUCCGACUAAUGGCAUCCUAAAUGGAUAAUCGAGAUUAAUAAACGAUUAACUAUGGUAAUGACACCAUAUAUGAAUUACUAGAAUGAAUAAAUGAUUAGCUUUGGUAAAUGGCAUCCUAAAUGGAUAAUCGAGAUUAAUAAACGAUUACCUAUGGUAAUGACACCAUAUAUGAAUUACUAGAAUGAAUAAAUGAUUAGCUUUGGUAAAUGGCAUCCUAAAUGGAUAAUCGAGAUCAAUAAAUGAUUAGCUAUGGUAAUGACACCAUAGAUGAAUUACCAGAAUGAAUAAAUGAUUAGCUUUGGUAAAUAGCAUCCUAAAUGAAUAAUCGAGAUCAAUAAAUGAUUAGCUAUGGUAAUGACACCAUAGAUGAAUUACCAGAAUGAAUAAAUGAUUAACUUUGGUAAAUGGCAUCCUAAAUGGAUAAUCGAGAUCAAUAAAUGAUUAGCUAUGGUAAUGACACCAUAGAUGAAUUACCAGAAUGAAUAAAUGAUUAGCUUUGGUAAAUGGCAUCCUAAAUGGAUAAUUGAGAUCAAUAAACAAUUAGUUAUGGUAAUGACACAAUAGAUGAAUUACCAUAAUGAAUAAAUAAUUAGCUUUGGUAAAUGACAUCCUAAAUGGAUAAUCGAGAUUAAUAAACGAUUAACUAUGGUAAUGACACCAUAGAUGAAUUACCAGAAUGAAUAAAUGAUUAGCUUUGGUAAAUGGCAUUCUAAAUGAAUAAUUGAGAUCAAUAAAUGAUUAGCUAUGGUAAGGACACCAUAGAUGAAUUACCAUAAUGAAUAAAUGAUUAGCUUCGGUAAAUGGCAUCCUAAAUGGAUAAUCAAGAUGCAUAAAUUACUAGCUUCGGCUAAUAACAUCCUAGGUGGAUAAUCGAGAUGAACAAAUGAUUAAUUACGACUGAUGACAUCCUAAAUGGAUAAUCGGGAUGAAUAAAUGCUACCUUCGACUAAUAGCAUUCCAAAUGGAUAAUCAGGAUGAAGAAAUGACUAUCUUCGACUAAUGGCCUCCCAAGAGGAUUGUCGGAUUUGAGUGUAUGAGUUAGUUUUAAGAAGAAUUGAUGUGGUCAUGUAUACUACGUUUCGUAUAUACUAAGUAUAUGAAAGGACUAUAAUAGUUAUGCUUUAACCAAAGAAAAACAUUAAUUCGGCUAAUGACAUUCGAGAUCAAUGAUCGGGUUUGAGUACUAAAAUUAGCCUCGUUAAUUGAUGGAUUAUUAACGAUGGUAUUUACAUAAGUAAAGGGAAAUUAAAGAAUUAUGCUUUUUGGUCCAUGAAUAAAAUAUGACUUUAAUCCUGUUUUAUUAUGUUCUUAAAUGACCUACAAUGCUUAAAAUUUCCUUGUAUUGUAACAGGGACAUCAUAUCAAUAUGGUGCGUAAGGAAAUUCAUUUCGUGGCUCACACAUUUCGAUAUAUGUGGCUCACACAUUUCGAUAUAUGUUUUCUGGAAGAUUCACCAGGAGUUUGCAGUUCUUCAAAUAUAACGUAACAAGUCCAUUGAGUUCCCCGAUUAAUUGGGAAGCUCUUCAAUAGCAGUCUCAUUUAAAUUUAAAUAUGUCAGUUUCCUUGCAUUCUCUGGGCACUUCUUGAGAUUUGCACAACCAGAAAGGUUCAGAGUCUCCAGACAACUUGAAUUAAUUCUACUGGGAAGAUUGAUUAGUCUUUUGCAGCAUCUCAAAUCUAAAUCAACAAGCUUGUCCAGAUGCUGAAUAGAUGAAGGAAACAUAACCAAACUUUUACAGAAUUGAAGAUUCAAUCUCUCAAGGUUUCUGGCCUUUGAAAGGUCUGGCAGGGAAGUUAUGUGCUCACAAUUGCUGAGGGUGACAUCUUUUAAAUUGCCGAGAUUCUGAAGCAAAAUGAAAUCAACAGAAAGAAAUUACACGUGCAUACCACACCAAAUUUCAAAGAAAGAACUAUGCAUGCAUAGAGUUAUUUUAGAAUACCUGGUCUCCUCUCCACAGUUGCUUAACCUUGCUAGAUGAUAGGUUAAGUUCAACAAGGUUCUGUGGACGAAAAUUGCAAGGCAAAGAUGUCAAAGGGUAUCCAUCCCAAUGGAGAUACCUCAACUCAUGAGAAAGAGACUCGAGGCCACUAGGAAGGUGCACUGUGCAUUUAUCUCCAGCUACAGAAUUAUAAAUUUUUAGCAGUCUAAGAUUAUACAACCUUGCGAAGGCUGUAGAACUCAACUCUAUUUCUCUUAUUUCUGAAACAUUCAAGAACAUCCCUUCAACGUUUUCAGUUCUUAGUUUUGAAACAUCCAGGAAUAUCCCUUCAACUUUUCCAGUUCCCUGAAAAACAGUAAAGGAGAAGCAAAGUUUAAUUAAUAUUUUAAACGUACAAGUACAACCAUAUGGCAUUGCAUAGGAAACAGAAAACUUUGGGGUAUAUGAAUCUCACCAGAUUAUUGGUCAACACUUGAUAUGCAUCUUUUGGAUUCCACAAUCUGCUCUGUCUUCCUAGCUCGUCAAGAGAUUCUUUAUGAACAACUUCAUGGGCCAUUUCUUGCAAAAGAUCAUGCAUUUCAACCUUGUCAUCUGAAAUUUUAAUGAGACACCUGUCAAUGAGAACACUAAAUCCAAUAUCUGUUUUGAAACCGCAGCCAUCUAGUAUCCGCUUUACAAAAUCAACUUGAUGCCCUCUAAAGAAACAUGCAAUGUUCAGAAAUAUACUCUUCGUGUUAUUAUCACGUAGUGCAUCAAAGCCUAUUCUCAGCAAGUCAAAAAUGUUCAGCUCGGGAAAGCUUUCGAUCUCAUUUAAUUGAGAUUCCCAAAAAUGUCUUUCUCUACUGAACAAGAAGGAACCCAAAACUUGAAGAGCUAAGGGGUUGCCUUUGGCAUAAUUUAUUGGGGGGUGGUUUCCCUUAAAAUAACUGCUGCCCCAAGAGACAACGUGGGCCGUCAGCUCUUGUCUUUUAAACUCCAGACUGCUUCGGUGGUUAAUUUGAGACUUUAUUAAUAUUAGGAUGAAACUAGAUCGGGUUUUAAAAAAAUAAAAAUAGUUAAAAAUUUAGUUGACUUAGCUAACUAGUUGGUUGAUCUCAUGAUAUGGUUGAUCUAAUAAAACUCGGUUAAAAAUCAAGUUGCAAUCUAUUAAUUAUUAUUUUUUAUAUCAAAACAACAUCAAUUCGAUUGACAAAAAAAAAAUUAAUAUUAGCUCGGGUGACUUAGUCAUCCGGGCUGGGUUUAAAAACACAAAUCUCAUCUCUUCAGGGCUUGCUUUUUUUUAGCCAAUUCAAUAUAUAAAGAAAAUAUUGAAUCAGUGAAUACAAUAUUAAAAAAAAAAAAAACUGAAUGAUAAAUAUAAUAGAUUCUUAAAUCUGAGCUGCAUAAAUUAGGAUUCGGAAAUGGACGAAUAUUUAUAAAAUUUCAAUCUAAUUAGAAAGAUCCUCACGGAUAUUUUUAUUAAACAAAUUGACAAUCAUAAUUUAUGAAUACUUCUUUCAUAUGAAUUCAAAUACUUCAUUGUUAAAAAAAAAAUUGAACAUAUUUUAUAAUUCCUUCCACUUUAAGUGAUAAACUAUAAUAAAACACAGCACACCCAUACAUAUAUACUCAUUAUUUGUUUAUAUAUUUCUUAAGAAAAUAGUAAAAUAUAAAUAUGUACAAGAUAAGUUAAUAUUUAAAUGAGAUAUCAUUAAUUUAUCAUAUUUGCAUUCCUUAGGUUGCAAAUUACAUAGCAAAUCCUCUUAUAUUUUUUUUAAAUAUAAGUUUUUAUCAUCUUAAAUGGUUAAAUUGCUCUUAGUUUUUGGUAUAUUUGAUAAGAAAUUCCUCCCUUCGUUUUCUUUUUCCGAAUUUCUUUAAAUAUAGCUUUUCAUGAGAGUGAGAUUUAUUUGAUUUUGACAAAUUAUCUAACAAUAAUUAGAUCCAUAUGAGGAGCUCUUACGUUGGUUUUUGUAAAAUUUUAAAGUUUUUCUUUGUUUUAAAUUAAUAUUUUUUAGAUAUUUUUAAAUCGUUUUAAUAUGUCGAUAUUAAAAAUAAAUUUUAAAAAAUAAAAAAAUAUUUAUUAUUUUAAAAUAUUUUUAAACAAAAAAUAUUUUAAAAAAUAACCGCUACCACAAUAUUAAACGGGAUCUAAACGAGCACAAAUAAGUUUUUGUUUUACCUUAGCACAGUUGACUAGAAUUAACAAAAUAACAGAUUUCAUAAGACAUUUAAGAAAAUAGCAUUGCUUAGAUGCCACUUGCUUAUUAAAUGCACUACAAAAAAUUACAUGAGAAGAAAAAAAAGAGAGAAAAAAAACCUCAAAUGUAUAUUGAAGCUUGAAUGAUGUCACCAUCAUUACUAUAAAAUAUAUAUCAUUAAAAUGAAUCUAAGAAUAUCAAAACAAAUCAUCAAAAUUAUUUUAUUUAUAAUUUUUUUAUGAUGAUAUUUCAAGGAAAAUUUUAUUAACAAUUUAUAAAAUCAAUAAAAUAUUAUAUAAAUGUUGAAAAAAAUAUUUUGUCGAAAUUCUCUGUAGUGAUAUAAAUAUUUUUUUCACGUUUAUGAUUUUACAUGUGAAAUAUCAUUUAAUUUGCAUAGACACCUUCCAAGAAAAAGUCGAAGUCCGCCACCAUAGGUCACAUGCAUAAUUUUUGUAACAUGCUAAAUUUGAAAAACCAACAACCCUCUCUCCGAACCCUUAGGUCUAACCCUAGUUCUGAAUUUAUAAAUACCUUCUUUCGUCUGUAUUCAAAUACUUCAUUAGGAAAAGAAAUUAACAUACACUUUAAGUGAUAAACUAUAAUAAAACACAGCAUACCCACACAUAUAUACGCGUACAUAGAUAUAUACGUACAUCUAUAUGUAUAUGUCGUCAAUAUUAUUAAAGAAAGUUAAAAUGAGUGACUUUAACGUUGUUAUUAUCCUUCUAAAUGACACCUAAUUAAUAAUUUAUUAUUUUUAAAAAGGAUUAGUUGUGCUUAAUUUAAUUUAGAUAUUCAUACUCAUUAUUUGUUUAUAUAUUUUUUUAAAAAUAUUAAAAUAUAAAUAUGUGGAGAUAAGUAAAUAUUUCAAUAACAUAUCAUUAAUGUAUCUUUAAAGUACAAUUGAAAGAAAGAAAAUAUAUAGAUAGGUUUUCAAAAAGUAUAGUUCUUAGAGAGCAAAGAACAGUAACUUGCUUGAAAAACUACAAACCCAUCUCUCUCUCUCUCUCUUUUUUGGAGAUUUUUUAUUAUUUUGAUAACUUUUGUUUUUUUUUCAUUUAUAAAGAAAAAAACAUUGAGUUAGACAAAUAAUCUCUACAUUUACACUCAAUUUCAUUUAUAAAGAUUUAUUUUUAAUUUAUUUUAUUAUAAAAUCAUUUCAUAAUAAUUUUAAUCAAACACAUUUUUUUAGAAUUAUAAUUAAAAUUAUUAUUUUUUAUUUAUUUUUAACCGCAAUAACUAUACAAAUGUGGAGAACAGAAAAAACUAGGAGAUGGGGCCUUACGAAAUCUUCAUCCGAAAUAGAGUUCAAAAAAUUAUUAUAACUCAGUUUAGUAUUAGUAGCAGCUACUACUACUAAUAACAUGAUAGUUAAUUAUAACUUGUUAAAAUGAUAUACUAAAAAAAAAAAUAUCAAGGAAAUACAUAAUAAAUAUAUUUGAAAACGUAGAUACAUAUUAGUAUAAUGAAGGUAUUUCCAUUCUAUGCUAUCAUUGAAAAGUACAAUAUUAAAAUAAAAAAAUGCUUGCAAGAAAAUAAAAGCUUGUCGUCAUAUUAAAAUAUAAUUAUUUAAUCCUUAUGAUUUUAAAUCUAUAAUUAACAUAAUCUUAUUUUAUUAAUUUCAUAUCUUUUUUUUAUUUUUUUAAAUAAAAAUUUAAGUACAUAGGAUAUAUAUAUAUAUAUAUAUAUAUAAGUUAUAUUUCUUAGCAAAUGACUUAAUUAACCUUUGUCAAUUCUAGUAAAAAUCAUUAAUUUUUCUAAACUAUAAGGUCUAAAUUUUAACAACAACAAUAAUAUACUAAAAUAUGUACUUGCAAUGGCGGAGCUAGGAAUUUUUUUUAUCCUAGGCUAUAAUAUAAAUAUACAUAAAUUAUUUUUUAAGAUUAAUUAUUAACUUGUAUAUAUAAAUUUAUCAAAUUAAUAAUAAAGUUUCAAUCCAAAUACAUAAUACAAAAUAUAAAUAAAAUAAAAUCUAAAGUAUAUAAAAUUGAAAAUAAAAAUAAAAUACAAUAUCAAAGUUGCAUCAUUCGAUGUUUUGUAGAAUAAAAUUCAUCUAUAAUCGAAUCCGAAUCAAUAUCUUUAACAAGCUCUCGUUCAAUGUAAAUCAUUAUAAAAUACGUUAAGAACUACUCUUUUAUUUUAUUGCGAAGCACAGUUUUAACAUGUUUUAUAGCUAAAAAUAUCCGCUCUGUAGUGGCAGUGCAGGUAAAGUCAAAACAAGAUGAAUCAACUUGUCAAUCAAAUGAGAGUACUGUGACUUCUUUGUUUUAACUAAUCCUCGACAUAAUUCAAAAAUUAUAGACAUUAGGGGUGAGCAAAAAAACCGAAAAACCGAUUAAAUCGAGAAAAUAAAAAAUAAUAACUGAAAAAACUAAAUCAUAAAAAAACUAAUUAAACCGAUUAAAAUUUUGAAAAAAUUAACUGAUUCGGUUUUGGUUUUAUAAGCUUGAAACCGAAAAAACGGAGCCAAACCGAAAAAAUCAAGCCUACCGAUUUGAAUUGUUUUAAAAAACCAAACCGAAUCAAAAUUGUUCGAUUUGAACAGGUUUUGGUUCGAUUUAGGUUUUUUUCAAAAAAAAAAAUUAAUUUGGUUUGGUUAUUUUUUUUUAUAAAAACCGAACCGAACCGAAAAUGAUCACUCCUAAUAGACAUAUUCUGAAAGCUUUUAUGAUGAAUCAUAUCAAUCUGAUAAUAUUCUAGCUAAAAUUUUAAAUAAUACAUUUCUUGUUCAUUGAAAUCUUCAGGAUAAUUUUUUAGCUAGAAUUUAAUGAGUUGAGAAUUAUAGACAUUAACUUAAAUUUAGGUGAUUUGUUUGAGUUUAUUUUUUUAUUUCAGUUUCAUCCUUCAACAUUUAAUUUAAUUUUUUUUUUUAAAGUGUGGGAAAAAACUCAAAAAUUAAGUUGUGUUUUUUUUUGAAAAGUUUACUAUGCAAGAUAAUUGAAAUUUUUGUUAAAAAUAAUUUAGUGGUCGGUAAAAAAAAAUGAUAGAACUCCAUUUGCUUUUUGGUAUGUUAAAACCAAACUUGAUAGAUAUUUUAUUUUCUAGCUUUUGUUGUUCUUGAAAAUAUGCUUCUUUAGUAACUAUGGAUUUUUUUUAUUUUUUUUUCCCACCUGGGCUACAGCCCUCCUCAGCCCUCUAAGUACCUCCGCCCUUGUGUACUUGCACUCAAAGAUAAGUAAGUUUGUUAAAUUAUGCAAAAGGGAAAGAAUUAAUCUUGGAUUGGUACAUGAAAUGAACACCAUCACAUAUAAAAAUAAAUAAGAGAAUAACCCAAUUGUCAUCGUCAAUUUUUUUUGGACUCGGCAGCAAUUCGCCCCACUGUAUCCUUGUCAAAAUAAUUAUUAAAUUAUUUCUACCGUGAAACCCAAGUGUCACAUUAAAUAUACCAUGUUUAUCUUUGGCAUCAAGUAGACGAACCCCACACUUAAACAUCUAAUGCUAAGAGAAUGCCGUUCAUAUCUUCCGGGUGGAAUUCAAUGUAUUUACUAAACAUAUCAUUUUCUUUGACAACCAGACAGGGAUCCAAUCCCACAAAUAUAUGUGAUAGCAAUAGAGAUCAUGGCUAUCACCGUGCUCAUUGCGGAAGUGAUACGUGCAUUUAACUUGCAAACUAUGGCUGAAAUAAUGAAAUGCAAUGACAGCGCAAAGAGAGAAACCCAAGAACUCCCUAUUAGCCCAAUGUGAAGAUAGCUGGAAUGUUACUGUAGAUCCCCAAUUUUGAUGGCUAAACCACUCCGGAGUUACAUCUCCAGGGAGGCAGAAACUAAGUGGCAUAGCUGGAACACAGGGCUCCUCCUGUUAACACAAUUUCAAUAGCAUCUUUUUUAAAAUGAGACAUGACAAAUAGAGAAGAAAAGAAAAAAAGCAUAACAGAGGUUUGAGAAACAGACCUGAUGGUAUAACUCUUUGGGAUAAAGUUGAAAAUCUAAUGAGUUCGCCAACUUGGAAAACAUACCGGACAUGACAAUAUAAUCCUCCCAGCAUGAGGCUUGGAACCUUGCUCUCUUGCCUUGGAACCUUGCUCUCUUGCCUUGGAACAUUGCUUCCAAUGCAUCACAAUAAUAGUCGAUGCAAUGUAUUCCAUCUUCAUACAGUAGACGGAUCCCACACUCGUGUACUUAACAAAGAUCUAAUGGUAAGAGAUUGCCAUUCAUAUCUUCCAGUUGGAAUUUAAUUGAGACCUUACUAUAUUCACUAAAUAUAUCAUCUUCUUUGACAACCAGGCAGGGAUCAAAUCCUAUGAGUAUGUGAUCUGAGUCAAUGCGCUUCUCAUCAUACCAACCAUGGAGAUAGCAAUAGAGAUCAUGGCUAUUACCGUGCUCAUUGCUGAAGUGAUAUGUGCAUUUAACUUGCAAACUAUGGCUGAAAGAAUGAAAUGCAAUGACAGCGCAAAGAGAGAAACCCAAGAACUUGCUAUUAGCCCAAUGUGAAGACAGCUGGCAUGUUAUUGUAGAUCCCCAACUUUGAUGGCUAAGCCACUGCGGAGAGACACCUCCAGGGAGGCAGAAACUACAUGCCCCUUCUGGAACAUCGGGUAGCUGCUAACACAAUUCAAAUAGCAUCUUUUUAAAAUGAAAGGUGGCAAAUAUAGAAAAAAAAAAGAUGUGUAUCAGAGGUUUGAGAAACAGACCUGAUGGAGCCUUUUGGUAUAAAGUUGAAAUUUCAUUAAUGAGUACGGCAAGAUUUGAUUGAUCCUACACAAGCUCAAGCAAUUAGUGAAAAUGAAUUCAAAAAUGUUCCCCCCAACUACAGUUGAUGAGCUUGAUUCUAGAUAAUUCAAACUCUCGCAAUUGUCUGCAUCCAACUUUGAUAGCCGUGGUGGAAGCUCCGGUAAUGAUUCAAGUCUCUUGCAAUUCCUUAAUCCUAGAUAUUGCAACUCCAAGAGUUCAUUGAUGCUUAUAGGUAUAGUCUUAAAAUUGUUUCCACUUAGAUCUAACACUUCCAGUGACGAUAGAAAACCAAGACUGUCUGGCACUACCGAUAUAUGGCAACCAUCUAGAUUUAGCUUACGCAAACAAUUUAAACUCGAAGCGUCCAAAACAUUCGAUGUCUUCUAGAUAUUUGCAGUUUCCCACUUCCAAGCAGGCAAGUCCCUUCAGAUUUCCAAUCGGUGAAGGCAACUUUGUUAUGCUUGUCUGUUCCAAAUAGAGAUAUCUCAAACAUACCAUCGGCUCCAAAACUUCUGGAAAAUUUCUAAAUUGGAGGCAACCUGAGAGAUUAAGCCUCCACAGUUUUCUCAACUUGCAGAUGCUGCUUGGAAGAAUCUCAAAUUGUUUGCAGUUUCGCAGGUGCAAUUCAGCAAGUUCAAACAAACAUUCUAUUGAUGAGGGAAUCUCUCGUAUUGCUGUCCCAUCUAAAUACAGCUCCUUUAUAUUAUUUGAAACCUUUGGAAACUCCGUGAUACUUGAGCAACCGGAAAGAUCUAAAUAAAUGAGUUCCCUUAGAUCACCAAUUGAAGAUGGCAGUUCUUCUAUUGCAGUUCCAUUCAAGUACAAGUAUCUUAUAUUCCUCGAAAAAUCAGGAAGCCUGCUGAUAGAUGAGCAGCCAGAAGUCAGCAAUUAGAAGAGAUUUCAACAAAUAUAUGUUUUCUGGAAGAUUAACCAGGUGUUUGCAGUUCUUCAAAUUCAACGCAACAAGUCCACUUUGUUCCCCAAUUGAUUGGGGAAGCUCUUCAACAGCAGUCUCAUUUAAAUUUAAAUAUGUCAGUUUCCUUGCAGUCUCUGGGCACUUCUUGAGAUUUGAACAACCAGAAAGGUUAAGACUCUUCAGACAUCUUGAAUUAAUUCUACUGGGCAGAUUGAUUAGGCUUGUGCAGCCUCUCAAAUCUAAAUCAUUAAGCUUGUCCAGAUGCUGUAUAGAUGAAGGAACCUUAACCAAACUUGUACAGAAUUGAAGAUUCAUCUCUCAAGGUUUCUGGCCUUUGAAAGGUCUGGCAGGGAAGUUAUGUGCUCACAAUUGCUGAGGUUGACAUCUUUUAAAUUGACGAGAUUCUGAAGCAAAAUGAAAUCAACAGAAAGAAAUUACACGUGCAUACCACACCAAAUUUCAAAGAAAGAACUAUGCAUGCAUAGAGUUAUUUUUAGAAUACCUGGUCUCCCCUCCAUAGUUGCUUAACCUUGCUAGAUGAUAGGUUAAGUUCAACAAGGUUCUGUGGACGAAAAUUGCAAGGCAAAGAUGUCAAAGGGUAUCCAUCCCAAUGGAGAUACCUCAACUCAUGAGAAAGAGACUCGAGGCCACUAGGAAGGUGCACUGUGCAUUUAUCUCCAGCUACAGAAUUAUAAAUUUUUAACAGUUUAAGAUUAUACAUCCUUGCGAAGGCUGUAGAACUCAACUCUAUUUCUCUUAUUUCUGAAAAAUCCAACAUCCCUUCUACUUUUUCAGUUCUUAUUUUUGAAACAUCCAGGAAUAUCCCUUCAACUUUUCCAGUUCCCUGAAAACCAGUAAAGGAGAAGCAAAGUUUAAGUAAGAUUUUAAACCUACUAGUACAACCAUAGUGCAUUGCAUAGGAAAGGGUAAACUUUCGGGCAUGUGAAUCUCACCAGAUUAUUGGUCAACACUUGAUAUGCAUCUUUUGGAUUCCAUAAUCUGCUUUGUUUUCGUAGCUCAUAAGCAGAUUCUUUCCGAACAACUUCAUGGGCCAUUUCUUGCAAAAGAUCAUGCAUUUCAACCUUGUCAUCUGAAAUUUUAAUGAGACACCUGUCAAUGAGAACACUGAAUCCAAUAUCUGUUUUGAAACCGCAGCCAUCUAGUAUCCGCUUUACAAAAUCAACUCGAUGCCCUCCAAAGAAACAUGCAAUGUCCAGAAAUAUACUCUUCUCUUCACUAUCAAGUGCUUCAUAACUUAUUCUCAACACACUAUGAACUUUUUGCCGAGUUAGUUUUUCAUCCUUGUUCAAUGCACUUUCCCAUUCUUUUGUCGUUCUGCCAAAUAGAAAGGAACCUAAGACUUUAAGAGCUAACGGAUUCCCUUUAGCAUAAUUUAUUGCCCUCACAGACAGCUCCAUAUAAUUGUAUGGGAGCUGGUUAUCCUUAAAUGCAUGCAAACUAAAGAGAUGAAGGGCUUCCCGGUAAUUCAGUCCCUCAACCUCAAAUAUUUUGUCUGCAUAUUUCUUAAGGACCUGUUUAUCUCUAGAUGUUAGGAUAAUUCUACUUCCUGGACCAAAAUCACAUCCUCCAAGUAACAUUUCAAUUUGAUCUACAUCAUUCACAUCAUCGAAAACAAUCAGAACCUUUUUACGGCUGAUCCUGUCUUUAAUGAAAGGGUGUCCAAUACGUGGAGUGCGAAUAUGUAGAUUUUCUUCCUCUGUUAUUUUAGAGAAAAGUUCAUCUCGCAUACGAAAUAAUCCUCCAUUCUUUUCUGAUUCCCUCACAUUUGCAAGAAAAUAGUGACCUUCAUAUUCCCUUGCGAUCUUGUUGAAAAUCUCUCCAGCAAUGGUUGUCUUACCACUACCACCCAUGCCCCAAAUUCCUACAAAACAAACCUCCGGUAACUGUGUGCAUAAUAAGGCUUCGAUUUGCUUCAUACGUGAAUCCAUUCCAACCAGGCCCUUCAAAUCACUUGAGGAUGCAUAAUUCAAUUUCUUCAAAAUAUGAAGUACAAUUUGUUCCACGAGUCUCGACUCAGGCCUGCCAACAUGGAGGCGAACAGAUAUGUCAAAUAGUACAACUUGUGUGACGGAUUCCAAUUGCCAUACAUUAUAACACACAUACAUGUGAAAUCUAAAUUUACAGAUGCAUGGAAAAACUAUACUUUAAACUGCUCAUUUGGUAACAUUUAGAAGUCACAUAACAUAUUAUAAAGCUCAAAACAUAUGCUUCUGAAUCCAAAAAUAUGAUUAUCAACUUCAAGAAAUUUUAAUUGCUAUAAAUAAAUUUUAAUUGCUAUAAUUCCAGAAAAAAAAAGGUUGAAGAUGAGAAUCUAUAGUUACCUAGUAACCUGUGAAUCCCAUCCGGAUAUAUUGGCAGCACUUGUUAAGUCAGCUCUCCACCUUGGAACCUUGUCCAUCUUCUGCUUAAAAUUUCUUUCAAGCUCAGCAAACGCAUUCCCAAAACUCCCUGUCUGUUCGUCAACAUCGGACGGGUCCACAUGAUAGAAAACUGGUAAAACAAUCUGCCCGUAUGCCUUCUUGCAUUCAAGUAUCUUCACUAGUUCAUCCACACACCAUGGAGAAGAUGCAUAGUUUCUUGAGAAUAUUAUCACUGAAAUUCUCGAUUCUUCAAUUGUUCUCAAAAGUGCACCGUAAUUUCUUCUCCCCUUUCAAGUUUGUCGUCAUGAAGGUCUUGAUUUGUUUACGACACAGAGCAUCAUAGAGAUGGCUGAUAAAAUUAUCUCGCGUAUCCUUACCUCUGAAACUAAGAAACACAUCAUACUUCCAUUUUAGCAACAGCAGAUGAAGAUGCCAUAUCAGACAGUUACAAGAUCGUGUCUUCCUCAAUCACUAAGAAUCGAAUCAAUAAGUGCUCUCCUUUUCUCCUAAAGACAUAAAAGAGCACCCACUUCAACAGCUGAACAUUCAUUAAGAGAAAUUGAAGUCUAAGAGUACAAAACCCACACAACAUAUAUUUAUCAGAAAAUUCCUCAAACUCUUAACGAUGGAUAUAUACUAGCUUAAUUUGAUAUGAUCUAUCUUAAUUUGAUCACUCGUCACUUGCUACCAAUGCUAGCUUUCUAUUACUUUCAUUGCAAGAACAGUCACUAGCUGAGCAAAGAAUUACAGAUGGAGAAUUAAUAUGUUCAUGAAACAAACUUAUCAAACUCGUAUAUAUAAUCUUAAAUAUAGAAGACGCAUGAACCAGAAAGACUUACCAACAGAUCAUAAGAACAGUUGACUUGUGUUUUCAUCAGCAAACAAGACGAAGAAGAAGCUGAUAUUGUUGAUGAUAAGACGAUUUUUCUUGUCUAUUGCCUUCAAGUAAAUUCUUACAGACAAUCUGAUCUCAUCGUACUCUAAAUGUAAUCCCAGUUUUUGAUCAAGAAACAGGUGAAUGAGAGAAGACUUUGGGGUAAUCAAUACCAAGUACAUUAAUAGCUAGUCUAUCACAUCUUAGUCUUGUAUUUCAAAUAGACAACCAUGUUAACAUCAUCUCGCAGUAUUAAAUCCAUGUUAAUUUUCUUGGUGAGGCCAAAUUAGCAAACUCAACUCUGUCUUGCAUCAGCUAAAAGUCAACGCGUUAAAAGGGGUUUAAUAUAACACUUUAUUUUUAUUUUUUUUUUAAAUAAAGUUUGGCUUGGGGGGGCGCUUUGUUAAUCUUGAUUAUUAAAUAACUAUCUCUCAUUAAUCUGCCGUUGUGAUAGGAACGCUCUUUGACUUGCACCACAAGAAAACCAUACUUUCUCCACAAUCAUUAAUUAAUGAGCCAACAAAGACAACAGGCUAGAAAAACAUAACUACAAAUUGAAACCACCACCCCCACCUCACACCCAUUGCAAAGUGUCAAUAAUGUAAAAUCAAAACAAUCAAAAGGUAUUUUUGUACAAUAACACAAUUCAAAACAAACGCAAACUAAUAUUCUAGGGCCUGUUUUGAAUUAUGGUGGGAGUUGCAGUUAAAAGUAUUUUUUACUUAGAAAUAUAUUAAAAUGAUGUUUGUUUUUUUAAUUUUCAACAGGCUAAAAAAACAUAACUACAAAUUGAAACCACCACCCCCACCUCAUACCCAUUGUAAAGUGUCAAUAAUGUAAAAUCAAAACAUUCAAAGGGUAUUUUCUUGUACAAUAACACAAUUCAAAACGAACGCAAACUAAUAUUCUAGGGCUUGUUUUGAAUUGUGGUAGCAAUUGCGGUUCAAAUUAUUUUUUACUUAGAAAUGUAUUAAAAUGAUGCUUUUUUUAAUUUUCUAAAAAAUUAUUUUUGAGAUCAGCACAUAAAAAAAAAUCUAAAAAUAUAUAAAAAAAUUGAAUUUUAAGAAAACAUGGUUUCAAAACCACGUUCCCAAAUGUGGCCUAACCGUUAUCAAGAGCACCUCCUCUCCCUAUCCCUUCCAAGGUUGUCAAUUCCGUUUCGAUAGGUGUUUCGUCUUUUCAAUUGGAAUGGAAUGUUUCAGUUUCGGAGUGUUUCGACGUGCUGUUUCAGGGUUGUACUGUUCAUAUAUAUAUAUAUAUAUAUAUAUAUAUAUAUAUAUUCAACAAACAUAAUUCAAAUUCAAGAUAAAUUAAUUAUAAAUUAUGCAAUACAAACACAAUGCCAAACAAAUAUAAUUUAAAAUUUAAAAUUUUUCUAAAUAGUCAAGAUUAAAUAGAUCUUUAACUUAAAGUAAUUCAACUUAAACAAAAUAUCAAAAUAUUAUGAAAGUAAAAUGUUUUAACAAAAAUAUUUUAAAUAUAAAGUUAGGUCAAUGUUAUCAAGUGGCUAAUAGAAUCUAAAACAUCCCUUGUUUUGCUCAAAUUCCUACAAAGUAUAAACAUGAACAAAAAAAAACAACAUGAAUAUAAACCAUAUUUAUUAGUGAUAAAUCUAAUUUUAAAAAAUUAAUAUCAUUGUUAAUGAAAAUAGUAAUAAUAAUUUUCAAUAUUAUUAUUAAUAUCAUUGCUAUUGAAAAUAGUAAUGUAAAAGAGUUUUUUAUAAUCGGGUGGUUUAAUUAAUGAAAUUGAGCAAGGUUCAAUUUGAUUCAAUGGCUUUUCAAGAGCGAAACGGAACAUGUGGAAUGAAAUCGGAACGUUUCGGGCGGAAUUUAGCUGAAAAAUCCGGAACAGACCGAGAUUCAAAAUGAGAUGAAAUUUGUUCCGUUUUUUGAAUUGGUAUGGAAUGUUUCGGCCAUUCCAGGCGGAACGGAACGGAAUUGACAACCUUGAUCCAUUCUCCUUCUCCCCCAUUCCAAUUAAUAUGCUAAUAUAAAAAAAAUUAAAUAUUCAAAAUAUUAUUUUAAAAUAUUUUUAAGUAAAAUAUAUCUUUAAAAAUCACUUUAUAUAACAGCACCAAAUUUUCAUUUUUUUUUGCCUUUUGGAUUCAACCCAUAGGCAAUGACUUUAUCUUCUGCAAAUUUAAUAAUUGUCAUAUUUGAAAGUUCAAUCCCAGUCAUUACAAAAAUAAAGAUAAAAAUAAAAAAUAAAAUAGAGACCUAACCCAAAAGAUCUUAGCCAUGCAUGAUUGGAUCUUAGCCUAACCGAGUUUCAUGGAGCUCAACUAGACCUGGCUAAGGGAAGACGGUGAAAGGGAUGAGAGCUCGGUUGGGCAUAAUAGGCCUAACCUAGUUGUGGGGCCCAACCGAUAUAUAUUUUAUAUUAUCCUAUCAUUAGUUUUAAUUUACUAUAAAAUUUAGUAACCUUCUCUAAUUUCCACAACAAGGGAUACAAGGAGUUUUUUUACAGAAUGUGCUCGGUUGGGCACAUUCUGUUUUUUAUCUAAUUAUAAAGAAAAACUUGUUUAGUUAAUAAAAAUUGUUCCUAAAUAUAAUUCUAUUUCAAAUCUUGAUUUUAUAUAAUAAUUUAUUUUUUAUUCAUAGAUAUUUGUUUAUAAUUUAUUUUACAUGUAAAAACCUGUUUUAUAGUAGUUUUAACCAAACAUAUUUGGUUUAAAUCUAUAUUUUUAAAACUGCAUCUAAAAGUUUUUUUUUUCUCUAAACCGUAACGGUAAAAACUACACACUAAAAAACUAUUUUUCUUUGUUUUUUUUUUUAUUAAAUCUCAAGGAAUAUUUCAAAAUUGGAUCAAAUUUAAUCAAGGUUUGUUGUUCUAUAUAAUAUAAUUAAAAAGAAAAGGAGAAAAUUAUAAUUGACUUUCUUGUAUUAUCUUAUUGAAAAUUAUUGUUGGCUUUAUUGCAUAUAACGCAAUAAUAUGCUUUGUAGUCCAAAACAAAGCUGCUUUUUAGGUUGAUCCAUGUAAGUAAAUAACAAGAGUAACUUGGACGGAUGGUUUUGUAAGGGAUUAAGCGUGCGUGCGUGCGUGCGUGCGAGCGAGCGUGAGAGAGAGAGAGAGAGAGAGAGAGACCUCACUGUAAAGUCUUUUGGCAUAUAGCUGAAUUUUCAAGAGAGCGUAUGCCAUGAUAUUGUUGAGUGCAGCCUCACCCAACAUGAGACAAUUAGUAAAGAUGAAUUCAAAAAUGUUUCCAUCAACUGUAGUUGAUGAGCUUGGGACUGUUCUCAGAGAUGUGCAGCUGUGUGCAUCUAGUUUUGCAAGCCGUGGUGGAAACUUGGUGACAUUUGAGCAGCCAGAGACAUCAACAAUAGCAAUAGACUUCAACAAACAAAUACUGUCUGGAAGAUUCCCAAGUUGUUUACAGUCCCUCAAAUUCAAAGCAACGAGUCGACUCAGAUGUCCAAUAGAUUGGGGAAGUUCUUUGAUUGCAGUCUCAUUGAAAUUCAAAUACAUCACAUGCUCUGUAGUCUCUGGGUACAUCUUGAGAUUUGAGCAGCCAGGGAGGUUAAGAGCCUUGAGAUAUUUCGAUUUAAUGAUUCUUGGAAGACUCAAAAGGCUUGUGCAGCUUCUCAGAUCCAAAUCAACAAGCUUCUCUAGAAAUUGAAUAGAUGAGGGAACCACUUUCAGAGUUGUAUAAAAUUGAAGAUUCAAUCUCUCAAGACUUUUAGCCUUUGAUAGGUCUGGAAUUGCAGAAGAUGCUCACAAUUACUAAGGUUGACCUCUGUUAAAUUCACAAGAUUCUGCACCAUCAUAGCAUUGAUAACAAAAAAACCAUUAGUAUCUGUACAUUUUAUGUGAUGUUUUGUAUUAAAAAGAUUGGAAAAUACAAUAAAGUCCUUGGUGGCUUAAAGAGAGGGUAUAAAUGAUUGAGGGUUAGUGUGUUAAUUGAACAAUAGUUGAUAAAUAUAAAUAAGAAGAAAAAAAAAAAAACAAGAAUGAUCUGAUUUUGAGAGAAAGAGAGCUGCGGGAGAGAAAGGAAAAGAGGAAGAAGAAGAAAAGAAAAGAGAGAAGGAAAGGAAGGAGAAGAGAAGUAGAGGAAAUAAGUAAAAAAUGUAAGAUUUAUUGUUUGAAGUGUAUAAUAUGUUAAAUUUUAGUUUUGAUUAAUUUUGAGAGUUUUGAAGUUUGUAUUUUGAGUUAAUUGAUGAAUUAAUUUGAAGGUUAGGAGUUGAUUAUUGUGGGUAUUUGAUUAAUUAGUUGAUUUUGAGAGAUUGAAUUGAAGGAUAAUGAUUUUGAGUUAUGAUUUUGUUUAAAUGGUGAAAUUGUGUUAGAAAUCAGGGAUAACAGUAGGUGAUCUGUUGAAAUUCUGGGUUUGAGGUUGAAGAUGACGAAAAUUCAGUUUGGUCCCUCAAUUUGUGAAAUUGCAGUUUAGUCCCCGAACUUUGGAAAUUUUACAGAUUGGUCCCUGGGGCAUAAAUUGAGGUUCUGAACAGAACUGAGGAUGAUUUAAGGACAAAAUUCCAGUAUAAUUAAUAUUUUCAGUUUGGUCCUCCAAUUUGACAAAAAGAUUUGACCCUAAAUUUUGUAAAUCAAUGGACCUUGGGCAUAAUUCAAGAUUCCUGGACAAAGAUAAGACGAAUUAUGGAUAAAUUUCAGUAUGGUUAUAUAUUUACAAUUCGGUCCUCAAAUUUUGGUAAAAUUACGUUUUGGUCCCUGUUUUGGAAAAUUGUCGUUUUAGUCCCUAAACUUGGGAGAUUAAGCCCGGUUUAUUUUAUGCAUUGGGAUCUUUUGUUUGAUUUGUUUUUGAGUAUAUUUCAUAUAUUUAUUGUAGGUUCUCCUAACGAUCCUUAAUGGAUUUUCGGGUCUUUCGUCUGACAUUCCUUUUAGUUCAUAUUUUCCGGGUGAGUGGAAUAAUCUUUAAUAUGCAUAUAAUAUAAAUAAAUAUGUAUGUUGAUUAUACAAUGAGUACAACUAGUAAAUUUCUUGAAUAUUUAUAUAUGUUGCUUUAUUUUCCGAGUACUCAUUUAUUCUUGAAUUUGCACUCGCAAUCUGAUAAAGUAAAUUCUAUUUGAUAUGAUAUAUGUAUCUGAUCAAGUAAAGUCUAUUUGAUAUGAUAUACGUUUCUUUGAUGAUUAUGUGAAUAUCUAUUAUGCCUUGAUAUGGGACUUGUCAGUAACUCCAUGCUAACGGAGAAUAGUUAGCCUGUGUGCACAUAGUAUUCUGUUACCUAGCUAGUGAGAGAGGCAUCAGCCUGUGGCGAUUGAUCAUCCCACAGUGGUCACCGACGGGUGUCAUCUGGUCACCUUCGGGUGUCAUCUGGUCACCUUCGGGUGUCAUCUGAUCUCUGACAUGUAAUCCACUACGUUAUGAUAAUAUGUUACGUUAUGAUAAUAUGUUUAGUAAGUAUAUGUAUAUGUAUAUGUAUAUCAAGAUAAAUCAUCUUGCAAAUACUAUCUGAAAUAUAUGAAAUGUAUAUUAAAUGUUAUUCCCUCACUGAGUUGGUUGAACUCACCUCUCAUUUUUUAAUAUUAUUUCAGGUUCUUAGUUUCUGGAACUUUGUUGAGUGUUUCCGCUUCUUCAGUUCUGGUCGGUAUGCCUUGCUUGUUCGCGAGGCUUUCCUUUCAGUUUUGAUUUGAUAUCUUAGAUGCUCCACUGUUACCUUGGUUUAAUUAAAUUUGGAUUUGGACAAUGUAAUGAGUAUUAUGAAUUAUUAUUUUUGUUUUAAUAACUAUCUUUCGGUUUCAUCAGUAUUUGAAUAAUAUAAUAUUUCUGAAUAUUAUGAGCCGCUGCGUAUUUUUGAACAAAUUGUUCUUUUGAUAUGUCCGUUCUGAGGCUUAGCGUAGGUGAGGUGUCCUUUCGACACCGCUCCUACGUUGCCGGUCACGGAUCCGGGAUUCGGGUCGUGACGUUUUAAAAUUCAUUUGAAAAAGGACAAAGAUUACAUGUGUAGUGACUAAAACAUACCCGGUCCCCCUUCCAAAGUUCUCGAACCUUGCUGUGUGAUAGGUUAAGUUCAACAAGGUUCUCUGGAUGAAAAUUGGAUGGCAAAGAUUUCAGAGGUUAUCCAUCCCAAUGGAGAUACCUCAACUCAUCAGAAAGUGAUUUGAGACCAUUAGAAAGGUACACUUUACAGUUCUUUCCAACUUCAGACUUAUAAAUUUUGAGCAAUCUAAUAUUAUACAUCCGAGCAAAAGCUUUAGAGCUUAACUUGAGUUCUUUUAUUUUAGAGGUGUCAAAGAAUAUCCCUUCAACCUUUUCAGUUCCCUAAAGAUCACAGCAAGGAAAAAACUAAAGCAUGAUAAGUAACACAAAUCCAUGGUCAUAUGUGAGUACUUUCAAACUUCAUAGACCAAAUAUCGAAAAAGAAACAAGAAAUGAAAGAAAUUAAGCAUUUGCAUACAUGACACUCACCAUAUUUUUUGUCAAAACUUGAUUGACAUCCCCAGGACUCCAUAACCUACUAUGUUUUCCCAGUUCUUUUAUGGAUUCUUGUCGGACAAUUUCAAAAGCCAUUUCUUGCACCAGAUCAUGCAUUUCAAGCUUUGCAUUUGAAAUUGUAAUAAGGCACCUUUCAACAAGAAAAAAAACUCCAAUAUUUGUUGAGAAACUGGUGCAAGCGUUAUUUCUAAGGUGCCUACUGGAAAGGAAUCCAGUAUUUAGUGAUGUUUACGUAGAGGGCAAGAGAGUCUGCAAUGGGAAUUUAGAGGUUUAAUGGCAACUCCAUUAAUCAUACUUUCAUUAUACUUUUCAUAUCCCUUCUGUUACAACCGUGCUGCAUAUAUAUACACAGCCUACCCAUUACUGGCCUAACCGUAUCCUUUUGUUCCGGACUGAUGAGCACACACAACCUGGUGCUUCAGUUUGUUACAGGAACAGUGGCGCUAAAUGAAACGGGGCGUUUUAGUCUGGCUAUAAUGACUAUAACGGCUUUUUAACAAUUCAAAUUAUAACGGCUAUUUUAACAAUCAAAACUACCUGCCUCAGCCUGUGCAUGUAAUAGGUAUCCCCCCUUCAAAAAGCGACCUUGUCCUCAAGGGAGAAUUCAGGGAAACGACAGCGAAUCUCAUCAGCAAACUCCCACGUAGCAUCAGAUGGUGUGAGACCCUUCCAGUGGAUUAGGACCUGAGUAGUGGCCUGGUUAUCUUUUUUCACCAUCCUGCGAUCCAAAACUAUAUGGGAAAUAAUCAUAGGAACUGAAGGACUACUAGGCACUAUGGACUGCACUAUCUUGUUUCCAAUGUGUUUCUUUAACUGGGACACGUGAAAAAGUGGGUGAAUGGAAGCCGUGCGGGGUAGUAACAACUUGUAAGCUACAGAACCAAUCCGUUUUAGGACUGAAUAAGGUCCAUAGAACUUGGAAGCAAGUUUCUGAGAACUUCUGUGUGCCAUGGUUUUCUGUCGAUAGGGCUGUAACUUGAGGUAAACUAAAUCCCCAGGAGCAAAAUGUCUGUCACUACGCUUGCGAUUGGCAAGUUGUACCAUACGAUGUUGAGCUUUGAGUAAAUUAUCUUUGACUUGGCCAAGCAUCUCUUCUCUCUAGGUAAGCAGUUGAUCAACAGCCUCUACUGUGGAAUCUUUAGGAAAGUAGGGGAUGUGUAGAGGAGGAGGAAAACCAUAUAAAAUCUCGUAAGGAGUAGACUUAGUGGCGGUGUGAUAAUUGGUGUUAUACCACCAUUCAGCAAGAGGCACCCAUUUGGACCAUUGAUGAGGACUGCCACCAGACAUACAACGCAAAUACUGCUCUAAGCACCUAUUCACCACUUCUGUUUGGCCAUCAGAUUGUGGGUGGUAAGCUGUAGAGUGAUGUAGAUCGACUCCCUGAUGGUGGAACAGUUGCUGCCAAAAAUGGCUCAAGAAGACUGGAUCCCUGUCACUGACAAUUGUAGAUGGAAAGCCAUGCAACUUAUACACAUUGUCCAUGAAAACUCUAGCUACCGAAGAAGCUGAAUAGGGAUGACUAAUGGCCAUAAAAUGUGCAUAUUUGCUGAACCUGUCAACUACCACAAAAAUGACUUCCUUACCUUCUGAUUUAGGAAGGCCUUCAAUGAAAUCCAUGCUGAUAUCAGUAAAGGGAGCAAAAGGAAUAGGUAAAGGUUGCAGCAAGCCUGGCGUUAACACAUUUUCAUGUUUAUUUUGCUGACAGAUACCACAUUCCCUCACAAAUUGCCUAAUGUGUUUUUGUUGCUUCUUCCAGUAGAGCAAACUCCCCACCCUUUGAGCAGUAACCACCACCCCUGAGUGGCCCCCUGAAGCUGUAUUAUGGUAUAAGGAGAUCAACUUGUUCUGUAAUGCAGGGUUGUGGCCUACCACGAUUUUGCCCUUCUUGUUUAAGUGAUUGUUGACCCACGUAUAGUGAGGAUGGGAACUGGGGUCAUGCAACAAAUCUUGUAUAAUGUGUUUGAGACUGUCAUCUGAUGCCCAGGUCAGCUUGAUUUCAUCCAUGAUAGGAGUAGAGAUAGAAGACAUGAUCAUUGUGCUUAUGUGUCCACUAGGAAUCCUUGAUAAGGCGUCUGUUGCUACAUUCUCUUUCCCUUUGCGAUAUUCGAUCUCAUAAUCAAACCCAAGUAAUUUAGUAAGCCAAAGGUGUUGAGAAGGACAUGUUACCUUUUGAUCCAGCAAAUGCUUAAGGCUAACAUGAUCAGUCCUUAUGCGAAAAUGUCUUCCCCACAGGUAGUGUUUCCAUUUAGCCACGGCUUGUAGGAUUGCAAACAUCUCCCUCUCAUAAGCAGAUAAGACCUGCUGCCUAGGACCAAGAGCCUUGUUGAGGAAAGCUAUAGGAUGCCCUUCCUGCAUCAACACAGCUCCCACACCCGUGCCUGAGGCAUCUGUUUCAAUUACAAAUAACUUGGUCAUGUCGGGUAAUGCCAAAACUGGAGGAUGUGUCAUUGCUUGCUUUAAUGUUUCAAAAGCAACCGUAGCCUCUUCAUUCCAUUUGUAAGAAUCCUUCUUGAGGAGCUGGGUUAAAGGUUUGCAGAUGGUCCCAUAGCCUUUGACAAAACGUCUGUAGUACCCUGUGAGUCCAAGGAAUCCUCUCAGCUGUUUGAUGUUUUUAGGAAAUGGCUAAUUGACAAUGGCCUUGAUCUUGACUGGAUCCGUGGCCACCCCAGACUUGGUGAUUACGUGGCCCAAAUAUUCAACUUGAGAACUGCCAAAAACACACUUGCUUUUCUUAGCAAGAAGUUUCUGGCUCCUGAGUAUUUCAAACACAAUUUGUAGCUGCUCGACAUGCUGUUCCAAGGUAGGACUAUAUACCAAGAUGUCAUCAAAGAAAACUAGAAUGAAUUUUCUUAAAUACCGCCUGAAGAUGUCGUUCAUCAAGCUCUAGAAGGUAGCGGGUGCGUUUGUUAAGCCAAAUGGCAUAACCAAGAACUCAUAAUGGCCAUUAUGAGUUCUGAAAGCUGUCUUGCGAAUGUCUCCAGCCCGCAUCCUUAUUUGAUGAUAACCAGCCCGUAGAUCAACCUUAGAAAACACAGUAGCUCUGCCCAGUUCUUCCAACAAUUCUUCUACAAUUGGAAUAGGAAACUUGUCUUUGAUGGUCAUUUUAUUAAGAGCUCUGUAAUCCACACACAAGCGCCAAGUGUCGUCCUUCUUCCUUACCAAAACUACAGGUGAAACAAAAGGGCUGGUGCUGUGUUGUAUGAUGCCCGAAUCCAGCAUUUCAGUGACUAUUGUUUCCACUAUGUCUUUUUGUAAGCCAGCAUGACGAUAAGGCCUGAGAUUGACUGGUUGGGAUCCUUCUUUGAGAGGAAUGGCAUGGUCAUGUGCUCUUAGAGGAGGCAGUCCUGUUGGCUCCUUAAAAAUGUCCUAGUAAGAAUGCAACAAUUCAUCUAUGGUUGAAUUAUUUCCAAUGUUAGGUUGAAGAGUUGUUGUCAUUGAACUGAUAGCAUGAUCACUAUCUCCCACCACCCUUAGGCUGCGUAAAUUCACUUCCACCAGCUGGUUUGGACUGUUCAGUAGGCUAUUGAAUUGUUCAAAGCCAAUUGUCUGCAGCUUAACUGGAAUAUCCCCUUGCAGUAAAAUGUCCUGCCCUUGCCAUAUAAAAGACAUCCACAAUUCUUUAAAAUUAGAUAAAAUGUUACCUAAUGUAGCUAGCCAUUGUACUCCCAGCACCACGUCACAAUUAUUGAGUUCCACUACAAACACAUCUGUGGAGAAUUGGACUCCCUGCAUUCUCUAGAGGAAGUUCUUACACACAGAAUUGCAAGUCAUCUGGCCUCCAUUUGCUGCUUCGACUGCUAAUGGCCGGAUUGGAGUGAGGGUGCAGCUCAAUUGCCUGGCCACCUGGGUGUUUAUAAAAUUGUGUGUGCUCCCAGAGUCGAUCAUGAUGAAGAGGGGGGUUUUAUCAACCUUACCAGUCACUCUCAGGGUCUGAAAACCUGAAGUACCCUCCAAGGCAUUGAUUGAUAUUUGGGGUGUGAAGGUGUCAGGAUCAACUUCACUGUCUGCUUGGACCUCAUCUUCUAACACCUCCUCAUUGCCCACAAUACAUAGGGAAUAAACCUUUUUGUUUUUGCAUCUAUGGCCCGGUAUGAAUUUUCUUCACACCAAAAACACAAUCCCUUCGCCCUCCUCUCAUCCAGUUCUUUAUUCCUUAAGGUCUUAGUAGGUCGGUAUGGUUUGUUUGGGGAUUUCUGGUGGUAAGGAUAUGGUUUGAUAGUGGUGUUAGUCGGGUAGAAGGUGGGUUUAGUGCUAUUUUGGGUAGUGUAAGGCUUGGGUGAAUUAGCACUCGUAGGGCUGUAUGUGUUUUUAGAGUAAGACUGGUGUGGCUGUCUAUGGCUAAUGGUGUUUUCUUGUAGCCUAACUAGAUUGUAGGCCUAGUAGAGGGUUUUAGGCUCAAACAUUUUGACCAUGUUCUUAAUCUCCACUUCUAAUCCUCCAAGGAAGAAAACCAAUGCCUGCCUUUCUGUCAUUUCUGCUCUAUUCCACAGAAUAUCAAAUUCCUGUAUAUAAGAUUCUAGAUCAGUCUUCUGUUUAAGGUCUUUUAGUUCCUCUAAAGGAUCAGUUUGGCCUCCAAAACGACAGCAUAAUGCAUCAAUGUAUUCACUCCACAGGACUUCAGGUCGAUGCCUAACAAAAUUCUAGUGCCAGUAUAAGGCUCGGUCAUCCAUGUAGUAUGAUGCUUGUUUGAGUUUUUCAGAAUCAGUCAUUUCUGUAAUUUCAAAGUAUUGGUGACACCUGAAUAGCCAUUGAUAGACAUUGUCUCCAUUGAAACUAGGGAAAUCACGUCUAGGUUUGAAUACCUGGUGAAGAUGUUGAUCUGCUUCUCUGGUCUAAUUAUUUCUGCUGACUCCAUUGGAACACCCCGGCUGUUCAAGGUUAGCAUGUAGUUCACCUCUUCCUGAGCUCAGCCUCUGUAGGAAGGAGUUUUGCUGAAAGGUUAGACCACUGAUUAAGUCUUUGAUCUCUCCAAACUUAACCUCGUGACUCUCCAUUUUCUGGCCAUAGACUUCUAAUAACUUGGUUACUUGCUCAUAUUUGGCCGCGUGCUCCUUGUUGGCAGACUCAAUCGUCUCCUCCAAGCGUCUUAGAUCCUGUGUUCUUGUGUCUGGAGGCAUGGCUGUUGUCCAAGGUUCGCGAGCUCUGAUACUAGUUGGUGCAAGCGUUAUUUCUAAGGUGCCUACUGGAAAGGAAUCCAGUAUUUAGUGAUGUUUACGUAGAGGGCAAGAGAGUCUGCAAUGGGAAUUUAGAGGUUUAAUGGCAACUCCAUUAAUCAUACUUUCAUUAUACUUUUCAUAUCCCUUCUGUUACAACCGUGCUGCAUAUAUAUACACAGCCUACCCAUUACUGGCCUAACCGUAUCCUUUUAUUCCGGAUUGAUGAGCACACACAACCUGGUGCUUCAGUUUGUUACAGGAACAGUGGCGCUAAAUGAAACGGGGCGUUUUAGUCUGGCUAUAACGACUAUAACGGCUUUUUAACAAUUCAAAUUAUAACAGCUAUUUUAACAAUCAAAACUACCCGCCUCAGCCUGUGCAUGUAACAGAAACCACAUCCAUCCAGUAUUCUCUUCACGUAAUCAAUUUGCUUCCCUUUAAAGAAACACGCAAUAUCAAGAAAUAUGUUCUUCUCUUCAUCACCAAGUGCAUCAAAACUUACUUUCAACAUAUUAUAAAUUUUCAGCUGAGGAUUUCUUUCAAGUUUAUUCAAUGCAUUUUCCUAGUCCUCUUUCCUCAGGUCAAAUAGAAAGGAAUCCAAAACUUUAAGAGCCAAUGGGUUUCCUUUAGCAUAAUUUACUGCCCUGAUUGAUAGGCCCAUAUAAUCUUUUGGAAUGUGGUUUCCUUUGAAGACAGACAAACUGAAGAGUUGACGAGCUUCACUGCAAUUUAAUUCCUCGACCUCAUAUAUUUCAUCAGCCACAUUCUUAAGCACUUGUCUAUCUCUGGAUCCCAUGCGUAGAGUGUCAAUACUCUGGAAAGGAAUUCCUCUCGCAAGCGAAUCAAGCCACCACAUUCUUCCGAUUUCUCUCUUACACUGGUAAUAAGACAGCAGCUUUCAUAUUGACUUGAAAUACUGUUGAAAACAGCUUCCGCAAUGGUUGUCUUACCCAUACCACCCAUGCCCCAUAUUCCGAUUAUGCGAGCUUCAGAUGAUCUAAUGCAUAAAAGUGUUUUGAGUCGUUCAAUGCGUGAAUCUAUCCCAACUAGGCCCUUAGAGUCACCUAAUGAUGUGUGUUUCAAUUUUUUCAAAAUGAAUUGCACAAUUUCACUUACGAGUUUGGACUCAGGCCACAUACAAUGGACUAGAUGAUGGCAUGUCUAGGACAAGAUGCUGGGACCUGGUACGAUGGACUGUCUAGGCCAAGACAGAAACACAACAACAUUAGCGGCAUGUGGGGUGGACAGCUCAAGCGAAGCAUGGGGUGGACUUUCCAAGAAGGGUCUGGGGCAGACAAUUGACCAUGUGGUUCGUGAGGGGCAGACCAGGCUAUAAGAACAUAUAGGGUGGACUGGACAAGAGAGGCAUGUGGGGUGGACAGCUCAAGGGAAGCAUGGGGUGGACUUUCCAAGAAGGGUCUGGGGCAGAGCACUCAUGUGUGGAACAUAAGUUUAUGCUGUGGAGUAUGCAACAACUUGUAAGCAGAAGGUAAAUUCUUCGUAUCACACAGACGGAUUUGUGUAUUCCUUUGUCAAAAAUGCUUUUAUGUUUUAAAAAAUUAAAAUUUCAAAAUUACUUAAGAAUAAAAGAUUUUAGAAAACAAAAUUCUUUUUUUUCAAAGAAAUAAAAUCAUGCAUGCUAGCUCUUGUAUAGUGUAAGAGCGUUUUCAAUAUGAAAUGAAAUUUUGUCAAAUUGAUUGGUAAAACUUGUUAAAAUGACGUAUUAAAAAAAAGAUUUCUUGAAAAUACAUAAUAAACAUUUUUGAAAAUGUUGAGACUUAUUAGUUAAGCUAUUUACCUUUUAAAACAAUAUCUAAAAAAAAAAACAGGUAGUUACAAUACUUCAAUACACUUCAAUUGUUCUACGAAAUGACAAUAUUAAAAUAAAAUAAAAAAUGCUUGCAAGAAAAUAAAAGCUUGAUGUCAUAUUAAAAUAUAAUUAUUUAAUCUCUAUAAUUUUAAAUCUAUAAAUAACAUAAUCUUAUUUUAUUAAUUUCAUAUCUUUUAUUAAUUUAUUUUUAAAUUUUUUAAAAUAAAAAUAAAAAUUUUAAGUACAUAAGAUGCAAAAAAAAAUAUGAGAAAAGAAGGUAUAUUUCGUUAGCAAACGACUUGAUUAACCUUUGUCAAUUCUAGUAAAAAAUCAUUAGUCAUAUUAAAAUUUAGAUUGGUAGGUUUGCUCUCCAUUUCAUCCAUUAAGGUUUGGAUUUUGUCAAAUUUUGCAAAAGGGAAAGAAGAAUACAUUAAUCUUAGAUUGGUACAUGAAAUGAAUACCAUCGCUGAUAAAAAUAAAUAAAAGAAUAAUCCAAUUCUCAUCUUAAAAUUUUCUUGGAAUCGACAGCAAUUCACCCCUGUAUCCUUAUCAAAAUAAUUAUUAUAUUAUUUCUACCGUAAAACCCAAGUGUCAUUCAUAUUAAUUAUGCCUUCUCUUUUUUCUCGAGGGAAAAACGUAGCCAAUUUCAUCCCAUCUCAUGCUUGGAACAUGCUCUCUUGGCUUGGAACAUUGCUUCCAAUUCAUCUCGAUCAAGAGGAAAAAACGGAUAGUCUGGCGCCCUGGUCAAAGCAAAGCGACGUAUCUCAUCUUUAUCUUUGGCAUCCAGUAGACGGACUCCACACUCGUUUACUUGACAAAAAUCUAAUGGUAAAAGAUUAUCUUUCCUAUCUACUAGUUGGAAUUCAACUGAGAUCUCAUUGUAUUCCCUAAACAUAUCCUUUUCUUUGACAACCAAACAGGGAUCAAAUACACAAAUAUGUGUUCUGAGUCCAUGCGCUUCUCAUCAUACCAACCAUAAAAAUAGCAAAAGACAUCAUGGCUAUCACCGUGCUCAUUGUGAAAGUGAUACGUGCAUUUAACUCGCAAAUCAUGGCUGACAGAACGAAAUGCAAUUACAGCGCAAAGACAGAAACCUAGGAAGGACUUGCUAUUAGCCCACUGUGAAGAUAGUUGGAAUGUUACUGUAGAUCCCCACUUUUGAUGGCUAAACCACUUCGGAUUCACAUCUCCUGGGAGGUAGAAACUGAUCGGUACUGCCACUACUAAAGUAUUGGGCUCCUUCUGUUAACAAAACAACAUCUUUUAAAAAUAAGACAUGGCAAAUAUGGCAAGGAAAGAAAAAAGUAUAUCUAUUGGUAUAACACAAUUAAAAAAGUUUGAGAAAUAGACCGCAUGGUAUACCUCUUCGGAAUAAAGCAUGAAACCCGAAGAAACACGCAAUAUCAAGAAAUAUGUUCUUCUCUUCAUCACCAAGUGCAUCAAAACUUACUUUCGACAUAUUAUAAAUUUUCGGCUGAGGAUUUCUUUCAAGUUUAUCCUUUGGUCAAAUAGGAAGGAACCCAAAACUUUAAGAGCCAAUAGGUUGCCUUCAGCAUAAUUUACUGUCCUGAUUGAUAGGCCCAUAUAAUCUUUCAGAAUGUGGUUUUCUUUGAAGACAGUCAAACUCAAGAGUUGAUGACCUCAUAUAUUUCUUCAACUACAUUCUUAAGCACUUUUCUAUCUCUGGACGUCACAAGAAUUCAACUUCCUGGACCAAACAUAUCAUGCCUAAGACAUGUUCAUAUCCCAAGACAUUCUGUACUAGUCAUUCUGUGGAUUCAAAUUAACAUGCAUAACAUGGGAAGCAUGAUCCCAAGACAUAUUUGUUGGCGUGAGUUACGCAAUUAGCUAGCUUAGACUGAUGAAUCCUUUCCCUUGAGGGACAAACAUGAUUGUAGUCGAAGAUAUUGUAUAGGCAUUAAAUAACUUUCUAAAAUAGUUCCUUGUAUCUCUAUAUUCUUGUAUCUCUAUAUCUUGUACUCAGAUUAAUGAAAUAACAUAACAAAGAAAGCUAAUUUUGUCAUGGUAUCAGAGCAGGAUCUUAGGUUUCCUGUUUUUUGAUCAGGCAGGGAUCAAGUUUUUCUUUUUUCUUCUUCUUUUUGUUUGGCUUCUAUGGCUGACUCCACUAAAACUAUUCUUGAUAAUCUGACAUAAAAAAUGACAGAGGUCUUGACAAGGGUCCAGAUUAAAAUUUGAAUUUUAUCAAAUUUUGCAAAAGGGAAAGAAGAAUACAUUAAUCUUAGAUUGGUACAUGAAAUGAACACAAUCACUGAUAAAAAUAAAUGAAAGAAUAACCUAAGUGCCAUAUUAAAAUUUUCUUGGAUUCGGCAGCAAUUCGUUACACUAUAUCCUUGUAAAAAUAAUUAUUAUAUUAUUUCUACCGUAAAACCAAGUGCCGCACGUGUGCGGCGUCGCGGCGAAAAACUACAUAGUGUUUGUUUCCAUUUUCUUAAUCUACAAUGUAAAUCUAUCUAUAUCUAUGGGGAUACAAGAAAAUGCUGUCUUUUAUUGGUAGAAAAUGGAAUGGGAGUCGCCACCUAGUAUUUUGGUCACUAGGAACCCUAACUGGUCUCAGAGAUUGGGUACGGGGACUGGUUGCGUAAAGGGAAGGUAUUAGCACCCCAAAUACGCCCUACCUAAGGUAAGCUGCAUUGUUUUAUUGUCUGAUAAAAACUAAGGUGUUAGUGUACUUCUAGUCGUUGGUCUGUUUGUGGUUCAAGAAAAAUCCUCCUCGGUAAGAAGGUCUUUUAUCUUAUCGGGUAAAAUCCUAACCGUUCUAACGUCUAUACCAAAACUUUAUUAAUAAUAUUUAGGAAUACGUUUUACGUAUAAAUUCGUAAUCCCAAAUACUAAAAGAAAACAAAAAGAUUUUUUAAGAAUUUUUGAAAUAUUGGCCUAGUUCUCAUGGCUUGAAUAAACUGGUUAUUAAAGCCAAAAUGCAUGCUAAUACAUAUAUUGUUUUGAAAAUUUUCUUUGUUGUGUGAAAAUAUGAUGUUAUAAUAUUUAUAUAUAUAUAUAUUGGAGAGACUAGGCCGUAUUUUAAAACAAAAACAAUUUUUUGAAAAUAUUAUUAUUAUUAUUGUUUUGACGAAAAUCAGGUAUUUUAAUACUGAGCUUGUAUCCUUACGAUAUAAAAAUACAACCCAAUAUUAAUCCACCUUGAUAAAAAUAUGCAGAAAAAUCAACAACAUUUUUAGGGACUUUUUAGAAUUUUUUUGAAAGCAAAAACAUUUUUUAUUCUGAAAAUCUUUGAUAUUUUGACGAAAACCGGGUAUUUUUAACACUGGUUUUGUAUCUUUACGGUAUAAAAAUACAAACCAACAUUAAACCACUUUGACAAAAAUAUGCAGAAAAUCAACAAUAUUUUUAAGAUUUUUCAAAAUAUUUUUUUUAUUUUUAUACAUAUAUGCAAAAUAUUUUUUUAUUCUAUAAAUUAUAAUACACACAACACACACACACACACAUAUAUAUAUAAUUCACGUCCUGCGUGAACAGUAGGACGUGAAUUAUAUUUCACGCCUACUGUUCAUGCAGUGAACAGUAGAAAGAAGAAGAAGGAGAGAAGAAGAAGAAGAAAGGAGGAGGAAAGGAAAAGGAAGGAGGAGAAAGGAAGAGGGGCUCACUUGGCCGAAGAGGUUGUGGCUGCUGUGAUGAGGUGGUUCAGCCGGUGGUUGCAGCGGUGGAGUUGGAGGAAGACGGCGUCGGUUUCCUGUUGCAGAGGAAAGAAAGAAGAAGAAAAAUCUGCAGAAAUUGGGCGAAAAUGCUGGUUUUUGGCUGACUUUGGACCUGAAUUUUUCAACCCUCAGAUCAUCAAAUCCGACUCUAUUUAUAGGCUGUGGAAGAGGGCAAUCUUGUCUACGUUGGGGAAAAAUUUCAGCCCUUGAUUCAGUUGGAAAGCAUCUCAACCGUUGGCUCAAAGUGUGCACCUCGAGCUGCCAAAUUUGGCAGCUCCAGGCUGUGAACUGCCCGAGGUGGCCACUUUGAGCCACUCACCGGAGCCGUUUAUGACUUUUUCGACCCGACCUGAUCAUUCUCCGGGAUAAAGGGGUUUCAUGUGGACAUGUUGGUGUAUGUUGUGUCGGAUUUGGAGGUGACACGAGCCGGAAAACGCGCCUGGAAAGCAGCCACUCAGGCAGCUUUUUGAGGAAGAAAGUGAACAGUAAUUUAAGGCACCUUUUCCAAAUUGGUCCCUAGUUUCGGUUUUUCACAAUUAAACCCCUAAUUGGCCAUUAAACUUCAAUAUUUAUUCAAUUAAGCCCCUGAUUUGGCCUAAUAAAUUCCUAAAAAAUAUAUUUUGGCCCCAGAACUUAAAUUUCUUCUAAUUAAAGCCCAAAUUGACUUAAAAAUUAAUUUUUCUUGCAAUCAAAACUCAUAUAAAUUCAAAUAAAAAUCCAAUCAAGUCCAUAAACAUCCAAAUUUGGGCUUUUUUCCUCAAAAUUCAAAUUUCCUUCUCAACAGGGCUCUCAUCCUUCAAGAAUAAACUGUUAAAAAUCCAUCUUUGUAUUUUUAAACUCCUUGACUGAUUUUUCUGACCAUUUGCUGAGCGCUUCUGCCUCCUGUUAUUUUUCUAACCUCCUUUGGCUAUUUAUUUUAUUUCAUUUAUUUGGGGACCCAAAAAUGGGUUUCAACACCAAGUACCAUUCAUAUUAAUUAGGCCUUCUCUUUUUUCUCGAGGAAAAAAGAAUAGCGAAAAUAAUCCUCCCAUCUCAUAUCUAGGAACCCAAAACAAAGCAAAUUCCUGACAACAUAAAAAGCAUUGCCUAAGCUAAGUCGAGGGAAAGCCUUGUUUAGACUUUAGAGAAUAAACAUAGGCCUAAACUGAAAGGCCUGCUUAUGUUUGGCUAAAUAAAAAAAAAGAUGGGCAAGAGUGUACCACAUCUAAGCGAGUAUGGGAGGCGUCCGAGCCUUUUGGAUAGCGUUUCUUGGUGUCCAAAAAUACCUUUAUGUCGUGUUGUUGGGAGCAUCGCCAUGUCCUUUUUCUACUGGUUUGACGUGUGCCUCUAGUAUGCAUUUUUUCCCAUUAUUUUCUCUUUCCCUGAAAAUUACAGCUUGACUCUCUUUGUUGAUGGUACUUCAAUUUCAGUUUAGUAAGCUUGGGUUGGCUCAACCGAACUGUUCUCUAAUCUAGUUGGCCCCAAGUGCACAACUCUCUGGUCCACGUAAGCCAACCCAAUUAGACUCACUCAGAGUCACCGCCUUGACUUGGUAUCAUGCAAAUUCCUUGCAUUAGCCCACAUCACAAUGUAUUAUUACGAACUCCAAAAGGUCACCAUGGUGCCACGCACCUGCUAGUGCUACCAUAGUUAUCAGACCCGACCUGGGGGUGGAGCCGGCCAAAAAAUCAGGUUCCGGGUUACACGGGUUGACUUGAGUCAACCAGAAUUAACCCGAAAAAAUUAAAAAAAAAAUUAAAGUUUUAAUAUUUCAUAUGAAAAAAUUAAAAAAUAAUUCAUGUGAAUAUAAGCUAUGCAUGUUAUAAAUAAUAAAGUUUAAAAUAUUAUUUCAAAAAGGUUUUUUAUCACACAUUGAAAAGAUAUCAUGUUAGUAUGUUAUCCUUUUAAGUUGAAGUAUUUAAACCAAAAAGGUUUUUUAUCCCACAUUGAAAAAAUAUUUUUUUUCUUAUGAAUAUAAAAUAUAUAUACUAAAGGGCUUCAAAUCAUACAUUAAAAAAAAUAAAAUAUUCUUUUAAUAUUUAUAUAAUAAAUUUGAAAAGAAUUUAAUAAUACGCUUCUUAGUUAAAAGAAGUCAACCAUUUCAAUUGCAGUAUUAUGAGAUCGAUAUACUUAAUCAUCUAUAAUUAAAAAAAUAUAUCAUCAAUUACUGAUUUAUAUUAAGAAUUAGUUAAAACAGAAAAAUUAACAAUUUAUCUACUCAUUGACAGAUUGAUUCAGUUUAUUUUGAUUCCUUUUGUUUUGACAGCAACUACUGAACAAGCUUUUUCAACUAUGAAAAUUGUUAAAACAAGACUUUAUAAUCGGAUGGAAAAUGACUUUCUUGUAAAUUAUUUGAUUGUCUAUAUAAAAAGAAAAAUUGCUGAAAGAUUCAUAAUUGAUAUGAUAAUUGAUGAUUUCUAUUUCAUGAAAUAACGAUGAAUAUAAUUAAAAUAAAUAUAUAAGAAUUAUUUUUUUAUUAUUUUUUACGUUAUUUUAAAGUUUUAUUAAGCAUAAAUAAUGCAUCGUUUUAACUAAUAUUUCUUAUAUAUUUUGUAUGUUUAUAUUUAAUAGGUAUAAAAACCAACAAAAUUAAAAUAAUGAAUAUAUUAUGAAAAUAAAAUUAACUUUAUAGCUUUGACUCAAUUUUAAACCUCUUACCUUAUAUAAAUAUAUAAAAUCAUCAUAUAUUUAUAAUAAGUUCUUUGAAUAAAAUAAUUUUUUUUUUUUUUAACAAUUCAUGCACAACUAUUUUUUCUUUUUUAAAAAAUAUAUCUUAUCAUAUUAAUCAUUUUUUAUUAAAUAAUCCUAGCUCCGUCCUGAUCCACCUGACCUGGGUUUCUCACAUUGUCAUCAGAAGUUCAAGAGAAUGGCAAAACGGCUGAUAUAAGCCAUAGCAGUAGCAGUUUGAAGUCUAGCACAGAGCGUCUACUAAGAUCAUUCUCGAUGCCAGCAGAUGCAGAUGCAGAUGCAGCAGCAAAUGCAAGGGUGAAUGUCAUCUGCACUCGAAGGAAACCCAUUUUCUUGGAGUGAGUGAUGCAAGCAACCAGAUGCGAGUAACUAAAUCAGAACAGCUCCGAUGGUAAGGAGACGCAAAAUGAUCAGUUUUCGCAAGCUCCGUCUCACCAGAAGGGUAUAAAUAUCAACGACGGCCACGGAAAGACUCCAUAAGAUUUGAACACCGACAGCAUUAAGGGUUGCCAAGUGGUAAGCGGCCUGUGUCCCCCAAAGGCGAACCAGCGUUGCCUCUUUUAUGUCUCAAGAUUUGGAUGUAUGUUUUGGUUUUGUUUACAUGGAAGCCAUUUUUUGUUUUGCUUCUUUCACCGAAGAAGACUGCGUCUGCAUUUUGCUCCGUUUCAACCAGGGGACGCAAGAGGAAAUUGGGAUUCUCUAACAAUCUGCCAGAAUUAUUACAGCAAAUUACAUUACAUUAAAAAAAAAAAGGGGGGGGGGGGCUAAAUUGAGGGGAAUGUUUAAGAGUUUGAUAUUAGCUGUUUUUUAAAGAAUUGUUUUUACUUAAAAAUAUAUUAAAAUAAUAUAUUUUUUAAAUUUUUUAAAAAUUAAUUUUAAUAUUAAUAUAUUAAAACUAUUUAAAAACUGGUAGAUUCAUUUUUAUUUUUUUACUUAAAAAUAUAUUAAAAUCCUUUAAUUUUCAAAAGCCAUUUCUUGCAACAGAUCAUGCAUUUCAAGCUUUCCAUUUGAAAUAGUAAUGACGCACCUUUCAGCAAGAAAAAAAACUGCAAUAUUUGUUGAGAAACCACAACCAUCCAGUACUCUCUUCACGUAAUCAAUUUGCUUCCCUUUAAAGAAACACGCAAUAUCAAGAAAUAUGUUCUUCUCUUCAUCACCAAGUGCAUCAAAACUUACUUUCAACAUAUUAUAAAUUUUCAGCUCAGGAUUUCUUUCAAGUUUAUUCAAUGCAUUUUCCCAGUCCUCUUUCCUUAGGUCAAAAAGAAAGGAACCCAAAACUUUAAGAGCCAAUGGGUUUCCUUUGGCAUAAUUUACUGCCCUGAUUGAUAGGCCCAUAUAAUCUUUCAGAAUGUGGUUUUCUUUGAAGACAGUCAAACUCAAGAGUUGAUGAGCUUCACUGCAAUUUAAUUCCUCAACCUCAUAUAUUUCUUAAACCACAUUCUUAAGCACUUGUCUAUCUCUGGACGUCACAAGAAUUCUACUUCCUGGACCAAACAUAUCAUGCCUAAGACAUGUUCAUAUCCCAAGACAUUCUGUAAUAGUCAUUCUGUGGAUUCAAAUUAACAUGCAUAACAUGGGAAGCAAGACAUAUUCAUAUCCUAAGAUUCAAGUCAUGAUAUCAAUUAAAUGAGAAGCUAUCAAUUUAAAAGUCAAUUUAAAAAUAUAUAUUGACUCAUAUGAAGAAUUUAAAUUCAACAAUUGAUUAUUUUUAUUGUAAUAAAAACAAUAAUCAACAUAUAUAUUAUCAAGAAGCAUGAUCUAAUUUGUAUUAAUAAUUCAAAUAUUUAUAAUAUUUAUCAUGCAUAUGAAAAAUUAUUCACUCAUCUGACUCUAAAGCGAACAUAACUUGAAAGCAGAUACUGAAGGAAAUCCUAUUUAAUACAACCUAUUUUGUAGGUAGAAUAUCAGGAUUAUCUUAAUACAAAUAAAACAUAUUAAAAAACGAGUUGAAAAGAAUAUACAACCUAUUUAAUACACUUAACUAAGAGUUUAUUCCAUAACCUUAUAUGUUUUUGAACUAAAUUAGUUAUUUUUUCUAAAAACACAAAAUUAAAUGGUUUUCUUGAAAUUUAAUUCAUAAGAUAAAAAAAAAAUUAUAAGAAUUGAUAAUAAUUCAAUUAUUCAUAAAACCAAUCUGAAAAAAUUAAAAUUACAUCAAGGGACCAAUCUAGAAUUUUAUCAUAUUUUUAGGGGUCAAGUUGUAAUUUUAUCAAAUUGGAGGAUCAAAAUGAAAAGUCAUAAAUUCAUAACUAUACUGGAAUUUUGCCAAUAAUUCAUAUUUAAUUCUGUCAAGAAUCUAGGAUUAUGCUCCAAGGACCAAUCUGGAAUUUUAUCAUAUUUUUAGGGGUCAAAUUGUAAUUUUGUCCAAUUAGAGGACCAAAAAGAAAAUGUCAUGAAUUCAUAACUAUACUGGAUUUUGACGAUAAUUCAUCUUUAAUUCUGUCCAGAAUCUAAGAUUAUGAUCUAGGGAUCAAUCUGUAAUUUUUUAAAGUUCAGGGACUAAACUGUGAUUUUCACAAAUUAAAGGAUCAAAUUGAAAUUUCAUCAUCUUCAACCUCAAACCUAGAUUUUACCACAGAUUACCUACUGAUAUAUCAAGAUUUCUAACUCAAAUUCAUCAAUUAAAUAAAUCAUAACUCAAAAUCAUCAUUUUGAUCUAAAAUCUUUCAAAAUCAACUAAAUAACUUAUUAUCCAUAACAAUCAACCCAUAAUAUUCAAGUUAAUUCAUCAAUCAAAUCCAAAAUAAAAUCUUCAAAACCCUAUUAUCCAACAAAAAAAAAAAGUAAAGCUAAAGAAAACACAUUUAUACACAUCAAAGCAUAAAUCUUACCUUUUAAAUUUAUUUUCUCUAACUAUCUUCUCCUUCAUUUAUCUUUCCCAAUUUUCUCUUCUUCUUCUUUCCUUUUCCUUCUCUCCUGUCAGUUUUUCACUCUCAAUUUUAGAUCCCUCUUUCUUUCUUCAUUCUAUUUAUACUUAUAAAGUAUUAUUCAACUACCAUAAUACUCUUUAUUCAUUUAUACCUACUUCUAAGCCUCCAAGGGCUUUGUUGUCUUUUUCUAUUCUAUUUUGUUUUCAAAACAUUACAUAAUCAUUGUUUUAUAUAAUAUUUUUUGUUUAGAAAUAUAUCAAAAUAAUAUUGUUUUAAUAUUAUUUUUUAUUUGAACACAUCAAAACAAUCUGACAACAUAAAAAAAUAAAAAUAAAAAUAAAAUAAAAUAAAAUAAUUUUUAUUUUCAAAAACCCUUUUGUUGCAAAGACUAACAGGCUUUUAGCUUCAUCAAAGGAUACUUUAUCACAUAAGCUCCUUUAUUUAGCACAAUCGUUUCUUGAGUUUCAUCAAAUGAAAUGAUCUUAACAAUUCUAUGUUUUUAGGCUUCAUAUAUAAUUUCUUCAUGAUAGUGGUUACUACUUAUCACUGGUUAUGUAUGAAGCAUAUCUCUUGUCUCAUGCUCCUCUGACUAACAUUAAAGCUAUUAUUACAUUGUUGGAUACUAAUGUCAAGAUUACUACUAGUGAUGCUACUCCACUUUAUGAUCCCACACUGUAUUGUCAAUUGGUUGAAAGUCUUGCAUUUUAUGGCACUCAUUUGUGCACAUUGUUAUUUAGUUUAUGCAUGCUCCUUGCAACACUCAUUUUGCAGCUAAUUUUUAUAGUUUUAGAGUCUGUUCAGUAUUGUAAUAAUGAUUGAUUUUCAAAGUAUUUUUUUGUUUAGAAAUAUAUUGAAAUAUUUUUUUUAUUGACAUUAAAAUGAUCUGAAAAUUGUAAAAAAUAAUUAAUUUAAAAUAAAAAUAAAAUAAAAUAAAAUAAAUUUUUUUAAAAAAUACUUUUGUUGCAAAAACAAACCGGCUUUUAGGUACAUAACCUCCUUCUUUUAGCACAAUCAUCUCUUGAGUUGCUCACUUAUUCUAGUGCAAAUUGCGUUGAUGAUCCCACGAAUCAUCACUAAGCUAAUGGAUAUUAUUUCUUCCUCAGGGAUUCAAACAUUUCAUAGAAAAAAGAAAAAUAUAUUUACUUCUCGCCCUGGUGUGUGUGUGUGUAUGUAUAUGUAUUUAUAUAUAUAGAAAUAGAACAUCAUGCUUUUACAGAUAUAUGCUCCGAGUAAUUGUGGUUGUGAUAGCUUCGUUGGGAUAUGAGAGUUCAUUUCUCAAAUGCUACAUUGUAUCAUUCUGAUAAUAUUCAAAGUGUUUUUUAAUUUAAAUUUCUCAUAACAAAGUGUUUUAUAAAAGAACUAAAUGUUGGGACCUAUGAUCAAUGCUCAAAAUUAAGAAUACACAAUUUAAGUGUUUUAUGAAAUAUAUGUAUUUUAUUUGUUAUGGUGAGUAAUUUAAUUAGGGUCUUUAUUUUUAAUUGAUAUAAAAUUUUAAUUAAAUGAGCUAUUUCGUAAAUUAAAUUUAUGUUAGCUGUGUGAUUUAUUUGUGGUUAAAAUGGUAAUCUAUGUUGUUGUGAAAUUAAUUAAUUAGAUAGAUAAUUUGUUGGUAGAAAACAUGUUGAUUUUAAGAUUAUUAUUUGUAAUUUUUUUAUGGUUUUAUUUAAAAUUAGUUAUGUUUUUUAAAUGUAAUUUGAUAACUGAACUGCAAUGAAACUCAAUAAAUAGUUACCAUAAGUUGCUUGAUAGGUGGUUGCAAAACGACGACAAAUAUGGUAUUUGUAAGUGUUCUGUUUUGAACACUAUGUUUUGAUUUCAAAGUAUUUUGGCUUAUCAUUUCAGAGUUAUAUUGUUUAUAUAUAAUUUAAAAUAUUAAUAUGAUAAAAAUAAAUUCAAUUCAAAUAUAAAGAUAAACUAACUUGAAAUAAUGCAAUUUAAAUUUCAAACACAAUUAAUGACCUUUCAAAUCCAUGAUCUGGAUCAUGAGAUCAUAAUAACCCCAAAUAAAACAAAUUAUAAAACUCAAUUAUCAAUAAAUCUAUUGUUGAUUAAUGAAAUUGGGAGAAAAACAAUCUUAAAAAAAAGACACAAAAAAUAACAUUUCAAAACAAAAUUAUGAAAAUGUCAUUGAUAUUCUCUCAAAGCCUUUCUAAACUCCUAUUACCUUGAAAGUUUAACCUGAGAUAUCAUAAUAUUAUGAAAAUAUCAUUGAUAGUCUCUCAAAGCUUUCUAAACUCCUAUUACCCUGAAAGUUUAACCUGAGAUAUCAUAAUAUGUGUCGCACCCUAAAAAAUCCUGGCGCGCGUCAGCUGGUGACUUUUCUCGUUGUUGCAUUUGCCUUGAAUUUGUUCGUUGGAGUCGCCACCUAGUAAUUCAUUGAGGGCUACUAGGAAACCUGAUGUACUAGUCUUGUCAGAGAUCGCGAGUAAGGGACUGGUCGUGGUUAGGGAAGGUAUUAGCACCCUAACACACCUUACCUGAGGUAAGCUGCUUUGUGGACUUGAUGUGUUAAAGAAGUUUUAAAAAUUCAGUUCUUUCAUCGAAUUUUAGAAAAUACAACUUACAUGUAAGUUCAUGAUUCUUUAUCCGUGAUUAAAUCAGAAUAUUAAAUUCUUCUUUAUUCUUGCAAUAUAAAAAAAACAUUCAUAAACAAAAUACACACCACAUUCACUUUCAAGCUUCGUGGACUUGAUAUAUUACAAAUAAAAUUUUAGCCAAUUCUAAGGCUUUGAUAAAUCAGUUAUUACUUUUCCAGACUAUAUAUGUAGAUACAUGUUCUACAUUUCCAUGGAAAAUUCAACAUGAUUUUUAUCUGUCCUUUAGAUAUUUGUGCAUAUAAAUUAAAUUCAUUUUUUUAUUUAUUUAAUAACAAUACAUAAACAAAAUUACAAGCACACACAAACAUUUUUUUUUAUUAUUAUUAUCACUCUCUUUCUUUUCUUUUCUUUUUCUUUUACAUCCACAUUUACAUAAAAUACAAACUAUAAAAAAAACCACAAAAUUAACCAAAUAUUACAAUGAAAAUUACAAAACAAUCUAAAACUAUUCAGAACAGUGGUGGCGCGUGGAUCUCACGCACCACCGCCACUGGCGGCGCGUGGGUCCACGCGCCGCCGUGAAAAAAACAAACUGAAACAGGGGUCUGCAACGACCUCCUCCCCCUUUCUUUCCUCGCCGGCGCCGACCUGCAGAUCAAGCAAAGAACGCACACCAGUCGAUUUUAAUUUUUGUUCUUUGUUUUUUUUUUUGUUUUUUUUCAAAUCUGCUUCUCUCUUCCAGCUCCGUUUCUCUUCCUUCGCUGGUUACAGAUCCGGCGAUGGGUCUGUGGGCGCCGUGUCUCAGCUGCUGUUCGCGACUGCUGAAGUGGGCGGCGGUGAGGGAAUGGACGAAUGGCUGAUCGUCAGGCUCCGCUCGAAAUGGCGCUCGAUCUGUGGGUGUCGCCGUUGGGGUUGCCGCUGGAGGGCAGAUCUGCAGACGUUGCUGGAGGAAGAAGGUGGAUCGCUCCGAGUCUGACGGUGGAGCUGCAGUUCGGCCGCCGCUGGGGAAGGAAACCGAAUGGGGAGCAACCGUUGCUGGUGGGGAAGGAGACUAACCCCACGGAUCCAAGCUGGGAGGGGGCAGCGGCUAUCUUCAACAGGGAAAGGGAGGCUUCGGCUGAGGGGAGAAGGCUGGGUUUGUGGAGAAAAAAAAUGACUGGUUGUCUUUGAUGCAGGGAAGACGAUGGAGAGCUGAAAAUUAGAGGGCUGUGGGAGCUAAAUGAUACCAGAACCGGGGAGGGGCGGCUCCGGAUGGGUGAGGGAGAAACAAAAGUUCAGUUUUUCUAGGGGUUUUUCUUUUUUUGUGUUUUUGGUUCCUCUCCCCAAAAUUAUCAAAUGACCCCCUUCUCUCCUUUGAGUUUUCAACCUAUAUUUAUAGGUAAAAUGUUGCCCGGGUAUCAAAAUUGGUCCCUCAACUUUUUUUUUUUUGUAAAUUUGGAUUUUUCUUGUUUUUUUCUUGUAUUUUUAAAAAUGAGAAAAAUCAACAUCAAUUCUAUGAGAAAAAUAAUGAUUUUAAAAUGACGCGUGAAAAGUCGAACGUGUUCGAAAAAACAAUUGAAAAUUAAAAUUCUUUUUAGAAGACGUUGAAAAUGCUAAAAACAUUGCAAAUAUAUUAAAAAACAUAUUUUUUCUUUCUUUUUGUUGUUUUCACUAUUUUUGGAUUUUUCGAAAAAUUUAUUAAAAAGGUGGGUAAAAAAUUGGGUAACAACAGAUGCCCCCUCUUUACAAUGCUUACGAAGCAAAACUCCUCAAUGUUUUGCAUAGUAAGCUUUGUAAAGAAAAGAAAAAGAAAAGGAUCUUAUUAUCUUGGGCGACAUGCCCCUUUUGAAGAAAUGUGGUCUAUUUUCCGGGGCGACCGGCCCACACAAUCACACUGGUCUACUUUCACGGGCGACCUGCCCACACAUACUCAAAGUGGUCUAUUUUCAGAAGCGACCGGCCCACACACUCACACUGGUCUACUUUCACGGGCGACCUGCCCACAUAUACUCACUCUGGUCUAUUUUCAGGGGCGACUGACCCACACUCUCACACUGGUAUGUUUUCAGGGGCGACCUACCCACACACUCACACUAGUCUAUUUUCACAGGCGACCUUCCCUUUUGAUUGGGUUUACCUGAGAUUCCAUCUGGCGAUCUAACAAGAACAAAAAUCGGUGUGUAGCUCGAUCAACCUGAAAUCCCAUCUAGUGAUUCUGCGUGAUUAGGCUAAACUGAGAUCCCUUCGCCGAUCCCCUUUAACCAUAACCAAGGUCUGUGUGGUUAGACUGAACUGAGAUCCCUUCGCCGAUCCCCUUCAACCAGAACCAAAAUCCUUUCCAAUUAGGUUAAACUGAGAUCCCUUUGUCGAUCCCCUUUAACCAUAACCAAGGAAUGUGUGGUUAGACUGAACUGAGAUCCCUUCGUCGAUCCCCUUCAACCAGAACCAAAAUCCUUUCCAAUUAGGUUAAACUGAGAUCCCUUCGUUGAUCCCCUUUAACCAUAACCAAGGAAUGUGUAGGGUUGGGCUAGACUAAGAUUCCUUUCGGCAAUCCCCUCUAACCAGAACCAAAAACCUGUGUGUGGUUGGGAUAGAUUGAGAUUCCAUUCGGCAAUCCCCUCUAACCAGAACCAAAAACAUGUGUGUGGCUCGGUCAACCUGAAAUUCCGUAUGGAGAUUCCCUUUAACCAAAGCUACAUGAUAUCCCAUCUGGCGACCUCAUUAUUGGAACUAAAAAUUGUGUGUAGCUCAGUCAACCUGAAAUCACAUCUGGCGAUUCCCUUUAACCAAAGCUACAUGAGAUCCCAUCUAGCGACCUCAUUUAACCAAAACAAAAGAAUGUAAAAAAACAAAACGGUCUUAUUGUAAUGGGUGACCUAUCCAAGUGGAAAGAAUAUGAAAAAUGGUCUCAUUAUGAUGGGUGUCCUACCCAGAUGGAAUGAAUAUGAAGUGUGGUCAUAUUAUAAUGGGUGACCUACCCAAAUGGAAAUAAUAUGAUGAAGGGCGGUCUCAUUGUCAUGGGUGACCUACCCAGAUGGAAAAAAUGUGAAAAACGGUCUUAUUAUGAUGGGCGACCUACCCAGAUGGAAAGAAUGUGAUAUGACAAGUGUGAAAAAUAGGACUUACCUGGCGAAGUCCUGAGGGGAUGACAGAAGACGGGCUGGAAAACUUGGUGCUUCAUGAUAAUCCCCGAUCAUAGGUUUUGAAAACUCAGUGUUUCCUGACUGCAAGGGUUGAAAACUCGAGGCUUCCCGAUUGCAAGGUUGAUCUUUUCAUUUCUUUGGGAUUUCCCUAAUGGUAGGGUUCAUCCCAUCUUCCCUUUUAUUCCAUGAUCAAAACUGAUUCUUUAUUAUCAUCACCACAAUGCUUCUUUCUUUUUUCACCAUCUUGCUGGACCUCAUUAAGGAUUUUCCUGAUUUGAAAUAUAGGUCCCCCCUUCUUUGAUGCUCCAUCUUCAUAGGGUGCCUUUGUUUGCAUUCCAAAGCUUUCCUUGUUCUUUCGAUGUAUUGGAUCAUUCAUGUGCUAGCCAUCCACUCAGCUAUAAAUGCAGUGCCCAUCCCGGGCUGUCUUCGACAAUUACUGCUCGCAUCGUUCAUCAAGUUCGACCCUGCCCCCAAGUGUGGUGCUGCUCGAUUCAUUAUGAAGGAUUUUCUCUCCUAAAUUCUUUCGAGGAUUAUCCUUUGAUUGAUUGUGUGCAUCAUGCCAUCACCCAUCAAGAUUGUUAACCAGUCUUGAUCUUGCCUCCAGUUGAAAUAGUACUCUUCAAGUACAUGUUAUCAUCAGCCUUCUUGGAAAUCAUCCAGUCGUCCAGACAUGCAUCUCAUAGCUUGCAGUACAAAGGCUCAUGGUUGUAUGCUCAGUGUUCUUCUUAAUAGAUUCACUUCAACUCUUUUAAUCAGUUUGUGAAAAGAAAUGUCUCGGCCUCAUCAAUGAUGCUGCUUUUAUCACCCAUACUCAUGCGGUGAAGUGCUCAUCUGGCUUCAAAACAAAUUGUCCCACACAGUCAGUCUUCGGGGUGGGUGCCUUUCUGACAUUCAUUCAAUGCAGUUGCGUGGUAACGUCUGUCGAUAACCAUGUUUCAAAGGAUGACAAUAUGAGAUUGUCCUUCAAGUGCAGCAUUGUUCCACAGUCAGUCUUGGUGGUGUGCAUAUGUUCGAUGUUCAUUCAAAUGCACUCACCCGAUAACAUCUGUCAGGAGUCAUAGCCAUGUUUCAGAGGGUGACCCAAGAUGAAGAUAUGAAAAUAUCCUUCAAGUGCAGCGUUGCUCAUCAAUUGCUGCUGAAGUUCACUAAAUCAUGGAUUGUCUUUGAACAACAUUGCCCCUAGUUGAUCUGAACAUGCUCAUUCUUCUGUUUACAACCAAAUGGCUUUUGUGAAUGCCAGGAAUGACUUUGAUGGCCUUUGAUGACUCAUUAUGUGAUUCUUUCUUUGCCCCCAGCUGAUCUGGAUACUGUUUGUUUUCCUUCUUAAGGUUCACUGUAUUAUCCCCAGCUGCUCAACUUUUCAAGGAUUGUUGAGGACUUCAAUGUCAUUUCUAUCAACGAUUUUGCAUACUCAAUCAAUGUUCUUCUGCGUUUGAUAAUCUUCCUUGUUCUGGAAUCAACUCUCAUAUUUCAAAGAUCAUGUCUAUUCAAAGUCUAGUUUGUUGAAAUGAAAUCAGAGAUGUCCUUUUCGAAAAUCUUUUGAAAAUCAAGCUUUUUGAUCAAAGACCCAACACAGGUUAUUUCAAAGUAUACAAUCCUUUGAUUUUCAUGCAUUUUGAAAACAGAAAUUGACCCAAUGUAGGAUUAAAAAUGGCUUUUUCCAUGGUUCUUUGUAUCCAUUUUAGACUCGGAUUUUGGGUAUAUCUUUUGAUGGUCUAUGAUGAGGUGACCUUUGCGUGAAUUUCAAAAGCAAGGCACCCAAGUCAACACUUAGGCUUUAUCAAGAAAGAUUAUUUCUUUUCUUAGCACUUGUUUUAUCAGCAUGCAUAAUAACCAAUAGCUUAAUUCAUGAAGUCACGACCCUUAUGGAAAAGCUCUUCAAGUUUUGAGAGUGCCAUUUAUCGGUUCAAAUUGCUUGCUUGAUUAAAAAGGGCUUUUAAAAGCACGUAAUGCAGGAAUCUCUUUUUUUUUAUUAUUAUUAUUGCAAAGUUUAUUUUUAAUAUUAUAAUAUAUGCUAUUUUUUUUAAAUUAGUUUUUAUUUAAAAAUAUAUUAAAAUAAUUUUUUAUUUUAUUUUUUCCAUUAGUAUAUCAAAAUUACCAAAAAAACAAUAAAUAAAACAUUAACUUAUUUUUUAAAAUAUAUAUAUUUUUAAAACGCUUUCAAAAUAAAAUUUACUGUAAUUUCAAACACCUUUAAAUAUCUAAUUUACAUUUCGGCUGUUACUUUUUGAAAUGUAAUCACUUUCUUCGAGAAUAAACAAGUGGAUUUCAAAUUAGUUGUCUAACAAAAACAACAGGAGUGGCCGGCAGAGCCCCAGCCCGUGCAAAAAUUAUUUUUUUCCCUGCCUCUCUCUUAAAUAAUUAUAAAUUUUAGCUCUAGAAUUAUUAAAUUUUAACUCUUUUUAACCCUUUUUAAUUUUAUCCUCCAAUUCUAAUGCCCUGUCUCCACUCCAACCCUGGAAACAGCCUCAAAAAAGUGUAAUACCAUUUAACAGUGCUAAAAAAAUUUAAAAAAAAGACCUAAAAUUAUGUAAGAAUUCAUAAUAAAAUUCAAUAGAAUUGUCAAGCAUCAACUAAAAUAACUGCUGCCCGAGAGACGACGUGGGCCAUAGCUCUUGUCUCAUCUAUAAUUUUAAAUUCUAGCUUGAUUCGGCAGUUAAUUUGAGAUUUUGCUCAUUCGAAAUUAAAACUAGACCGAUUAUAAAAAAGUAAAAAUAAUUAAAAAUCCGAAUAACUCAGCUAACUUAAUGUGUUGAUCUAGUAAUGUGAUUGACUUGACAAGAUUCGGUCAAAAAUUCAAUUAUAAUCCAUUGAUUAUUAUUUUUUUUUAUCAAAACAAUAUCAUUUUAAUUUUAAAAAAAUAAUUAUUGGCUUGAGUGACUUAAUAACCCGGUUAAAAACCAGUGACCCAAACCUUAGGCCAGAUUUGAAAACACUAUCUCAUCUAUGCAUGGCUUGCCUUUUGUUACCUAGUUCAAUAUAUAAAGAAAAUAUUGAAUCUAGUGAACACAACAUUAAAACAAAUAAAAAUGAUAAAUAUAAUAGAUUCUUAAAUCUGAGCUAAACAAAUUAGGAUUUGAAUAUGGAUAAACAUUUAUAAAAUUCCAAUUUAAUUAAAAAGAUCCUCACAGACAUUUUUAUUAAAUUUGACAAUCAUAAUUUAUGAAUACCUCUUUCUUCUGAAUUCAUAUACUUCAUUGGUAAAAGAAAUUAACAUAUUUUAUAAUUUCUUACACUUUAAGUGAUAAACUAUAAUAAAACAUAGCACACCCACACAUAUGUACUCCUGUGUGUGUCUAUAUAUAUGUUGUUAAUAUUAUUAAACAAAGUUAAAAUGAGUGAUUUUAACGUUGUUAUUAUCAUUCUAAAUUACACCUAAUCGAUAAUUUAUUAUUUUUACAAAGGAUUAGUUGUGCUUAAUUCAGAUAUUCGAUACUCAUUAUUUGUUUAUAUAUUUCUUAAAAAAAAUAGUAAAAUAGAAAUAUAUACAAGAUAAUUAAGUUAAUAUUUCAAUAACAUAUCAUAUUAAAGUAUCUUUAAAGUACAAUUGAGAAAAAGAGAAUAUAUAGAUAGGUUUGCAAAAAGUAUAGAUCUUAGAGAGUAAAGAACAGUAACUUGAUUGAAAAACUACAAACCCAUCUCUCCUUUUUUUUUUUUUUUGAAGAUCUUUUAGUAUUUUGAUAACUUUUGUUUGUUUUUUUUUUUCAUUUAUAAAGAAAAAAACAUUUAGUUAGACAAAUAAUCUCUACAUUUACACUUAAUUUCAUUUAUAAAGAUUUAUUUAUUAUUUAUUUUAUUAUAAAAUUAUUUCAUAAUAAUUUUAAUCAAACACAUAUUUUUUUAGAAUUAUAAUUAAAAAUUUUAUUAUUUAUUUAUUUUAUUGCGAGAACAGAAAAGACUAGGAGAUGGGGCCUUACGAAAUCUUCAUCCGAAAUAGAGUUCAAAAAAUUAUUAUAGCUCAGUUUAGUAUUAGUAGCAGCUACUAAUAAUAAUAACAUGAGAGUUAAUUAUAACUUGUUAAAAUGAUAUAUUAAAAAAAAAGAUAUCAUGGAAAUACAUAAUAAAUAUAUUUGAAAAUGUAGAUACAUAUUAGUAUAAUGAAGGUAUUUCCAUUCUAUGCUAACAUUGAAAAGUACAAUAUUAAAAAAAAAAAUGCUUGCAAGAAAAUAAAAGCCUAUCGUCAUUUUAAAAUAUAAUUAUUUAAUCCCUAUGAUUUUAAAUCUAUAAAUAACAUAAUCUUAUUUUAUUAAUUUCAUAUCUUUUUUAUUUUUUUAAUAGAAAUAAAAAUUUAAGUACAUAGGAUGAAAAAACAAACAAAUGAAAAAAGAAGGUAUAUUUCGUUUGCUAAUGACUUAAUUAGCCUUUGUCAAUCCUAGUAAAAAUCAUUAAUUUUGCUAAACUACAAGGUCUAAAUUUUAACAACAACAAUAAUAUACUAAAGUUUUCUCUAAAAGAUAUAUACUUGCACUCAAAGAUAAGUAGGUUUGUUAAAUUAUGCAAAAGGGAAAGAAGAAUACAUUAAUCUUUAAUUGGUACAUAAAAUGAACACCAUCGGUGAUAAAAAUAAAUAAGAGAAUAACCUAAUUGUCAUCUUUAAUUUUUUUUGGACUCGGCAGCAAUUCACCUCACUAUAUCCUUGUCAAAAUAAUUAUUAAAUUAUUUCUACCGUGAAACCAAGUGUUACAUUAAAUAUACCUUCUCAUUUCUCUACGGGCUUGGAACAUUGUUCUCUAGGCUUCCAUUAUUGCUCUAAGGUAUGGCAACCUUGUUCUAUGGGCUUGCAACCAUGUUUCCAAUCCAUGUUUAUCUUUGGCAUCAAGUAGACGAACCCCACACUCGCGUACAUCUAAUGCUAAGAGCAUGCCGUUCAUAUCUUCCGGUUGGAAUUCAACUGAGACCUCAUUAUAUUUACUAAACAUAUCAUUUUCUUUGACAACCAGACAGGGAUCAAAUCCCACAAAUAUGUGCUCUGAGCAGAUGCGCCUCUCAUCAUUCCAACCAUGGAGAUAGCAAUAGAGAUCAUGGCUAUCACCGUGCUCAUUGCUGAAGUGAUAUGUGCAUUUAACUUGCAAACUAUGUUUGAAAUAAUGAAAUGCAAUGACAGCGCAAAGAGAGAAACCCAAGAACUCGCUAUUAGCCCAAUGUGAAGAUAGCUGGCAUGUUACUGUAGAUCCCCAACUUUGAUGGCUAAACCACUCCGGAGUUACAUCUCCAUAGAGGCAGAAACUAGAUACCCUUUUUGAAACAUCGGGCUCCUCCUGUUAACACAAUUUCAAUAGCAUCUUUUUAAAAUGAGACAUGACAAAUAGAGAAGAAAAGAAAAAUACGGUAUAACUCUCCGGAAUAAAGUUGAAAAUCCAAUAAGGACCUCACCAAGAAUUCAUAGGUCCUACGUAUGACAGAAUAAUCCUCCCAACUCAUGCCUUGGAACCCUGCUAUCUUGCCUUGGAACCUUGCUCUCUUGUCUUGGAACAUUGCUUUCAAUGCAUCAUAAUAAUCGUCGAUGCAAUGUAUCUCAUCUUCAUAUAGUAGGCGGACCCCACACUCGUGUACUUGACAAAGAUCCAAUGGUAAUAGAUUGCCAUUCAUAUCUUCCAGUUGGAAUUCAACUGAGACCUCAUUGUAUUCAUUAAACAUAUUCUUUUCUUUGACAACUAGAUAGGGAUCAAAUCCCACAAAUAUGUGCUCUGAGCAAAUGCGCCUCUCAUCAUUCCAACCAUGGAGAUAGCAAUAGAGAUCAUGGCUAUCACCGUGCUCAUUACGGAAGUGAUAUGUGCAUUUAACUUGCGAACUAUGGUCAAAAAAAGAAAAUGCAAUGACAGCACAAAGAGAAAAACCCAAAAACUUGCUAUUAGCCCAAUGUGAAGACAACUGGCAUGUUACUGUAGAUCCCCAACUUUGAUGGCUAAACCACUUCGGAGUUGCAUCUCCAUAGAGGCAAAAACUAGAGACCCUUUUUGAAACAUCGGGCUCCUCCUGUUAACACAAUUUCAAUAGUAUCUUUUUAAAACGAGACAUGACAAAUAGAGAAGAAAAGAAACAUACGGUAUAACUCUCCGGAAUAAAGUUGAAAAUCCAAUAAGGACCUCACCAAGAAUUCAUAGGUCCUACACAUGACAGAAUAAUCCUCCCAACUCAUGUCUUGGAACCUUGCUCUCUUGUCUUGAAACCUUGCUCUCUUGUCUUGGAACCUUGCUUCCAAUGCAUCACAAUAAUAGUCGAUGCAAUGUAUCUCAUCUUCAUACAGUAGGCGGACCCCACACUCGUGUACUUGACAAAGAUCCAAUGGUAAGAGAUUGCCAUUAAUAUCUUCCAGCUGGAAUUCAACUGAGACUUCACUGUAAUCAUUAAACAUAUCAUUUUCUUUGACAACUAAACAGGGAUCAAAUCCCACACAUAUGUUCUCUGAGCAGAUGUGCCUCUCAUCAUUCCAACCAUGGAGAUAGCAAUAGAGAUCAUGGCUAUCACCGUGCUCAUUACGGAAGUGAUAUGUGCAUUUAACUUGCGAACUAUGGUCAAAAAAAGAAAAUGCAAUGACAGCACAAAGAGAAAAACCCAAAAACUUGCUAUUAGCCCGAUGUGAAGACAACUGGCAUGUUACUGUAGAUCCCCAACUUUGAUGGCUAAACCACUCCGGAGUUACAUCUCCAUAGAGGUAGAAACUAGAUACCCUUUUUGAAACAUCGGGCUCCUCCUGUUAACACAAUUUCAAUGGCAUCUUUUUAAAAUGAGACAUGACAAAUAGAGAAGAAAAGAAACAUACGGUAUAACUUUCUGGAAUAAAGCUGUAAAUCCAAUAAGAACCUCACCAAGAAUUCAUAGGUUCUACGCAUGACAGAAUAAUCCUCCCAACUCAUGCCUUGGAACCUUGCUCUCUUGUCUUGGAACCUUGCUCUCUUGUCUUGGAACAUUGCUUCCAAUGCAUCACUAUAAUAGUCGAUGCAAUGUAUCUCAUCUUCAUAUAGUAGGCGGACCCCACACUCGUGUACUUGACAAAGAUCCAAUGGUAAGAGAUUGCCAUUAAUAUCUUCCAGUUGGAAUUCAAUUAAGACCUCACUAUAUUCACUAAACAUAUCAUUUUCUUUGACAACUAAACAGGGAUCCAAUCCCACAAGUAUGUGAUCUGUGUCAAUGUGCUUCUCAUCAUACCAACCAUGGAGAUAGCAAUAUAGAUCAUGGUUAUCACCGUGCUCAUUGUUGAAGUGAUAUGUGCAUUUAACUUGCAAACUAUGGCCGAAAGAAUGAAAUGCAAUGACAGCACAAAGAGAGAAACCCAAGAACUUGCUAUUAACCCAAUGUAAAGGCAGCUGGCAUGUUACUGUAGAUCCCCAACUUUGAUGGCUAAGCCACUGCGGAGAGACACCUCCAGGGAGGUAGAAACUACAUGCCCCUUCUGGAACAUCGGUUAGCUGCUAACACAAUUCAAAUAGCAUCUUUUUAAAAUUAAAAGUGGCAAAUAAAGAGAAAAAAAUAAUUGUAUAUCAGAGAUUUGGGAAACAGACCUGAUGGAGCAUUUCGGUAUAAAGUUGAAAUUUCAUUAAUGAGUACGACAAGAUUUGAUUGCUCCUACACAAGCUUAAGCAAUUAGUGAAAAUGAAUUCAAAAAUGUUCCCCUUAAGCGGAAGCAAUUUCAUCCAACUUUGAUAGCUUGAUCCUAGAUAAUUCAAACUCUCGCAAUUGUCUGCAUCCAACUUUGAUAGCUGUGGUGGAAGCUCUGGUAAUGAUUCAAGUCUCUUGCAAUUCCUUAAUCCUAGAUAUUGCAACUCCAAGAGUUUAUUGAUGCUUAUAGGUAUAGCCUUAAAAUCAUUUCCACUUAGAUCUAACAAUUCCAAUGACGAUAGACAACCAAGACUGUCUGGCACUAUCGAUAAAUGGCAACCAUCUAGAUUUAGCUUACGCAAACAAUCUAAAUCCACGCAUCUCUUGGGCAAUUGCAAGUCAACAAAACAUUCGAUGUCAUUUAGAUAUUUGCAGUUUCCCACUUCCAAGCAGGCAAGUCCCUUCAGAUUUCCAAUCGGUGAAGGCAACUUUGUUAUGCUUGUCUGUUCUAAAUAGAGAUAUCUCAAACAAUACAUCGGCUCCAAAACUUCUGGAAAAUCCCUAAAUUGGAGGCAACCUGAGAGAUUAAGCCUCUGCAGUUUUCUCAACUUGCAGAUGCUGCUUGGAAGAAUCUUAAAUUGUUUGCAGUUUUGCAGGUGCAAUUCAUAAAGUUCACACAAACAUUCAAUUGAAAAGGGAAUCUCUUGUAUUGCUGUCCCAUUUAAAUAUAGCUCCUUUAUAUUAUUGGAAACCUUUGGAAACUCUGUGAUACUUGAGCAACCGGAAAGAUCUAAAUAAAUGAGUUCCCUUAGAUCACCAAUUGAAGAUGGCAGUUCUUCUAUUGCAGUUCCAUUCAAGUACAAGUAUCUAAUAUUCCUCGAAAAGCAGGAACCUGCUGAUAGAUGAGCAGCCAACAGAGAUGUCGACGAUUAGAAGAGAUUUCAACAAAUAUAUGUUUUCUGGAAUAUUCACCAGGUGUUUGCAGUUCUUCAAAUUCAACGCGACAAGUCUGCUGAGUUCCCCAAUUGAUUGGGGAAGCUCUUCAACAGCAGUAUCAUUUAAAUUUAAAUAUGUCAGUUUCCUUGCAGUUUCUGGGCACUUCUUGAUAUUUGAACAACCAGAAAGGUUAAGACUCUUCAGACAUCUUGAAUUAAUUCUACUGGGCAGAUUGAUUAGGCUUGUGCAGCCUCUCAAAUCUAAAUCAUUAAGCUUGUCCAGAUGCUGUAUAGAUAAAGGAAUCUUAACCAAACUGGUACAGAAUUGAAGAUUCACUCUCUCAAGGUUUCUGGCCUUUGAAAGCUCUGGCAGGGAAGUUAUGUGCUCACAAUUGCUGAGGUUGACAUCUUUUAAAUUGACGAGAUUCUGAAGCAAAAUGAAAUCAACAGAAAGAAAUUACACUUCAUACCACACUUAAUUUCAAAGAAAGAACUAUGCAUGCAUAGAGUUCUUUUAAAAUACCUGGUCUGCUCUCCACAGUUGCUUAACCUUGCUAGAUGAUAGGUUAAGUUCAACAAGGUUCUGUGGACGAAAAUUGCAAGGCAAAGAUGUCAAAGGGUAUCCAUCCCAAUGAGGAAGGUGCAGUCUGCAUUUAACUCGAGCUUCAGAAUUAUAAAUUUUUAGCAGUCUAAGUUUAUACAUCCUUUUCAAGGCUGCAGAACUCAACUCAAUUUCUCUUAUUUUUGAAACAUCCAAGAAUAUCCCUUCAACUUUUCCAGUUCCCUGAAAACCAGUGAAGGAGAAACGAAGUUUGAAGUAAGAUUUUAAACUUACUAGUACAACCAUAUUGCAUUGCAUAUGAAAAGGAAAACUUUCGUGUAUAUGAAUCUCACCAGAUUAUUGGUCAACACUUGAUAUACAUCUUUAGGACUCCACAAUCUGCUUUGUCCUCCUAGCUCAUCAAGAGAUUCUUUUCGAACAACUUCAUGGGCCAUUUCUUGCAAAAGAUCAUGCAUUUCAACCUUGUCAUCUGAAAUUUUAAUGAGACACCUGUCAAUGAGAAGACUGAAUCCAAUAUCUGUUUUGAAACCGCAGCCAUCUAGUAUCGGCUUUACAAAAUCAACUCGAUGCCCUCUAAAGAAACAUGCAAUGUCGAGAAAUAUACUCUUCUCUUCACUAUCAAGUGCAUCAUAACUUGUUCUCAACACACUAUGAACUUUUUGCCGAGUUGGUUUUUCAUCCUUGUUCAAUUCACUUUCCCAUUCUUUUGUCGUUCUGCCAAAUAGAAACGAACCUAAGACUUUAAGAGCUAAUGGAUUCCCUUUAGCGUAAUUUAUUGCCCUCACAGACAGCUUCAUAUAAUUGUAUGGGGGCUGAUUAUCCUUAAAUGCAUGCAAACUAAAGAGAUGAAGAGCUUCCUGGUAAUUCAGUCUCCCAACCUCAAACAUUUUGUCUGAAUAUUUCUUAAGGACCUGUUUAUCUCUAGAUGUUAGGAUAAUUCUACUUCCUGGACCAAACAAAUCACAUCCUCCAAGUAACAUUUCAAUUUGAUCUACAUCAUUCACAUCAUCGAAAACAAUCAGAACCUUUUUACGGCAUAUCCUGUCUUUAAUGAAAGGGUGUCCAAUACGUGGAGUGCGAAUAUGUAGAUUUUCUUCCUCUGUUAUUUUAGAGAAAAGUUCAUCUCGCAUACGAAAUAAUCCUCCAUUCUUUUCUGAUUCCUCCCUCACAUUUGCAAGAAAAUAGUGACCUUCAUAUUCCCUUGCGAUCUUGUUGAAAAUCUCUCCGGCAAUGGUUGUCUUACCACUACCACCCAUGCCCCAAAUUCCUACAAAACAAACCUCCGGUAACUGUGUGCAUAAUAAGGCUUCGAUUUGCUUCAUGCGUGAAUCCAUUCCAACCAGGCCCUUCAAAUCACUUGAGGAUGCAUAAUUCAAUUUCUUCAAAAUAUGAAGUACAAUUUGUUCCACGAGUCUCGACUCAGGCCUGCCAACAUGGAGGCGAACAGAUAUGUCAAAUAGUACCCCAAGGAAACACAAUCUUUUCUUGAGGUUGGAACUUGUGUGACGGAUUCCAAUUGCCAUACAUUAUAACACCACAUACUUUAAACUGCUCAUUUGGUAACAUUUAGAAGUCACAUAACAUAUUAUAAAGCUCAAAACAUAUGCUUCUGAAUCCAAAAAUAUGAUUAUCAACUUCAAGAAAUUUUAAUUGCUAUAAAUAAAUUUUAAUUGCUAUAAUUCCAGAAAAAAAAGGUUGCAGAUGAGAAUCUAUAGUUACCUAGUAACCUGUGAAUCCCAUCCGGAUAUAUUGGCAGCACUUGUUAAGUCAGCUCUCCACCUUGGAACCUUGUCCAUCUUCUGCUUAAAAUUUCUUUCAAGCUCAGCAAACGCAUUCCCAAAACUCCCUGUCUGUUCGUCAACAUCGGACGGGUCCACAUGAUAGAAAACUGGUAAAACAAUCUGCCCGUAUGCCUUCUUGCAUUCAAGUAUCUUCACUAGUUCAUCCACACACCAUGGAGAAGAUGCAUAGUUUCUUGAGAAUAUUAUCACUGAAAUUCUCGAUUCUUCAAUUGUUCUCAGAAGUGCACCCGUAAUUUCUUCUCCUCUUUCAAGCCCGUCGUCUAUGAAGGUCUUGAUUUGUUUACCACACAGAGCAUCAUAGAGAUGGCUAGUAAAAUUAUUGCGCGUAUCCUCGCCUCUAAAACUAAGGAACACAUCAUACCUCCUUUUAUGAGCAACAGCAGAUGAAGAUGCCAUAUCAGACUGUUACAAGAUCGUGUCUUCCUCAAUCACUAAGAAUCGGAAUCAAUAAGUGCUCUCCUUUUUCUCCUAAAGACAUACAAAGCACCCACUUCAACAGCUGAACAUUCAUUAAGAGAAAUUGAAGUCUAAGAGUACAAGAACCCACACAACAUAUAUUUAUCAGAAAAUUUCUCAAACUCUUAACGAUGGAUAUAUACUAGCAUAAUUUGAUACGAUCUAUCUUAGUUUGAUCACUCGUCACUUGCUACAAAUGCUAGCUUGAUAUUACUUUCAUCAAAAGAACAGUCACUAGCUGAGCAAAAAGAAUUACAGAUGGAAGAAUAAAUACGUUAAUGAAUCAAACUUAUCAAACUCGUAUAUAUAAUCUUAAAUAUAGAAGACAACAUGAACCAGAAAGACUUACCAACAGAUCAUAAGAACAGUUGACUUGUGUUUUGCAUCAGCAAACAAGACGAAGAAGAAGCUGCAUAUUGUUUAUGAUAGAGACGAUUUUUCUUGUCUAUUGCCUUCUCCUACUCCAUCAAGUAAAUUCUUACCAACAGAUAUCUCAUCGUUAUCUAAAUGAAAUAUGUGGAUGUGAGAAGACUUUGGGGUCAUUAGCCAAUGGACUUGUCAUGGCAUUAUGUUUUUUUUUCUUUUUCUUUUCUUUUCUUUCUUAGUGCACAAUGGAUGGGCUUCCUAAAGUAAUUUGUUUGGGUCUUCCAAACCAAAAUCUUAACCCAUUUCAACCUUUCUUUUGGGUUGUGCAAACAAAAUAAUUUUGAAGAUGUCUGUCAUUUAACAUAAUGCUGGAAAUAUGUAUUGUGUCGUCAUUUUCAUAUUUAGAUUAACGAAGUACUAAUGUAAAAAACUAUUUAAAAAUAUACACCAACUUUACAAAAAUAUAUAUUUUAUAAUUGAUGGUAAAAUAAUGUUUAUUUCAGCUGGUAAUUCCAUUAAAUAACUUGUACCAUCCAGUUUUAUAAUUUAAUUUAACUCUCAUUUUCCUAAAGAAAAAAGUAAGUGAUUUGUUUUAUGAUUGAUCUUGAUUAUUUUGUUUUCAUGCAUAAGCAUGAGAUUCUCAAUAUAGCAUGAAAAUGUUUAAUCUCUUAGUUAAUGUUCUGUUUGAGAAAGUAAAAUUCAAUUUUAUUUAUUUUGUUGUUACACAUUUUUGGGUUAGCAUACAAAAAAUAUAAAAAAAAUACAUAUAAAAAAUAUAUAUUCGAAAGAAAUCCAAAAAAUAGUUGGAGUGAGAAAACGAUGUUGGAAUGCCCACAAAAUAGUGAGAAAUGGAUUGAGGAGGUUCAAAAAUACAAGAAUUGAAAUUUUGACAGUAUAUUUUUACUGAUGAGAGCCCUAGGGACAAGGAAAAUUCAAUUUGAGAAAGAAAAGUACAAAAUCAGAUGUUUAUGGACUCAAUUAAAAUUUAUCCAAGGUUUAAUUGAAUUUAGGGAGGGUUUGAUUGUAAGAAAAAUGAUCUUUUAAGUCAAUUUAGGCUUUUAUUGGAAGAAAUUAAAGUUCUAGGGUCCAAUUAUAAUUUUGAAGGGUUGAUUUGGUCAAAUCAAGGGCUUAGUUGCAUAAUUAUUGAAGUUUGAUGGCCAAUUAGGGACUUAAUUGAAAUAAUCCGAAACCAAGGAUCAAACUAGAAAAGUCAAUAAAAUUAAGGGACCUAAUUACAAUUUUUACGGGGUUUGAUUACAAAAUUGCAAAAAUUUCAAUGACCAAAUCAGAAGAAUCCAAACGACACCAUUUCCAUUGAAGCACUAUUCAUUGUCUUUUUAAACAUGGCAGUUGUGGCGUUAAAGGUAGGAGACGUUAGUAGCGAUAAUGGAGCUGCUUCAAUCAGGGGGCAUGUCUCACGCCACCAUGUACACUGGCCGUUACUCUAUUGCCGGAUAAUGUCUGCAUCCUCUGGCUAUAAAAGCCAGAGGAAAGAAGCAGCCAGGAAAAAAAAAGAAAAGGAGGAGAAAGGGAGAACGAGACAGCAAAAAAAAAAAACAAGAGAGGAGAGGUGACAGUGAGAAGAAAACAGAGAGGGAAGAGAGGGGAGCAGAACAGGUGGGCAACACAGGAAAAAGACAGACACAAGACAUAGAGGAGGAAGAAAAGAGAGGGUGGGAAAUAUUUUGAAAAAGAACGAAAAACAGAGACCAAAAGGAGAAGAACUAGAUAGAAGCAGACGAGGAAGAAAAAACAGAGGUUGGUGUCUCUGCAUGGGGAAGAAGAAAAACUACAUCACCGUCAUAACCACCGUGACCCAUCGUCAUCUUCCUCUCCACUGCCACCAGCAUCACUGUGAGCAUACACCAUUACCAUCGUCUUCGACAGCGUUUCCGCCACCAGGUUUGUUCUCUUCGUCUCUGUGCAUGCAAUUCUAUUUUUGCAUUUUCACUGUUCAAGUGAAUUAUAAUUCAUUUAAACAAUAACUAUUUCCAUUUGCAUAAGCAUGCACGCUUAAGCAUGCCUUUUGUUUCCCUAGCCGGGUCAUUGGCUUGAGCUAGUGACCCAGUUAGGCCUGUUGGGUCCAGCCCGAAAAAAAAAUUUCUUCAAAAACAAUUUAUUUCAAAAAAAUCUAUGAUUUUCCAAAUAUUUUUAUAGUAUUUUGAUCAAUAUUGGUUUGUAUUUUUAUAUUGUAAAGAUACAAAUCCAGUAUUAAAAUUAAAAAAAAAAUUGUAUUUUUAUGCAUACGACCAAGUCUCUAAAAAACAAAUCAUAUUGUAUUUUCAUAUAACAAAGAAAGUUUCAAAAAAUAUGUAUUAACAUGCAUUUUAGCUUUAAUAACUAGUUUAUUAAAGUUACGAGAACUAGGCCACUAUUUCAAAAAUUUCAAAAAAAAAUAUUUUGUUUUCUUUUAAUAUCUAGGGUUACGACCUUAUACGUAGGACAUAUUCUGGAUAUGAAAUUAUCUAUUGAUGUUAGGAUGGUUAGGUUUUACCCAAUAAAAUAAAAAUAUCUUUAUCGAAUAGAAUUUUUCUUAAACCAUAGACGGACCAAAAACUAGAAAACACAACAAGACUUUAGAUUUUAUCAAACAAUAAAACAAUGCAGUUUACCUUAGGUAGGGUGUAUUUGGGGUGCUAAUACCUUUCCUUUAUGCAACCAGUCCCCGUACCCAAUCUCUAAGACUAGUUAGGGUUCCUAGUGACCAAAAUACUAGGUGGCGACUCUCAUUCUAUUUUUCCACUAAUAAAAGACAAGAACUCCUUGUCUCCCCGUAUUUGCCAGAUAAAUAUAUAAGAGACAUUUUGAGGGUGGAUGUUUUCGCUACGACGCCACACAUGUGCGAUAUAUUUCAUAUAGUUAUUGAAGAUUAAAGAAAUACUUAGUUUUUUUUUUUUGGUGAAAUUAGGGAUUGAUUUGUGUGGUUAGGGGGAGCUCAUAUCCUAUUUUUUAUUUCGGUCCCUCAAUUAUUAUUUUUAAUUUGAUUCCUUCAUAUUGGCUUCUUUUAAAAUGAAUUAGAAAAUACUUUUAAAUGUUUGCUUAUACCAUGAAAAAUAUAUUGGAAAAUAACCCAUUGAUGUUUUAGUUUUUUAAAAGUUUACUAAAAGAAUAAGGACCAAAUCUGACAAAUAAAAAGUUGAAGAAUAAUAAAAUUAAAAAAAAAUUAUUUUCAUAAAUUAUUUCAAAUAAAACGAAUAGCAAUAAAAAGAAUAAGGAUCAAAUUUGACCGAAAAAAACAUUGAAAGAUGAUAAAAUGGUAUUUAUUUAUUUUUUAAUUUCAUAAAUUACUUCAAAUAAAAUAAAUAAUAAUAAAAAAAUCGAAACCAAAUCUAACAAAUAAAAAAGUUGAAAGAUAAUGAAAUUAAAGAAAUUAAUUUCAUAAAUUAUUUUAAAUAAAAACAAUAGAACAAAUCUAAUAAAUUAAAAAUUAAUUAAAAAAAUAAUAAAGUUUGAAAACACUUUCAUAAAAUAAACUACAUACUGAAGCAGAGAGAUUUUAAUUUAUUUAUCAUACAUGAUGCAUGGCUUCAUAUCCUAACGUGUGUCUUGUUUGGAAAGGUUAUUCGAACAUAUGGAAGAAGGAAGAUUUUGAGGGAGAUGGAUUGUGGAAACUUAAUUAGUUGAAACACAAAGACUGCUUGCUUGAACUGGAGCUAGGGUUUUGAUGAUGACAUAACGCCAUGAUCAUCACCAAUCAAGUGAAAUAAUGGAGGGCGAUAAAAAGCAGAAAUUAUGGUGGGGACUUUUCUUAUUGGAUGGAAAGAAAAGUUAGGUACCUCUCAGUUUAGAAAGAUACUACUGGAUUAUCAACACGUGGACAGUUCGGUUACAUUUUAGCCAUUAGAAUAUGUAGCCAUUCCCAUCCAUGCUUUGAUUAUUGUUUAACAAUAUAUUAAUUAUCUUCGCACAGCAGGUUAUAUGGUGUUUUUAAUUUUUUUUAAAAUCUAAAAUGUUGAUCUGGUAGUUAAGGGAGUUUAUUACUUUUUUUUUCUUUUUUUUUUAUCAAAACUUAAUGCGCAUUAUCUGUUACGGGUUGAGGAUUCCUUCUAGUUCCAUUCUUUAAACUUAGAUUCAUAUUUUUUAUAUAGAAAUAUGUGAUCAAGGAUGUAACAAGAUUCAUUUUGCAUCAUAUUUAAGCGACUCCUUGAUUCGAGCUGAAAAAACAAUAUCAUUAUCAAAAUAAUUGUAAAUUUUUAUGUUAGUGAAGAUCCCACUAGAACACCUUUUACUUCCACUUCCAAUAGACCAUAAACUAGAUCAAAAUCAUUCUCAAUAAAUCUAUAAUAAAUGAUUUUAUUUUUUUCAUCGGGUCCGGGUAGAGACCAAAAAUUUUGAGCCAUCCAUCAUGCAAAAUAACUCUAAAGAUAAAGAAAUAUCAUUAAUUUCUUCACGCUCAUUCAAAGCUAGAAGUAUCAUUUGUAUAAAUAAAAAUCCCCUUAGUGUGUGUGUAUUAUUUGUAUAAAUAAAAAUCCCCUUAGUGUGUGUGUGUGUAGAAUUUAUGGGCAAUUACUUAGAAACAAGAAUUUAAUGUGUGUUUGCUUCUCGAAAAGUGGUUUCCGGAAAAUUAAUUUCCAAACUUUUCUAUAUAUAUAUAUAUAUACACACACACACACUAUCGUAAUAAUAACAACAAGAAUAAUAAUAUAUUAAAGUUUUCUCAAAACGAUAUGCACUUGCACUCUUUUAGCCUUGAGUCCAAAGAUAAGCACGUUUGGUCUCCAUUACAUCCAUCAAAGUUCGAAUUUUGUCAAAUUUUGCUAAAGGGAAAGAAGAAUACAUUAAUCUUAGAUUGGUACAUGAAAUGAACACCAUUACUGAUUAAAAUAAAUAAAAGAAUAACCCAAUUGUCAUAUUUAAAUUUUCUUGAACUUGGCAGCAAUUCGCCCCACUAUAUCCUUGUCAAAAUAAUUACUAAAUCCAAGUGAAAAAUGAAUUAUGCCUUCGAAACCUUGCUCUCUUAGCUUAGAACAUUGCUUCCAAUCAAUCUCGAUCCAUAUCCAUUAUUUGCUUUUUUAUACGACAAUAAUAACCUUAUGUAACAAUGUCAAAUGUGCACGAGGUGCACACUUCGGCAGGCUAUCCAAAACAGUGCUUGACGGUGCUGACAACCAUACCAACAGUGGGAUAAAUCGGCAGCGCAGAUUGUUGACAAACAUGGACUGGACAAUGGACUUUCCAGGCCAAGUAGGAAAACUCGUUAGGGGGAUAGGCUGACGAGAACUGGGGCUAUUGUGGAAUUCGGCAACGCAGACAAUGGCAUCCUGCACACAGAUGUGAAUUCGGCAGCGCAGGAAUUGGCAGCCUGCAUGUAGAUGCGAAUUCGGCAAUGCGCAAUAGCUUGUGCAAGUCGUUGAUACGACUUGGCACGAUCUAAAGCUUGGAUGAUGAACUAUCCAAGGCAUGCGAGAAACUCAAUAAAUGACACAACAAGAACUGGCAGUUGGGGCUGCCAGGUGGACAUCCAGAAUAUGGGUUAGUGGCAGUUAUGGAUAUCCAGGAUCAUGGGAUCAUGGGGGCUGAAAACGUGGGGGCUGACCAGGGGUUGCUCUCAACUCACUAAGAUCAUGGGAGAUCAUGGGGGAAAACUACCCACUACUUGGUAGAUAAUGGGGCCACUAUGUUCAUGGGUGAACAUGAGUGAGAUAGUGUCCCACUACUUCCUUAAAAGUAGGAAUGAGAGUUGUGCCUUGUAAAUGCUUGUCUAUAAAUAUUAGCUGCAGCUCUUAGUUGAUAGGAGGCAUGCGUGGGGCAUGUUCAUCAUGCAAGAAUAUGCAAGAACAUGUAGAGUACAAGUUAGAGAUAGCUUGGUGUAGCAUGCAAUCUUUGUGCAUAGCACACAUAUAGAUUUGUGUAUAGUCUGCUUUGUGUACGAGAUUAAUAAAAGUAGGGGAAGAGUUCCUGUAAAGCUUGUUGUGCACUUUGAUUAUCUUAUUCUACUUGUGUAUUCUGCUUGCUUAGUUACUAGGCAAAAAUGAGUGGGAUUGGCGAGGGGAGGCUGAGUCUAGUGAGGCACUAGGUUGCCGUAUGGGUUUAUUCGAGAGUGAAAAAUUACUACCCCAUGACACCUUCCAUGAUGAACUCAAAGAAAUGUAUCUCAUCUUGAUACACUGGACAGACCCUACACUCGACCACUUGACAAUGAUUUAAAGGUAAGAGAUUGUCGCUCUUAUCUUCUAGUUGAAAUUCAACUAAGACCUCACUAUAUUCACUAAACAUGUAAUCUUUUUUGGCAACCAGACAGGAUCAAGUCCCAUGAAUAUGUGAUUUGAGUCGAUGCGCUUUUCAUCCAAACCAUGGAGAUAGCAAUAGAGAUCAUGGCUAUCACCAUGCUCAUUGCGAAAGUGAUAUGUGCAUUUAACUUGCAAACUAUGGCUCACAGAAUGGAAUGCAAUGACAACGCAAAGAUACCAAAGAACUUGGUAUUAGUCCAAUGUGAAUAUAACUAGAAUGUUACUGUAGAUCCCCAACUUUGAUGACUAAACCACUCCGGUGGUAGAAACUAAAGCAAUUGACACUACAAUAUUAUUGUAAUAGAACUCACACUUUUCCAUUCAUUUCUUGUAUUCUUUAUACAGCCCUGAGAGUUUAAUUUUAGGGAUCCAAAUAUGUGUAACAGACGAAUAUUUACAAUCAAAAUCAAUAGCAAUAUUUACAGGGAUAAUAGACUGAUCCUAUCGUUAUGGAAAACACAAAAUCUAGCAUUACUCAUGGUGACAGCUACGCUUGAAUUGGCAGUAAUUUGAAUUAAUCAGUUUCCUUGAUAUGCACCCACAAGAACGGGCUACCAUCGGAUAGGCCGAUCUUGUCAUAUAGGAAGUUUGUUCGUUGCCUUGAUAGAGGCUUGGUGAGCAAAUCAGCUAGUUGGUCAGUUGUGUUGACAUAUUGAACAGUAAGAAUAUUUUUCGCAACCAAAUCUUGCACAAAGUGAAUAUCAAUCUGUAUGUGUUUCAUCCUGGAAUGCUGAACAAGAUUAAAACUCAAUUGUGUUGCACCUAAAUUAUCAUAUAAGAUAAGAGGUGGUUGUGAUAGACUAAACUUAAGUUCUUGGAGCAAUAAUAGCAGCCACACGGAUUCUGCUGCAACCAUUGCUAAAGCCCUAUACUCGGCUUCAGUUGAUGAUCUUGCAAUUGCACUCUGCUUUUUAGAAUUCCAGGAAAUUGGUGUGUUACCAAGGAAUAGGAGAUAGGCUGAAGUGGAUUUCCUGUCGUCUAGACUACCAGCCCAAUCAGCAUCCAAGAAACAAGUCAAUGUGGUGUUGGAUGUUUUGCUGAUAGUAACACCAUGAAAAAUAAUGUUCUUCAAGUAGCACAACAAUCUUUUUGUUGCUGUCCAGUGAGUCUGCGUGGGAUGAUGCAUAAACCAGGAGAGUUUAUUGACAGUAAAGUUGAUAUCAGGUCAUGGGAGGACAGUUAUUGCAAGGCGCCAAUAACUUGACAGUAUUCGGUGGAGUCAACAAAGGAGGAACCAUCAUCCAGUUGUAAGGAAAUCGAUGUUGAAAGACGCGUGGUGACAUCCCUAGCACCGUCCAUACUGGUCUUGGCAAGUAAAUCUCUGAUAUACUUGUGCUGAGUGAGAAACAAGCCGUUUGCAGUAGGAAUAACCUCAACACCAAGGAAAAAAUACAGUGACCCCAGAUCCUUGAUGGAAAAUUUCUGUCCAAGAUGAUCAAUGAUGCUUGCAACAAAAACUGAAUUAUUGCUUGUGAUAAUCAAAUCAUCAACGUACACUAGACAGUAGGCAAGAGUGGAACCAAUAUAAAACACAAAUGGAUUUUGCCUAGUAGAUGGUGAAGGAAGGGAACUGUUAUGAUCUGGGUUAUGAAAAGGGAACGACCCUUCAUAAGAAAUUACGUGUCGAGAGGUGAUGAUUUUUGUGAUAGAUAGCUCAAAACAUAAAUAUGCAUUUUGGGAUAAGCUGUAACCCAUGAAUGUGCAUGGUUUGGAUUUCGGCUCAAGUUUAUGUUUAUUAUAUGGUCGAGUUAACGAAUAACAAAGAUAGCCGAAUUGUUUGAGCUUGAGGUAGUUGGGCUUUUGAUUGAAUAAUUUUUCAAAUGGAGAUUGAUUAUUCAAGGUAGCGAUGGGCAUGCGAUUGAUAAGAUAGGCAGUAGUUUGAAAUGCAUAAGGCCAAUAAGAGGGAGGCAUGUGAGCAUCAGUAAGUAAGGUAAGACUAGUUUCAACAAAAUGGCGAUGUCACCUUUUAGACAUACCAUUUUGUUGGCGAGUGUGGGGAGCAGUAGUGUAGUGACUAAUUCCAUUGACAAAAAGAAUAGUUUUAAGGCCAAUAUAUUCCCCACCAUUAUCAGAAUAAAGACAUUAAUUUUUGUGUUGAAUCGAUUUUCCACAAGAUUAUGAAAUUGUGGAAAAAUGGUUUGAACAUUUGAUUUAUGUGGCAUGGGAUAGAGCCAAAUAUAUUUGGUAUAAUGGUCAACAAAAAUAACAUAAUAUUUUGAGCCAUUAAUUCCAAGAUCAUGAGAUGGGCCCCAAACAUCCGUGUAAAUCAAUUCAAUUGGAGUAGUGCUAAUAAGUCCAUGAGUACUAAAUGUUUGACGAUGAGCUUUGUUUUGAGAGAAUGAAGUGCACAGAGAGGAAUGAUCAUUUUUAUUGGUAGAUAAAGAAAAAGCAUGAAUGAGAUGAUGAACCAAUUUGGAUGAAGGAUGCCCAAGAUGUUUGUGCCAUCCAUCACGUGUAGUACGUUCAUGAACAUAGUCAAUAAUAUUUUUCUUGGUGGAUGGUAGAUGCUUCGAAAAUGGGUACACUCCAUCUUCACAUUCGUCUUUGAGAAGUAUUGCCCCUGUGAUCCGAUACUUCACCAAAAAAUAAGCAGGAUGAAAUUCAAUGUAAACAUUGUUAUGCUUGGUAAAAUGGUGAACAAAAAUGAGAUUUUUAUGAAUGGUUGGAACACAAAGAGUGUCACGUAAAUGAAAGACAUGAUUGGACGAUUUAAGAGAUAAGGAUCCAAUAUGAGACACAGGCAAACCUGAUCCAUCACCAAUUACCAUCUCAUUAGUACCAUCAUAUUCAGAAUUAAUCAUCAGAUUAGAGAGAUUAGUGGUCAUAUUGUGAGAUGUUGCUGAGUCAACUAGCCAUUUGUGAUUUUUUUUAUUGAGAGGAAGCGGCAUAGUUUGCAGUAAAAUCAGAAGUAGACAUUUUGGGACAUGAUUUUGCUGUAUGACCCAAUUGAUCACACCAUUGACAUUUCGGUUUAAACCUGCUGUGACUCGAAUUGAAUGACAUGUUUCUAUGAGUCCCAUUGUGUCCACGAGAGUUAUGAGAAGCAACCAGGGGGCGCCAUUUAGGCUGUCUGGAAUUAGAAGAAAACUGAGGGCUCCAUCAAUUUGAGUUAUUAGCAGUGGGUAUAAACGGGGUUGCAGAUAGGUGCUCAAGUCAACGAAGAUAACUCUCAUGACUGAUAAAAGGAUCAUGAAUUUCUUCAAAUUUUAGAGAGGUCUCACAGGCACGAAUAGGAGCUGCAAUUUCUCUGAAUUCAAUACCCAAUCCAUUGAGUAUGUAUAGAGUUAAAUCAUCAUCUGAAAUUGGAUGAUCAAUGAUUGCUAGUUCAUCAGCAAUCACUUUGAUUCCAUGAAGGAAUUCAGUAACAGUGCGAGACCCACGAUUGCUUAAGGUUAAAUCUUCUUUGAGUUGCAUCACACACGUUCUUGAUUGCCCAUAUAUAAAUGGGUAAGUGUUGUCCAAGCCUCAUGGGAUGUAGGCAACAAGAAGAGGGGUAAUGGUUGUGGAGGUAGGGGCGAGGAUGGCAUGUAAGAUGAGUUUGUCUUGGCAAAUCCAAUGGGAAUUCGCAGCUUUUGAGGCAGUGGAAUUCAGUGCAUCAAUGGCAGGGCAUUUAUGUAUACCUGUUACAAAAUCAAUAAGGUCAUAGUUAAUGAGUAAGGCUUCAAGUUGAGCCCUCCACUGAGGAAAAGUAGAGGGGAUGAUUUUUUCGUUGAUGGUUGUGGCAGCAUUGAUUGUGAUGAUGGGUGAGUUUGGUGAGUCGGUGGUACAUGCAGAGAUGGUUGUCAUUUUGCAGGAAGCAGAAAGAAGGAAGCAAGAAGAAUGAAUACUCGUUAGAGAUUUUCAAGCUCUGAUACAAUAAAGCAACUAACACUGCAAUAUUAUUGUAAUACAACUCACACUUUUCCAUUCAUUUCUUGUAUUCUUUAUAUAGCCUUGAGAGCUUAAUUUCAAGGAUUCAAAUAUGUGUAACAAACGAAUAUUUACAAUCAAAAUCAAUAGCAAUAUUUGCAGGGAUAACAGACUGAUCCUAUAGUUAUGGAAAGCACAUAAUCUAGCAUUACUCAUGGUGACAGAUACGCUUGAAUUGGCAGUGAUUUGAAUUAAUCAGUUUCCUUGAUAGAAACUACAUACCCUUGUAACAUUGGGCUUGAAUAAGGAGACAAAUAGAGAAGGAAAGAAUUCAUAAUAGAGGUUUGAGAAACAGGCCAGAUGAUAUAACUCUCUGGAAUGCAAUAAGGAGCUCGCCAAGAAUUCAUAGGUCCUACACAUGGCAGAAUCAUCCUCCCAUCUCAUGCCUUGGACCCUUGCUCUUUUGGCUUGGAACAUUGGUUCCAAUCCAUCACGAUCCUGAGGAUAAAAACAAUAAUAGUCUUGCAUGAUCAAAUCAAAGUAAUGUAUCUCAUCUUCAUAUAGUGGAAGGACCCCACACUCAACCACUUGACAAUGAUUUAAAGGUAAGAGAUUGCCGUCCAUAUCUUCGAUUUGGAAUUCAACUGAGGCCUCACUGUAUUCACUAAAACUUUCAUUUUUUAUUGCAACAAAACAGGGAUCGAAUCCCACAAAUAUAUGUUCUGACUUGAUGCACUUUUCAUCAUACCAGCCAUAGAAAUAACAAUAGAGAUCAUGAUUAUCACCAUGCUCAUUGUGGAAGUAAUAUGUGCAUUUAACUUGCAAACUAUAUAUGGCUGACAGAAUGGAAUGCAAUGACAGCGCAAAGCGAGAAACCCAAGAACUCGUUAUUAGCCCAAUGUGAAGAAAUUUGGCAUUUUACUGUAGAUCCCCAACUUUGAUGCCUAAACCACUUCGGAGUCAUGUCCAAGGAGACAGAAACUACAUGCCCCUUCUGGAACACCGGGCAGCUGUUAAUGCAAUUCAAAUAAAUCUUUAUAAAAUAAAAGGUGGCAAAUUGAGGGAAAAAAAAGAUGUAUAUCAGAGGUUUGAGAAACAGACAUGAUGGUAUAAAGUUGAAAUUUCAAUAAUGAGUACUCCAAGAUAUUUUGAAUGGCCUCAUGCAACAACCUCCAGCAAUUAGUCAAAAUGAAUUAAAAAAUGUUCCCCUCAACUACAGUUGAUCCGCUUGAUACUGUUCUUAAUUCCUGGCAAUUGUGUGCAUCUAACUUUGUUAGCCGUGGUGGAAGCUCCGAUAAUGAUUCAAGUCUCAAGCAAUUCCUUAAUCCUAGAUAUUGCAACUUAAACAGUUUAUUGAUGCUUAUAGGUAUACUCCUCAAAUUGUUUCCACUUAGAUCUAACACUUCCAAUGACGAUAAAAGACCAAGCCUGUCUAGCACUUCCGAUAGACUGCAACCAUCAAGAUUUAGCUUACGCAAACAAUCUAAAUACACGCAUCUCUUGGGCACUUGCAAGUCAACAAUACAUUCGAUGACUUUUAGAUAUUGGCAGUUUCCAACUUCCAAGCAGGCAAGUCCCUUGAGAUUUCCAAUCGGUGAAGGCACCUUUGUUAUGCGUGUCUGUUCUAAAUAGAGAUAUCUCAAACAUACCAUCGGCUCCAAAACUUCUGGAAAAUCCCUAAAUUGGAGGCAACCUGAGAGAUUAAGCCUUUGCAGUUUUCUCAACUUACAGAUGCUGCUUGGAAGAAUCUCAAAUUGUUUGCAGUUUCUUAGGUGCAAUUCAACAAGAUCAGACAAGCAUUCUAUUGAAGAGGGAAUCUCUCGUAUUGCUGUCCCAUUUAAAUACAGCUCCUUUAAAUUAUUUGAAACCUUUGGAAACUCCGUGAUACUUGAGCAACCAGAAAGAUCAAGUUUUUCAAGACAUACUAACUUAGAAACCGCACUCGGCAGAUUCUUUAGCCUGUUGCAGCCACUAGAUCUAAAUAAAUGAGUUCCUUAGAUCACCAAUUGAAGAUGGCAGUUCUUCUAUUGCAGUUCCAUUCAAGUACAAGUAUCUUAUAUUCUUCGAAAAAUCAGGAAACCUGCUGAUAGAAGAGCAGCCAGAGAAGUCAGCAAUUAGAAGACAUGUCAGCAAAUACAUGUUUUCUGGAAGAUUCACCAGGAGGUUGCAGUUCUUCAAAUUCAACGCAACAAGUCCACUGAGUUCCCCAAUUGAUUGGGGAAGCUCAACAGCAGUCUCAUUUAAAUUUAAAUAUGUCAGUUUCCUUGCAGUUUCUGGGCACUUCUUGAGAUUUGCACAACCAGAAAGGUUCAGAGUCUCCAGACAACUUGAAUUAAUUCUACUGGGAAGAUUGAUUAGUCUUUUGCAGCCUCUCAAAUCUAAAUCAACAAGCUUGUCCAGAUGCUGAACAGCUAAAGGAAACUUAACCAAACUUGUAUAGAAUUGAAGAUUCCAUCUCUCAAGGUUUCUGGCCUUUGAAAGGUCUGGCAUAAAAGUUAUGUGCUCGCAAUUGCUGAGGUUGACAUCUUUUAAAUUGACGAGAUUCUGAAGCAAAAUGAAAUCAACAGAAAGAAAUUACACGUGCAUACCACAAUAAAUUUCAAAGAAAGAACUAUGCAUGCAUGGAGUUAUUUUAGAAUACCUGGUCUCCUGUCCACAGUUGAUUAACCUUGCUAGAUGAUAGGUUAAUUUCAACAAGGUUCUGAGGACGAAAAUUGCUAGGCAAAGAUGUCAAAGGGUAUCCAUCCCAAUGGAGAUACCUCAACUCUUCAGAAAGAGACUGGAGGCCAUGAGGAAGGUGCACUCUACAAUUCCAAUGACGAUAGACAACCAAGACUGUCUGGCACUACCGAUAAAUGGCAACCAUCUAGAUUUAGCUUACGCAAACAAUCUAAAUCCACGCAUCUCUUGGGCAAUUGCAAGUCAACAAAACAUUCGAUGUCAUUUAGAUAUUUGCAGUUUCCCACUUCCAAGCAGGCAAGUCCCUUCAGAUUUCCAAUCGGUGAAGGCAACUUUGUUAUGCGUGUUUGUUCUAAAUAGAGAUAUCUCAAACAAUACAUCGGCUCCAAAACUUCUGGAAAAUCCCUAAAUUGGAGGCAACCUGAGAGAUUAAGCCUCUGCAGUUUUCUCAACUUACAGAUGCUGCUUGGAAGAAUCUCAAAUUGUUUGCAGUUUUGCAGGUGCAAUUCAUGAAGUUCACACAAACAUUCUAUUGAAGAGGGAAUCUCUCGUAUUGCUGUCCCAUCUAAAUACAGCUCCUUUAUAUUAUUUGAAACCUUUGGAAACUCCGCGAUACUUGAGCAACCGGAAAGAUCUAAAUAAAUGAGUUCCCUUAGAUCACCAAUUGAAGAUGGCAAUUCUUCUAUUGCAGUUCCAUUCAAGUACAAGUAUCUAAUAUUCCUCGAAAAGUCAGGAACCCUGCUGAUAGAUGAGCAGCCAGAGAUGUCGACGAUUAGAAGAGAUUUCAACAAAUAUAUGUUCUCUGGAAUAUUCACCAGGAGUUUGCAGUUUUUCAAAUUCAACGCAACAAGUCCACUUUGUUCCCCAAUUGAUUGGGGAAGCUCUUCAACAGCAGUCUCAUUUAAAUUUAAAUAUGUCAGAUUCCUUGCAGUCUUUGGGCACUUCUUGAGAUUUGAACAACCAGAAAGGUUAAGACUCUUCAGACAUCUUGAAUUAAUUCUACUGGGCAGAUUGAUUAGGCUUGUGCAGCCUCUCAAAUCUAAAUCAUUAAGCUUGUCCAGAUGCUCUAUAGAUGAAGGAACCUUAACCAAACUUGUACAGAACUGAAGAUUCAGGCUUUCAAGGUUUCUGGCCUUUGAAAGGUCUGGCAGGGAAGUUAUGUGCUCACAAUUGCUGAGGUUGACAUCUUUUAAAUUGACGAGAUUCUGAAGCAAAAUGAAAUCAACAGAAAGAAAUUACACGUGCAUACCACACCAAAUUUCAAAGAAACAACUAUGCAUGCAUAGAGUUAUUUUAGAAUACCUGGUCUCCUCUCCACAGUUGCUUAACCUUGCUAGAUGAUAGGUUAAGUUCAACAAGGUUCUGUGGACGAAAAUUGCAAGGCAAAGAUGUCGAAGGGUAUCCAUCCCAAUGGAGAUACCUCAACUCAUGAGAAAGAGACUCGAGGCCACUAGGAAGGUGCACUGUGCAUUUAUCUCCAGCUACAGAAUUAUAAAUUUUUAGCAGUCUAAGAUUAUACAACCUUGCGAAGGCUGUAGAACUCAACUCUAUUUCUCUUAUUUCUGAAACAUUCAGAACAUCCCUUCAACGUUUUCAGUUCUUAGUUUUGAAACAUCCAAGAAUAUCCCUUCAACUUUUCCAGUUCCCUGAAAACCAGUAAAGGAGAAGCAAAGUUUAAGUAAUAUUUUAAACUUACAAGUACAACCAUAUUGCAUUGCAUAGGAAAGAGAUAACUUUGGGGUAUAUGAAUCACACCAGAUUAUUAGUCAACACUUGAUAUGCAUCUUUUGGAUUCCACAAUCUGCUCUGUCUUCCUAGCUCAUCAAGAGAUUCUUUACGAACAACUUCAUGGGCCAUUUCUUGCAAAAGAUCAUGCAUUUCAACCUUGUCAUCUGAAAUUUUAAUGAGACACCUGUCAAUGAGAACACUAAAUCCAAUAUCUGUUUUGAAACCGCAGCCAUCUAGUAUCCGCUUUACAAAAUCAACUCGUUGCCCUCUAAAGAAACAUGCAAUGUCGAGAAAUAUACUCUUCUCUUCACUAUCAAGUGCUUCAUAACUUAUUCUCAACACACUAUGAACUUUUUGCCGAGUUAGUUUUUCAUCCUUGUUCAAUGCACUUUCCCAUUCUUUUGUCGUUCUGCCAAAUAGAAAGGAACCUAAGACUUUAAGAGCUAACGGAUUCCCUUUAGCGUAAUUUAUUGCCCUCACAGACAGCUCCAUAUAAUUGUAUGGGAGCUGGUUAUCCUUAAAUGCAUGCAAACUAAAGAGAUGAAGGGCUUCCCGGUAAUUCAGUCCCCCAACCUCAAAUAUUUUGUCUGCAUAUUUCUUAAGGACCUGUUUAUCUCUAGAUGUUAGGAUAAUUCUGUUGAACUUUUGAUAUUCAGAAAGACAAACAAUUAAAGAAAGAAAAACACACUUUAUUGAUGGAUGAUAUUAAUGCAGCAGCUACAAGCCUUUAUAUAGGCAUUUUACUUAACAGACUUCCUACAAAUAAGACGCGGAAUGACUAUAAAAUAGAAAGAAUAAAACAACUGACUUUGCUAAUCACACUGCAACAAAUUCCUUGUGACUAGGAUUAUUCCUAUUUUAUUGGAAAACAAAUUGACUAAACCAGCAUAUCACUCUUGACUCAGUCACGGUCUGAUGUUGAUUAACUUUAACACUCUCCCUCAACAUCUGCUUCUGUAAUUCUUAUCAAACCAAGCUGCUGACAGAAAGCUUCAAAUUUAUUGCUACUCAGGCCCUUUGUAAAUAUGUCUGCAACUUGAUCUUCUGAUUUGAUCUGCUUCAAUUUAACUUCUUCUUCUAAAACCUUCUCUCGGAUGAAAUGAUAAUGCACUUCCACAUGUUUUGUUCUUGCGUGAAAUACUGGGUUCUCUGCUAGACGAACAGCUGAUUGAUUAUCACAAUACAAUGGAAUUGCAUAAUCUGUCACUUGAUGUAAAUCAUUCAUCAGCCUUAUUAACCAUGUACUCUCUUGAGCUGCCAUUGCUGCUGCACGAUAUUCGGCCUCUGUUGUUGACAGAGACACUGUUGGUUGCCUUUUGCUGCACCAAGAAAUCGAUCCUGACCCAAGUCUAAACACAUAUCCAGUAGUUGAUCGACGAGUGUCAUGAUCCCCUGCAUAGUCAGCAUCACAGUAGCCAACCAUUUUACAGUCUUCACCUUUCUUGUACAGCAAACCAUAGUCAAAUGUGCCCUUCACAUACCUCAGGAUUCUUCGGGCUGCUUCCAAAUGAGGCUUCUUUGGAUUUUGCAUGUAUCUGCUCAUUACACCUACUGCAUAUGAAAUAUCAGGUCUGGUCACAGUUAGAUAUAACAAGCUUCCCACCAUCUGUCGAUACAUUGUAGCAUCUUGCAGCUCCUUGCCUUCAUGUGCACACAUUCUGGUAUUUGGGUCCAUAGGUGUUGCAGUUGCUUUACACUCUAGCAUCCCAAACUUUUCCAAAAGGUCUUUGGCAUAUUUUUGCUGACAUAGAAUUACUCCUCUGCGUGUGAUACUUAUCUCUAAACCAAGGAAAUGAUUCAGCUGUCCUAGUUCCUUCAUUUCAAACCGAACAGACAAAUUCUCCUUGGUUUGGCAGAUUUCUUCAACAUCAUUUCCUGUGAUGAUUAUAUCAUCGACAUAUACGAGUAGUAUAGCUAAUUUUUCACCAUUAGCUUUAACAAAUAAGCUGGAAUCUGCAUGGCUUACUGAAAAUCCACUCUUUGUUAAGAAUUCGGCAAUCUUACCAUACCAAGCCCUUGGUGCUUGUUUCAACCCGUAGAGUGCCUUUCUCAGCUUGCAUACGUAGUUGGGAUGACUUUGAUUUUGAAACCCCAUUGGCUGAUCCAUAUAGAUCUCUUGAUCUAGCUCUCCAUGCAAGAAAGCGUUCUUCACGUCCAUCUGCCACAAGAUCCACUCCUUGUUGGCUGCAACAGCGAGUACAACUCGCACGGAUGUAAGUUUUGCAACUGGACUAAACGUUUCGUCAUAAUCUAGUCCAUAUUGUUGAGAAAAUCCUCGUGCUACCAGGCGAGCCUUGAGUCUUUCAAUUGUUCCAUCUGUGCGUCGUUUUAUCUUAUACACCCAUUUACAUGAAAUGGGUUCCACAUCCUCUGGUCUUGGUACAAGAUCCCAGGUCUGAUUUUGUUGUAGUGCUGUAAUCUCUUCUUCCAUAGCCUUAUUCCAGUUUGAAUUUUGAGAAGCUUCUGUAAAGGUUUCUGGUUCUUUUACACCUUCUACCACUGCAGCAUUUGCAUAUUUUGCAUUUGGCUUCUUCAUUCGUGUUGAUCUUCUAGGUGGAUUUGAUGUUGUUGCUGCAUUGAAUUCUUCACUUGGCUGGUCAUGUAUACCAGUUUGCCACGGGUUCUCUUUAAUUUCAGCAUCAACAUCAAUUACUUCUUCUUGACUGUCAGUGUUAUCUUCAUCUUUGUUCAACUGGAUUCGAGCAAUUUGCAUUUCUUCUUUAAGCCCUUCUGAGUCUGGUAGUGAUUGAUGUUCUAUGGACCACCAUGAAGAUGAUUCAUCAAACACAACAUUUCUGGAUGUGUAGCAUUUUCCAGUAAUUGGAUCACAGCAUCUCCACCCUUUCCGUUGAUUAUCAAAACCAACAAAAAUACAUCUAACAACCUUCUUGUCCAUCUUGCUGCGUAGAUGAUUAGGUAUAAAAACAUAACAUACACAUCCAAAAACUCGAAAAUAGCUCACUGUGGGUUUCUUAUUCCAUAGCUUUUCAAAUGGUGACUGGAAAUCAAGCCUCUGCUGUGGAAGCUUGUUGAUUACAAAAGCUGCAGUCUUCAUUGCUUCUGCCCACCAUCUACCUGGAACAUUCUUUGCAUGAAGCAUACUUCGACAAGUCUCUGCUAAAUGCCUGUUCUUCCUCUCAGCAAUACCAUUUUGCUGCGGGGUAUUUGCACAGGUGAAUUGAUGAUUAAUUCUGCAAUCUCUUAGAUAGUAAGAGAAUUCAUCUGAUAUGUACUCUCCCCCAUUGUCAGAACGUAGACAACAUAUUCUUUUAUUGAUCUCAGCUUCUGCCACCUCUUUGAACUCCUUGAAUCUUGAGAGUGUCUCAGAUUUUUCCUUCAUAAAAUAAACCCACACAAACUUUGAAAAAUCGUCAAUAAAUGUUACCAUGUAUUUCAAGCCACUAACAGAAGCUUGCUUAACAGGUCCAAACACAUCAGAAUGAAUGAGCUCUAAUGGUCCCUUUGCUCUCCACUUCGAUUCUUCAUAUGGCAGUUGAUGUGCCUUGCCAUAUUGACAGCCUGCACAAAUUGCAUCGAUCCUUACUUCAAGCUGAGGCAGACCCUUCAAUGCAGACCUUCUCAUCAUCAUGUUGAGUUUAGAAAAACUCACAUGACUCAGUCUUUGAUGCCAUAGAUCCACUGUCUCACUCUUCCUUGUCUUGUCUACAUAUGCUGUUUGUGCAGACAUCACAUACACUGAUUCAAGCCUCUGCCCCUUUAUCACUGGUUCAUCUAGACUUUCAAGAUCACGGUACACUUUAACAUCUUGAGGACCAAAGAGAACAAAGUGUCCUGAAGAUGUUAAUUGUGCCACUGACAAGAGGUUUUUCUUCAUUCCAGGAACAUGAUAAACAUUUUGUAGUGACACAUCCUUGAGAUUAAGUUGGGAAGAGACUACGGCAUCCCCAACAUGGGCUAUAGCCAGCUUUGAAUUGUUUGCUGUGACUACUACGUGUUUUCCCUUGUAUUCCACCAGAUUCUUCAAUUUUUCUUUGUCACCUGUCAUAUGAUUUGAGCAGCCUGAAUCAAUGAUCCAGUCCUUUUCAUAAUCAAUAUGUUCAGGUGUUGUUACUGUGAAGGCUGCCUCUUUUACUUCAGUAAAGAAUGCAUGAGCAUCCCAUUCAUCUUCUAUUUUGAAGGUAGCUGUAUUACCUUCAACAUGCUCCUUCUUUUGCCAACAGUCUUUUGCCAUAUGACCCUUCUUCCCACAGUUAUAGCACUUCCCUUCAAAUUUUCUUUUGAUCCCGUAGCCCCUUGCUUCACUGGAAUUUCUUUCUUCUCGAUUGAACUUUGUUUUGUCUUCAUUUCUUUUGGAUCUGUCAUUGGCAUGUUGCUUUGGCUUCCAUCUGCCUUUAUGGACAUAAAGUGCAUCAACUUCACCCUUGAGUGCAACUUCUCCCAUUUGUUUGGCUAGUGCUUCUUGACCAGCCAGCAGAUUCUCAAACUCAACAAGUGAUGGUUGAGUCUGCCAUCCUUGUACUGCCGCAACAAAGCUUCUGAAAUCUGGCCGCAAACCAUGGAUAAUUAUCCUUUUCAUCCUGGUUUCACCAAUUGGAGCUUCUGCAUCCAAUUCAGAAAUUUCUCGACAAAGUGUCUUCACCUUGUGGAAAAACUAGGCAACAGUUAGUUCACGUUGAGCUAUUGACAGCAGCUCACUCUCUAACAGUUGAAGCUUUGUAUCAUUCUUCUUUGAGAAUAAAUCUGCAAACGUCUUCCAGGCUUCAUGAGGAUUUUUGGCAUCCCGAAUGUGUUCCAACACAUCUUCUUCAAUUGUUGUUUUCAAAGCAAACAUUGCUUUGCCUGCUUUAAUCUUCCACUUUCGUAAUGCACCAUUUGCAUCCUCAGCCUCUGGUUGUGUAAUUUCACAGCCAUUCACAACUUCCCACAAAUCCUGGCCCUGCAUGUAAGACAUCAUGCACGUUGACCAAGUAUUAUAAUUCUGGUUGUUGAGCUUCUUAAUUCCCCCAAUAACUUGAAGAUCACCCAUCUCACUCUUUUCUUUUCCUCACGUGUUUGACUCUCAAAUAUCAAAUAAAACACUCUCUCUUGAACCCGGCUCUGAUACCAAUUGUUGAACUUUUGAUAUUCAGAAAGACAAACAAUUAAAGAAAGAAAAACACACUUUAUUGAUGGAUGAUAUUAAUGCAGCAGCUACAAGCCUUUAUAUAGGCAUUUUACUUAACAGACUUCCUAUAAAUAAGACGCGGAAUGACUAUAAAAUAGAAAGAAUAAAACAACUGACUUUCCUAAUCACACUGCAACAAAUUCCUUGUGACUAGGAUUAUUCCUAUUUUAUUGGAAAACAAAUUGACUAAACCAGCAUAUCACUCUUGACUCAGUCACGGUCUGAUGUUGAUUAACUUUAACAAAUUCUACUUCCUGGACCAAAAUCACAUCCUCCAAGUAACAUUUCAAUUUGAUCUACAUCAUUCACAUCAUCGAAAACAAUCAGAACCUUUUUACGGCUGAUCCUGUCUUUAAUGAAAGGGUGUCCAAUACGUGGAGUGCGAAUAUGUAGAUUUUCUUCCUCUGUUAUUUUAGAGAAAAGUCAUCUCGCAUACCAAAUAAUCCUCCAUUCUUUUCUGAUUCCCUCACAUUUGCAAGAAAAUAGUGACCUUCAUAUUCCCUUGCGAUCUUGUUGAAAAUCUCUCCAGCAAGGGUUGUCUUACCAGUACCACCCAUGCCCCAAAUUCCUACAAAAAUAUAUAUUUUUAGUUAUUUAUAAAUUUUUUUUUGCUGUUAUUUGGCUAAGGCAUGCAUUAUAGGAUGCAGGUUGCUGUUUGAGAGUGGAUGGCAACACUUAAUAUUUUAUUUUUUACAAAGAAUAGGUUGUCUGUUUUUUUUUUUUUUAAAAAAAAACAUGGGAAGAAUAAUAUAUCAUCUACUCCUUUAAUCCAAAGAAAAUAAAUAGAUUAGGGUAGGUGUUGAGCCCAACCCUUUGUGAGUUCUCUCUAUUCCCGGUGCGUACAAAUUGUCCCGGACACCCACGUUAAUAAAUAAUAAUAAUAACCAUGAGGGGUGUAGUUCAAUUGAUCAAGUCUUGAGUUUGCUCCCUAGAGAUCACCAGUUCGAAUCCCAUAAACCUCAGGGCUACUAGAGGGCUUACAUGAUCGUUAACUUCAAGGCACGUGUGAUUAGUCGAGGUGCGCAAGCUAACCCAGACACCUAUGUUAAUCUAAAAUAAUAAUAAUAAUAAUAAAUUAUUAAUAAAGAUUCAAUUAAACUCAGUGUUUUAUAAUUAAAAAUUUUAAAUGUACUUUAAAAAUAAUUAUAUCACAUUUAAGAUUUUUUUUAGUUUUUGACCACAUAAAAUAUGAAUAUAAUAUUUUGAUUUUUUUGUUGACUUACUUUAACAAUUUUAAAAUAUUUUUGUUUUCAACAAAAAAUAUCAAUUAAAAACAUGGUGUUGGUAAAGAUAAACAAGAGAUAUAUUAUCUUAAUAUUUUUUAAAAAAUAAUUAUAUUUUUAUGUUUAAUAAUAAUACUAAAAAAUUUCUUAAUACCUUCAAUUUUAUUAUUUUGAAAGAAAUAAGAUCACUGACAACGUAGCAUGGAAAAGCAUUCUCUAAGCUAAGUCUAGGGAAAGUCUUGUUUAGGAAAUAAACAUAGGCCUAAACUGAAAGCGCCUGCUUAUGUUUGGCUAAAUAAAAAAAGAUGGGCAGGAAUGUACAAUACCUAAAGGAGUAUGGGAGGUGCCCGAGCCCUUUGGACAGUGCCUCUUGGUGUCCAAAAAUACCCUUAUGUCGUGUUGUUGGGAGCAUCGCCAUGUCCUUUUUCUAUUGGUUUGAUGUGCGUCUCUAGUAUGUAUUUUUUCGCAUUAUUUCCUCUCUCCUCCUUGAAAAAUUACAAUUUUCCCAUGAUACUUCAAUUUCAGUUUGGUAAGCUUGGGCUGGUUCAACUGAACUGCUCUCCAAUCUGGUUGGUCCCAAGUGCACAACUCUCCAGUCCACUUAGGCUAACCCAAUCAGACUCGCUCAGAGUCACCGCCUCGAUUGAGGUAUCAUGCAAAUUCCUUGCAUUAGCCCACAUCACAAUGUAUUAUUAUGAACUCCAAAAGGUCACCAUGGCGCCACGCACCUUCUAGUGCUACCAUAGUUAUCAGAUUCGACCCGGGGUGGAGCUGGCCAAAAAAUCAGGUCUCGGGUUGACCCGGGUCAACUCGCAUCAACCUGAAAAAAUUAUAAAAAAUUAAAAUUUUAAUAAUUCAAAUGAAAAAAAUUAAAAAAGAAUUAAUGUGAAUAUAGGCUAUACAUGUUAUAAAUAAUAAAGUUUAAAUGAUUAUUUCAAAAAGUUUUUUAUCCUACAUUGAAAAGAUACCAUAUUAGUAUGUUGUUGCUACCCAAUUUUUCACCCAUGUUUUUAAUAUAUUUUCAAAAAGUCAAAAAAUAGAGAAAAAACAAUGAAAAUCCAAAAAAUAUGUUUUUUAAUAUAUUCUCGUCAUUUUAGCAUUUUUAGCGUCGUCUAAAAAAGAAUUUAAAUUUUCAAAAGAUUUUCAAACGCGUUCGACUUUUCACGCGUCAUUUUUAAAAUCAUUGAUUUUCCUCAUUGAGUCGACGUUGACAUUGCUCGUUUUCAAAAAUAUACAAAAAAGUAAGAAAAAUUAAAAUUUACAAAAAGAAAGAAGUUGAGGGACCAAGUUGAAAAACCUAGCAAUAUUUCACCUAUAAAUACCAGUCUUCUCAACACAUUUAGGGGUGGGGCAAUUUUGAAACAUCAGAAAAAUACAAAAAAAACCCUAACCCUAAAACCCAUCUCUUUCAACGCCAGCAGCCGCCCCCCCAUCUGGUGAUUUUUUUUUCCCCUUCACUUUUCCAAGUCUUCUUCACCUGGCCAAGCCGAAAGAGGAGCGGCGCCCCCCUUAGAUUUGGCUUUCUUCUUCCUUUAGCCAAAAAGCCUGACUUCCCCUCUACAGAAAAAGCAACCGACUGGACAAGCCCUUUUCUUCUCCAUCUCCAGCCCUCCUUUGGCCAAAGUAUCCAUCACUUCCCUUUUCCCCUUCGCCGACCUCCAGCAGCGGUAGCUUCUGCCCACAGCCGACAGACCCAGCUCUCACUGCCGAACACGCCGACACCGCCUCCAACAAGCCACACCGCAACAGUGCCGCCCUCUGCAACUUCAACAGCCCCAGCUCAACCACACGCCGGACAAAAGCCAGAGCAGUUCCCCUUCGCUCUCCCAUCUCGCCGGUUGCCUCACCAUCUUCCCCGACCUCUUCAUCUCCUUCAGCACCGAAGCUUCCUCCAGCAGCUUCGACAACGGCUCCCAUCUCCACCGCCAGCAGCAGCAGCGCCGUCCUCGCCAGCAGCCACACACGGGAGCGUCGGGGCCACACUCUUCACCUUCUCCCCCGGGCAGCGCCCACAGACCCACCUCCAGAACUGCCCGCAGUGGCCACCGCAGCCGACCAUCACUGGAUCUGCAACCGGCGAAGGAAUAAAAACAGAUCUGCAAGAAAAAAAAACAGAUCUAAAAAUGAAACAAACAAAUUAAAAUCAACUGCCUGUGUGGUUUUCGGAUGCUUUGCAGGUCGCCACCGGCGUUGGGAGACUGAGAAGAGGGAGUCGAUCCAACCCCCCCUGUUGUUCGGUUUUCUUGAGGCGGCGGCGCGUGGGGAGACGCGCCGCUAGUGUUUAGGGACUAUUUUGUAAAUUUUAAAUUAAUUAAUGUAAUUUUCAUUUAUUGGUUUUGAAUUUAUAUUGUAUAAAUGUGAUGUAAAAAAAAAAAAAAAAUAAAUAAAUAAUAAAAAGAAAGUUGUGUGUGUGUUUGCAAUUUUGUUUAUGUCAUUGAAUUAUAAAAAAUAAAAAAAAGGACAAAAAGAAUUAAUUGUUAAUUUAAAUAUGGUUAAAUAUCUCAAGGACAAAUAAAAUCAAGUUGUAUUUUCCACAAAAAUGUAAGAACGAGUUUCUACAUAUAUUCGGGGAUUUAAUAACUGAUUUAUUCAAGCCUUAGAAUUUAAUUAAUAUUUUAAAUUUUCAAAAUCACAUCAGAACACAAAGCAGCUUACCUCAGGUAGGGUGCGUUAGGGGUGCUAAUACCUUCCCUAACCACAACCAGUCCCUUACCCGCGAUCUCUGACAAGACCAGUACAUCAGGUUUCCUAGUAGCCCUCAAUGAAUUACUAGGUGGCGACUCCAACGAACGAAUUCAAAGCAAACGCAAUAACGAGAAAAAUCGCCAGCCGAUGCCAUGCAGGAUUUUUUGACGUGCGACAUAUGUUAUCCUUUUAAGUUGAAGUAUUUAAACCAAAAAGGUUCUUUAUACCAUAUUGAAAAAUUUUUUUUUCUUGUGAACAUAGAAUAUAUAUACUAAAGGGCUUCAAAUCUCACAUUAAAAAAAAUAAAAUAUUAUUCUAGUAUUUAUAUAAUAAACUUUAAAAAAAUUAAUAACCCGCCUCUAAGCGAAUACAUUGAUUGCAAAUGGAGUGCUUUGGAUUGAACCCUAUCUAGUGUGGCGCUGCAGUCAAACACCAAGAUAAUUGAUCGUAGUUUCUGUCUAUCAAUUUCUUUCUUUUCUGCCCUUUUUUUAACCUCUUGAUUUUUCUCUCCAUUGAAAUUUCGUAAGUGGUGGGCUUGAAUUUGGAGGGAGUGGUGGGACUGCUAUCUUGUACGGAUCAUAGAAGGUAACAUGACGCUUCAGACUCUCGAGAUGCACGGAGAAAUCUCCAGACAUUACUUUUAAUUACUGUAGAUAACAGUUUCUUCUUAUUUUUUAAAAAUAUUAUUAUAACUACCACUACACUUCCAACGUACUGUAGAUGAAGGAAAGUUUCUAGACAUUGUCAAGAUAUAAUACCUAUGCAACCUUCAGAAAUGAGCUUCUGGUAUUAAGUUGAAAUUUCAGAAAUGAGUACACCAAGAUUUGAUUGAUUACAUGCAACCUCAAGCAAUUAGUGAAAAUGAAUUAAAAGAUGUUCCCCACAAUUGAUGAGCUUGAUGCUAGAUAAUUCAAACUCUUGCAAUUGUUUACAUCCAACUUUGAUAGCCGUGAUGGAAGCUCCGGUAAAAAUCGAAGUCUCAUGCAAUUCCUUAAUCCUAGAUAUUGCAACUCAAAGAGUUUAUUGAUGCUUAUAGGAAUAGUAUAAAAAUUGUUUCCACUUAGAUCUAACACUUCCAGUGACGAUAAAAGACCAAAACUGUCCAGCAUUUCCGAUAGUCUGCAACCAUCUAGAUUUAGCUUACGCAAACAAUCUAAAUCCAUGCAUCUCCUCGGCAAUUGCAAGUCAACAAUACAUGCGAUGUCUUUUAGAUAUUUGCAGUUUCCCACUUCCAAGAAGGCAAGUCCUUUUAGAUUUCCAAUCGGUGAAGGCAACUUUGUUAUGCGUGUCUCUUCUAGAUAGAGAUAUCUCAAACAUACCAUUGGCUCCAAAACUUCUGGGAAAUCCCUAAAUUGGAGGCAACCUGAGAGAUUAAGCCUCUGUAGGUUUUUCAACUUACUGAUUCUGCUUGGAAGAAUCUCAAAUUGUUUACAGUUUCGCAGGUGCAAUUCAUUAAGUUCACACAAACAUUCUAUUGAAGAGGGAAUCUCUCGUAUUAAAAUGAUGGUAUUUGAAUUGUUUGAGAAACAGACCUGAUGGUAUAAGCUUCUGGUAUUAAGUUGAAAUUUCAGAAAUGAGUACGCCAAGAUUUGAUUGAUCACAUGUAACCUCAAGCAAUUAGUGAAAAUGAAUUCAAAAAUGUUCCCCUCAACUACAAUUGAUGAGCUUGAUACUAGAUAAUUCAAACUCUUGCAAUUGUUUACAUCCAACUUUGAUAGUCGAGGUGGAAGCUCCGGUAAAAAUCGAAGUCUCAUGCAAUUCCUUAAUCCUAGAUAUUGCAACUCAAAGAGUUUAUUGAUGCUUAUAGGAAUAGUAUAAAAAUUGUUUCCACUUAGAUCUAAUACUUCCAGUGACGAUAAAAGACCAAGACUGUCCGGCACUUCCGACAUACUGCAACCAUCUAGAUUUAGCUUACGCAAACAAUCUAAAUCCACGCAUCUCUUGGGCAAUUGCAAGUCAACAAAACAUUCGAUGUCUUUUAGAUAUUUGCAAUUUCCCACUUCCAAGCAGGCAAGUCCCUUCAGAUUUCCCAUCGGUGAAGGCAACUUUGUUAUGCGUGUCUCUUCUAGAUAGAGAUAUCUCAAACAUACCAUCGGCUCCAAAACUUCUGGAAAAUCCCUAAAUUGGAGGCAACAUGAGAGAUUAAGCCUCUGCAGGUUUUUCAACUUACAGAUGCUGCUUGGAAGAAUCUCAAAUUGUUUGCAGUUUCGCAGGUGCAAUUCAUUAAGUUCACACAAACAUUCAAUUGAAGAGGGAAUCUCUCUUAUUGCUGUCCCAUCUAAAUACAGCUCCCUUAUAUUUCUUGACACCUUUGGAAACUCCGUGAUACUAGAGCAACCGGAAAGAUCAAGUUUUUCAAGGCAUCCCAACUUAGAAACCGCACUUGGCAGAUUCUUUAGCCUGUGGCAGCCAACUAGAUCUAAAUAAAUGAGUUCCCUUAGACCACCAAUUGAAGAUGGCAGUUCUUCUAUUGCAGUUCCAUUCAAGUACAAGUAUCUAAUGUUACUCGAAAACUCAGGAAACCUGCUGAUAGAUGAGCAGCCAGAGAUGUCGAUGAUUAGAAGAGAUUUCAACAAAUAUAUGUUUUCUGGAAGAUUCACCAGGUGCUUGCAGUUCUUCAAAUUCAACGUAACAAGUCCACUGAGUUCCCCAAUUGAUUGGGGAAGCUCCUCAACAGCAGUCUCAUUUAAAUUUAAAUAUGUCAAUUUUCUUGCACUCUCUGGGCACUUCUUGAGAUUUGAACAACCAGAAAAGUUAAGACUCUUCAGACAUCUUGAAUUAAUUCUACUGGGCAGAUUGAUUAGGCUUGUGUAGCCUCUUAAAUCUAAAUCAUUAAGCUUGUCCAGAUGUUGUAUAGAUAAAGGAACCUUAACCAAACUUGUACAGAACUGAAGAUUCAGGCUUUCAAGGUUUCUGGCCUUUGAAAGGUCUGGCAGGAAAGUUAUGUGCUCAUAAUUGCUGAGGUUGACAUCUUUUAAAUUGCCGAGAUUCUGAAGCAAAAUGCAAUCAACAGAAAAAAAUUACACUUCAUACCACACUUAAUUUCAAAGAAAGAACUAUGCAUGCAUAGAGUUCAUAAUUGAUAACGUAGAGACACAUUAGUAUAAUGAUAUAAUGCUAUAUCCUUGUCAAAAUAAGCAUUAAAUUAUUUCUACUGACUUCUUCUUCAAACGGCGAAACGCAUUGACCCAGUGAGUUUCGCGGCAUUCCGACUUUCGACGCUCCGGCUGCCGAAAUUCAAUUGCCAUUUGAAUUUUGGGUGAUCCCUCUUGAACAUGUAUGCUUCCGCUACUUGUUCUACAUCAAAGUUCAUCUCGUAGAUCAUUUAAUCGACCCUUUUCUGAUUCCUGCCUUAUGCUGGGAAGAAAGUGGUGGCCUUCAUAUUCACUGGAGAAGCUAUCGUAGAAAGCUCCCGCGAUAGUUGUCUUGCCUAUACCACCCAUGCCUCAAAUUCCUAUUUUGCGGACAAUAGAUAGUAAUUUAUUUAUUUGCUCAAUGCGUGAAUCUACUUCAAACUAGACCUCUUAAUUUGCUUGGGGAUGCGCGAUUUAACCUUUUCCAGAUAGUUUCCACAACUUCUCUUACUAGUUUGGACUCCGGACUGCAAAAAAUGAAACAACCAUCUUUAACUCCAAUUGUAUCUUUACGUCGAAUAAAAAAUCUAUAAGAAACUGGUGAAUUUUUUAUUAUUAUAAGCAAAUGUUGUCAAAGGUGAGGUUUUGAACUCAAGAUCUUGUUGAAUAUUAAACUCAAUCCAGAAGGUCAAGGAAGGCAACCAGCCACCAGUCGCCGACCAGCCACCAGCCGCCAGCCGCCUUCACACUUGAAGGUUGAAUUUUCUAGUUUUUGAUUUCGUGUAUAAAUAGAGUGCCCAGCUUCUGUUAAUGUGUGUGGAGAGAAUAGAGAGAAACACUAUAAAGAGAAAGAGAGAGAGAGAGGGCGUGUAUUGUUAAGCUUUUGUUGAUUAAUUGUAAGCUUGUGUUUUUGUAAUAAAACCUUGUGUUUUAUCCCCUCUGAGUGUUUCAAAGCCACCACUAGUGGUUUCUCCCACCAACAAUUGGUAUCAGAGCCCCGUUCGUCAGAAAACAGAAGAGUUUUGGGGUAUAUCCGAAUUUUCAAAGUUGUCAAAAACAAGUUUUGAUAAUUCCACAGUUUAGAGCUCAUCAAGACGAGCUCACUGGUGCAAGAAUCAACUUCAUCGGAGACGGAGGUAGCCCACACGCGCCGCCUGAAGAUUCUGAAUAGAUGCCCACGCGCCCAGAGGUUGAAGACGACUGAUCCACACGCGCGCCAUAUAUUGAGCAGCGCCGAGACGCUUACGUCAAGUCCUAGCUGAGCCUCAAGCCGAUCCGAGCCGAGCCGAGCCGUACCCGAGCCGCGAGCGCGCCGUACACCCCACCGAUCCGAGCCGCCAGCGUAUGUUUUGACCGGUUCACCCAGCGAACCGCCCACCAUACAGAAUUGGUGUUUUGACCGGUUCACCCAUUUUCUGACCCGAUUUCAACAAAGUCAGACCGAUUCUCGACUAUUUGGACCAUUCCGGAUCGAUCUACAGUGUAUGUUUGGCCAAAUUCGGCUCCCAAAAGGCGAUAUAGUCAUUAAAAGAGCAAAAUGACUACAGAAGGUACACAUACACUCAUCCCGAAGCUGACCAAAGACAACUAUGAUAGUUGGUGCAUCAGAUUAAAGGCAUUCCUUGGGUCACAAGAGUGUUUGGAUAUUGUACAAACUGGUUAUGAUGAACCAGAGUCCAAAGAAGAAGAAGAUGCUUUACAAGAGGCACAUAAGCAAGCCCUCAAAGUCAACAGAAAGAAAGACAACAAAGCAAAGACCAUCAUCUACCAAGGUCUUGAUGAAGAUACAUUCGAUAUCAUAGCUUCCGUUGAAACAUCACAUGAUAUAUGGGAGGCUCUCCAACAAAAAUACAAAGGUGAUGACAGAAUCAAGAAGAUUCGUCUUCAAUCUUUGCGAGGUGAAUUUGAGUUAUUGCAAAUGAAGUCCUCGAAGUCUAUUUCUGAUUCUCGAAUUACUGAGAAAAUUUUGAGAUCCCUAGAUCCAAAAUUCAAUUUUGUUGUUGUCGCAUUUAAAGAGUCCAAAGAUGUGGACAAGUUGACAGUUGAUGAGCUUAUGAGUUCUUUGCAAGCUCAUGAGCAGAAGAUUGUAAAGCGAAAUGGAGAUAAGGCAAUUGAGCAUGCCUUACAAGCAAAGCUGUCCCUCAAGGACAGAUAUGAGUAAGGGGAGACUUCAACAAGUGGUUAUACCACUCAAGCAGGAAGUCAACAAUCUAGAGGAGGAUUUCAGCAAUUCCAAGGAAGAGGAUCUUGGAAUACAAGCUUCAGAGAAAGAGGUGGUAGAAACACCACCAGAGGAGGCCGAGGACAACAAGCAUUCACUCCUAGAGGAAGAGGAGGCGGUUACAAUAACCGUGAUAAAAGGAAUAUCCAAUGUUAUAGUUGCAAUCAAUUUGGGCAUUAUACCACUGAAUGCAGAAGAAAAGCUCCGUUAGAGAUACGCGAGCAAGCCAACUAUAUAGAGAAGGAUGAUAGAGAAGAAGUUGCAUUUCUUGUCCAACAAGGACUUGAUGAGAAAAAGAAGGAUAUAUGGUAUCUAGAUACUGGAGCCAGCAAUCACAUGUACAGCUACCGAGAGUUAUUUAGUAAUCUAGAUGAGACCAAGCAAGGUCUAGUUACUUUUGAAGAUACCAUAAAGGUUCCAUUCAAAGGUAAAGGCAGCAUCCCAGUCAAGUUAAAGAAUGGCGAUUCCAGCUACAUCGCCAAUGUCUAUUAUGUCCCAGCCAUAAAGCAGAACCUGAUCAGCUAGGCAACUUUUGGAGAGAGGAUAUAUUUUUACUCGAAGAAUUGUCAUCUGACAAUUAGAGACAACAAUGGAGAUUAAUGGCCUACGUGAAAAUGUCCAAGAAUAGGAUGUUUCCUUUGAACAUCCAGUAUGAUGCAGCAAGGUGUUUGAGUGCCAUCACCAACAGUGAAGAAUGGCUUUGGCACCUGAGGCCUGGACAUCUGAAUUUCACGAGUCUGAAGAUGCUAUCAAGCAAGAAGAUGGUCAAAGUUUGCCUCACAUUGAUCAUCUAGAUAAAGUCUGUGAGAGUUGUGUCCUCAGCAAACAUCACAGAUCCAGUUUUGCCAAAGAAGUCAACUGAUGUGUGUGGCCCAAUAACGCCUAUGUCGACUGGACAAAAUAGGUACUUCCUCACUUUUACUGAUGAUUUUAGUAGAAAGACGUGGAUAUAAUUUCUGAAGAGGAAGUCAGAAGUAUUCAAUUGUUUUAAAGAUUUUAAAGCAAUUGUGGAGAAGCAAACUGGUACAUGAUCAGAACCGUGAGAUCUGAUCAAGGUGGAGAAUAUAGCAAUGACUUUGAAGCCUUUGUACACAACAAGGCAUCAGACAUCAGACGACACCAGCUUAUACACCACAGCUGAAUGGUGUAGCAGAGGAAGAAUCGACGAUUCUUGACAUGGCAAGAAGUCUGCUCAAAGCAAAGAAGUGCCCAAGCAAUACUGGGCUGAAGCUGUAUCAUGUGCAGUGUAUCUACUGAAUCGCUGCCCAACCAGAAGUUUGCAAGGUCAUUCCAGAAGAAGCAUGGAGUGGUCACAAACCAAGUGUUACUCAUCUACGAGUCUUUGGUUGUGUGGCAUAUGCAAAGAUCCCAGAUGCAAGAAGGAGAAAGCUCGAUGAUAAAGCGAGAAAUGCAUCUUUGUCGGAUAUGGUGAAAGAAGGAUGGGAUACAGUGUAUAAUCCCAUCACGAAGAAGGUAAUCAUGAGUAGAGAUGUUAUCUUUGAAGAAGAUAAAUCUUGGCAAUGGAAUGAUGACCAAGAAGCAGUCAGAUGGAUCAACACUGAUUUGAUCCUUGAAGGUGAAGAAGUACCAACAGUACUUGUUGAAGAACCGAUUGUGCCAGUAGCUGAACCACAAAGUCCGGUACACAGUUUCCUUGUAUUCAACAGGAGGAACACACCAGGAGCAUCAUCAUCAACACCACCAUCAGGAUCCUCAUCAGAAGGACCAAGAAGGAUGCAGAAUCUUGAAGAGUUGUACGAUACCACUCAGGUCAUGGAAGAUACAACUCUGUUUUGUUUCUUUGCAGAUAGUGACCCACUAAACUUCGAUGAAGCUAUCACAGAUCAGAAGUGGAUAGAAGCAAUGGAUGAAGAAAUACAUGACAUUGAGAAGAAUGAUACCUGGAAGCUGACUUAUCUACCAGAACACAAGAAAGCAAUAGGUGUCAAAUGGGUCUACAAGACGAAGAAGAACGCUAAAGGAGAAGUGCAAAGAUACAAAGCCAGAUUAGUGGCUAAAGGCUACAAACAGAGAGAAGGCAUUGACUAUGGAGAAGUAUUUGCUCCAGUAACCCGGCUAGAGACAAUCAGACUGAUGAUCUCACUAAAUGCACAACAUAGAUGGAAGAUCUAUCAACUCGAUGUGAAGUCAGCAUUUUUGAAUGGCUUCCUAGAAGAAGAGAUCUAUGUUGAACAACCACUUGGAUAGAUUGAAGUUGAAGAAAGCUCUCUAUGGUUUGAAGCAAGCUCCGCGUGCUUGGAAUACCAGAAUUGACAGGUAUUUUCAAGAUAAUGGAUUUGAGAAAUGUCCAUAUGAACACGCCAUAUAUGUGAAGAAAGGAGCAGAUGGCAGCAUCUUAUUUGCGUGCCUGUAUGUUGAUGAUUUGAUAUUCACCGGCAACAACCCUACCAUGUUUGACGACUUCAAACAAAGCAUGGUACAGGAGUUUGAGAUGACUGACAUUGGUCUAAUGUCACAUUUUCUUGGCUUAGAAGUAACGCAGAAGGAAGAAGGGAUUUUUGUAUCCCAAAGCGGUUACGCCAAAGAUAUUCUUGAAAGGUUCAAGAUGGAAAGCUGCAAUCCGGUAUCAACUCCAGUUGAGAAUGGAGUGGAAUUGAGGAAGAGUAAGGUUGGAAAUGUUGAUCCAACUUACUUCAAAAGCUUAGUAGGAAGCUUAAGGUACUUGACAUGUACCAGACCGGAUAUACUCUACGGAGUCGGACUCGUCAGCAGAUACAUGGAGACACCAGACCAGUCUCACUUGAAUGCAGCCAAGAGAAUUCUUCGCUACAUCAAAGGCACAAUGAAUGAAGGUAUGUUUUACACCUCAAGUAAAGACUUUAAUCUUGUAGGCUACUUGGAUAGUGAUUGGGGUAGAGAUUUGGAUUAAAGGAAAAGCACAACAAGGUUUGUCUUUUUCAUGGGAGACACAUCUUUCACAUGGUCAUCCAAGAAGCAAUCGAUUGUAACGUUAUCAAGCUGUGAAGCUGAAUAUGUUGCUGCCAACUCAGCCGUAUGCCACUCAAUAUGGUUAAGGAAUAUGCUGAAGUUUUUGGGAUUUCCUCAAGAAAAUCCUACAGAGAUUUAUAUUGACAAUCGAUCAGCAAUCGCAUUGGCAAAGAACCCAGUGUAUCAUGAGAGGAGCAAACACAUUGAUACACGUCAUCACUUUAUCCGGGAACAUGUGAAGAAUGAAGAAGUCCAACUGAUAUCUUGCAACACAAAUGAUCAGGUUGCAACAUCUUCAUAAAGCCAUUGAAAGGAGAAGUAUUUAUCCGAUUAAAGUUCAUGCUUGGCAUGAUAUCUCUCGAUUGAGUUUAAAGGGGAGAUUUGUUGAAUAUUAAACUCAAUCCAGAAGGUCAAGGAAGGCAACCAGCCACCAGCCACCAGCCGCCACAGCCACCAGCCGCCUUCACACUUGAAGGUUGAAUUUUCUAGUUUUUGAUUUCGUGUAUAAAUAGAGUGCCCAGCUUCUGUUAAUGUGUGUGGAGAGAAUUGAGAGAAACACUAGAAAGAGAAUAGAGAGAGAGGGGGCGUGUAUUGUUAUUAAGCUUUUGUUAAUUAAUUGUAAGCUUGUGUUCUUGUAAUAAAACCUUGUGUUUUAUCCCCUCUAAGUCUUUCAAAGCCACCACCAAUGGUUUCUCCCACCAACAGAUAUCCCCCUUCGAUAUUGCACCAUUAAGGUGCAAGUCCAUUGGAUGUUGAUGGAUGUUAGUUUUCCACUAAAAAACAGAAUAGACUUGUGCCUUUUCAAGCAACAAGUACUACGAACUAAGAAGCACAAAUGAUUUACUGGAAAAAAAAAACUAUAAUAUGCAAAAGAAAUUUUAAUUGCUAUAAAUACAUUUUAAUUGCUAUAAUUAAAGGAAAAAAAGGAUGAAGAAGAGAAUCUGUAGUUACCUGGUAACCUGUGAAUCCCAUCCAGAUAUACUGGCUGCAUUUGCCAAGUCAGCCCUCCACCUCGGCACCUUGUCCAUCUUCCCCUUAAAAUUUUUUUCAAGCUCGGCAAAUGCAUUUCCAAAACUCCCAGUCUGUUCAUCAACAUCAGAUGGGUCUACAUGAUAGAAGACCGCUAAAACAAUCUGCUCAUAAGUCUCUUUGCAUUCAAGUAUUUUCACCAGUUCAUCCACACACCACGGAGAAUGUCGCACGUGUGCGGCGGCGCGGCGAUCGUCCACCCUCAAGGAAAAAUCGGAAUAAUUUAUUCCUGGAAAAAUGGGGAGAGACAAGGAAUUCUUGUCUCUACAAGUGAAAAUAUGGACUGGGAGUCGCCACCUAGUAUUCUGGUUACUAGGAACCUUAACUGGUCUUUAGAGAUCGGGUACGGAGACUGGUUGCGUAAAGGGAAGGUAUUAGCACCCCAACUACGCCCUACCUAAGGUAGGCUGCAUUGUUUUAAUGUCUGAUAAAAUCUAAGGUUGUGUUGUGGUUUUUUGUUGUUCGGAAUACGCAUUACAUGUAAUGUCAUACCCCAGGUUCUAUUGUCCAAAAAAAAAAAGAAUUAAAUAUCCAGAAUAUACAUUACGUGUAAUGUCAUACCCCGGAUACUAAGAGACAAACAAAAUAAAAUUUUUGUUGUUUUUGAAAGUUUGGCCAAUAUUCUCUUGACUUUAAUAAACUGGUUAUUAAAGCCAAAAUGCAUGCUAAAUAUUGUUUUUUUGACAUAUGAAAAAUACGAUAUGAUUUUUUAGAUUUGAGACACUUGGCCGUAUGCACAAAAAUGUUUUUUAAAUUUUUUUGUAUUUUUGGAAGUUUGUGACAAAAAACCGGAUAUUGUAAUACCCGAUUUGUAUUUUUACGACAUAAAAAUACUACCCGAUAUUAAUAAAAAUAACAUAAAUAAAAAAUGGAAACAUCAUAAAUAUUUUUUUAAUGGGCCGUAUCAGGCCCAAUUGCAUGGGUUGGGCCACACCUGGCCCAUUUACAUGGGCUGGGCCGAACAUGGCCCAAAUGCAUGGGCUGGUUACUGUGCACAUAGUAACCGGGGUUACUGUGUGCACAGUAACCAGAGAAUUAAUUAGCGUGCAUAGUAACGGGGUUACUGUGUACACAGUAACCCGUGAAUUAAUUAGCAAGUUACUGUCCACAGCACAGUAACUUGCUAAUUAAUCUUCAUCUGCAUGCAGAACGUUUAAGCUUAGCAAAAAAAAAUGACAGUGGAGAAAGUUACCUGGAACGGUGUUGAUGCUGGCAGCAGCUGAUGCGGCAGGGGUGGUGGUGGCGGUGCUGGCGGUUCGCGGUGGCCGGCGGUUUUCCUUCUCUCUCUCUCUCCUCUGUAUUUUUCUGUUUUCUCCUCUGCUGCUCCUUCUUCUUUUUCUGUGUUCUCCCUUCUCUCUCUUUUCCCCUCUCUUUGCUCUCCCUUUUCUUCUCUUCCCCCUCUCUCGAGUCUUUUUUUCUGUGUUUUUUUUUCCCUCGGUCCUCCCCUGUUUUUAUAGGCAAAAACAGGGGAGACGUCAUGGUGGUGGCCGCCGCCCCUCCACUAUCGAUCCAUGGAUAAAAAGGAGGAGGCAAGUGGGCGGGCGUCUUAUUGCGCCAAAUCCGGGUGAAAGAAGUUAGGCAAAAAGGGAGAAGAAAAAUCUUCUUCUUCCCCUGCCUCGCGCGUCCAGGAGUAGAAGAAGAGCUACAGUGCCGUCAAAACGGCACCGUUUUGGGCUUCUUUUUUUUUUUUUUUUUUUUUUUGCAACAGUGAAUGAAAACGGCGUCGUUUCAUUUAAAUGGAUUUGGCGCCAAAACACGUCAGAUUCAAAUUUCAGCCCUCCAUUUGCGCGCGUUUUACAAUUUAGUCCUUGGUCUCGAAUUUCUUCAAUUCAGUCCCUAAUUGGCCAUUAAACCUCAAUAUUUAUGCAAUUAAGCCCUUGAUUUGACCAAAUUAACUUCCAAAAAUUAUAAUUUGACCCUAGAAAAUUAAUUUCUCCUAAUUAAAGCCCAAAUUAACUCCAAAAUCAAUUUUUCUUGCAAUUAAAAUCUUCAUAAAUGCAAUUAAACCUUUAAUAAAAUUUCAUUGAGUCCAUAAACUUCUAAUUUUGCAUUUUUCUUCCACAAAUUGAAUUUUCUAUAUCAUCGGGGCUCUCAUCAGUCAAUGAUAUACUGUCAAAAAUUAAUUUUUGAUUUUUGAACAUCCUCAAUCAAUUUUUGAGCAUUUUUAGGGUGCUCUGGCAUUUUUUCACUGUUAUAUUUUUUGAUAAUAUAUUUUUUUAAUUUUUUUGAAUUUUAUUAUUUUUUAUGUGGGGACCUAAAAAUGGGUUACAACAGAAAAGAUGCAUAGUUCUUGGAGAAAAUUACUACAGAAGUUCUUGAUUCUUCAAUCGUUUUCAGAAGGGCAGGGUAAUUUCUCCUCCUCUUUCAAGCCUAUCAUCAAUGUGUUGAAUCUAAACUCAAUCUAGAAGGUCAAGGAAGGCAACCACUGCCCAGCCAGCCACCAGCUGCCACCAACCGACCAGCCACCAACCGCAGCCGCCAGCCGCCAGCUGCCACAGCCGCCAGCCGCCUUCACACCUAGAAAGUUGAAUUUUUUUAUUCUGAUUUCGUGUAUAAAUAGAGUGCCCAGCUUGUGUUUAUUUGAGUGGAGAGAAUUGAGAGGAACACUAGAAAGAGAAAGAGAGAGAGAGAGGGCGUGUUUAAGCUUUUGUGUUAAGAAAUUGUAAGUUUCGGAUUUUUGUAAUAAAACAGUGUGUUUUAUCCCCUCUGAGUGUUUUAAAGCCACCACCAGUGGUUUCUCCCACCAACAAUUGGUAUCAGAGCCCCGUUUGUCGGAAAACAAAAGAGUUUUGGGGUAUAUCCGAAUUUUCAAAGUUGUCAAAAACAAGUUUUGAUCAUUCCACAGCGUAGAGCUCCUCAAGACGAGCUCACUGGUGCAAGAAUCAGCUUCAUCGGAGACUGAAGUCGACCACACGCGCCGUCUGAAUAUCCGGUGACAGUCGCCCACGCGCAGCCACGCGCUCCAGAGGUUUAAGACGACUGAGCCACACGCGCGCCAUAUUUGAGCCGCUCCAAGCCGUUUACGCCGAGUCCUAGCCGAGCCGAAAGCUGAGUCCAGCCGAGCCACAAGUCGUGCCGUACUCCGCGCUGAGCCGCGCCGCUUUCCAGUUGCAGCCGAGCUCGCAGAAUAUUCCCGGUUCAACCCAGCGAACCGCCCGCCGUACAGAAUUGGUUUGUUGACCGGUUCAUCCAUUUUCUGACCCGAUUUCAACAAAGUCAAGGACUAUUUGGACCAUUCGGAUCGAUCUAUAGUGUCCGUUUGGCCAAAACAGCAGAAGGUGAUAUAGUCAUUCAAGAGAAAAAUGACUACAGAAGGUACACAUACACUCAUCCCGAAGCUGACCAAAUGAUAGUUGGUGCAUCAGAUUGAAGGCAUUCCUUCGGUCACAAGAGUGUUUGGAUAUUGUACAAACUAGUUAUGAUGAACCAGAGACCAAAGAAGCAGAAGAUGUUUUACAAGAGGCACAGAAGCAAGCCUUGAAAGUCAACAGAAAGAAGGACAACAAAGCAAAGACAGAUAUGAGCAAGGGGAGACUUCAUCAAGUGGAUAUACCACUCAAGCAGGAAGUCAACAAUCCAGAGGAGGAUUCCAGAGAUUCCAAGGAAGAGGUUCUUGGAAUACAAGCUUCAGAGGAAAAGGUGGUAGAAGCACCACCAGAAGAGGCCGAGGCCAACAUCCAUUCACUCCUAGAGGAAGAGGAGGCGGUUACAAUAACUGUGACAAGAGGAAUAUCCAAUGUUAUAGUUGUAAUCAAUUUGGGCACUAUAGCACUGAUUGUAGAUGGAAAGCUCUGUUGGAGAUACGUGAGCAAGCCAACUUUGUAGAGAAGGAUGAUAGAGAAGCAUCUGUAUUUCUUGUCCAACAAGAACUUGGCGAGAAACAGGAGAAUAUAUGGUAUCUAGAUACUAGAGCCAGCAAUCACAUGUGCGGUUACCGAGAGUUAUUUAGUGAUCUAGAUGAGACCAAGCAAGGUCUAGUUACUUUUGGAGAUACCACAAAGGUUUCAUUCAAAGGUAAAGGCAGCAUCCCAGUCAAGUUAAAGAAUGGCGAUUCCAGCUACAUUGCCAAUGUCUAUUAUGUCCCAGCCAUAAAGCAAAACCUGAUCAGCUUAGGUCAACUUUUGGAGAGAGGAUAUACUUUUUACUCGAAGAAUUGUCAUCUGACAAUUAGAGACAACAAUGGGAGAUUAAUGGCCUACGUGAAAAUGUCCAAGAAUAGGAUGUUUCCUUUGAACAUCCAGUAUGAUGCAACAAGGUGUUUGAGUGCCAUCACCAACAGUGAAGAAUGGCUUUGGCACCUGAGGCUUGGACAUCUGAAUUUCACAAGUCUGAAGAUGCUAGCAAGCAAGAAGAUGGUCAAAGGUUUGCCUCACAUUGAUCAUCCAGAUGAAGUCUGUGAGAGUUGUGUCCUCAGCAAACAUCACAGAUCCAGUUUUGCCAAAGAAGUCAACUGGAGAGCAAAGAGGCCACUGGAGUUAGUACACACAGAUGUGUGUGGCCCAAUUACGCCUAUGUCGACUGGACAAAAUAGGUACUUCCUCACUUUUACUGAUGAUUUUAGUAGAAAGACGUGGAUAUACUUUCUGAAGAGGAAGUCAGAAGUAUUCAAUUGUUUUAAAGAUUUUAAAGCAAUUGUGGAGAAGCAAACUGGCUACACGAUCAGAACCGUGAGAUCUGAUCAAGGUGGAGAAUAUACAGCAAAUGACUUUGAAGCCUAUUGUACACAACAAGGCAUCAGACAUCAGACAACACCAGCUUAUACACCACAGCUGAAUGGUAGCAGAAAGGAAGAAUCGCACGAUUCUUGACAUGGCAGAAGUCUGCUCAAAGCAAAGAAGUUGCCCAAGCAAUACUGGGCUGAAGCUGUAUCAUGUGCAGUGUAUCUACUUGAAUCGCUGCCCAACCAGAAGUUUGCAAGGAGUCAUCCAGAAGAAGCAUGGAGUGGUCACAAACCAAGUGUUACUCAUCUACGAGUCUUUGGUUGUGUGGCAUAUGCAAAGAUCCCAGAUGCAAGAAGGAGAAAGCUCGAUGAUAAAAGCGAGCAAUGCAUCUUUGUCGGAUACGGUGAAAGAAGGAUGGGAUACAGGCUGUAUAAUCCCAUCACGAAGAAGGUGAUUACGAGUAGAGAUGUUAUCUUUGAAGAAGAUAAAUAUUGGGAAUGGAAUGGUGAUCAAGAAGCAGUCAAAUGGAUCAAUCUUGAUUUGAUCCUUGAAGGUGAAGAAGUACCAACAGUACUUGUCGAAAAACCGAUUGUGCCAGCAGCUGAACCACAAAGUCCAGUGUUUAUACCAGCAGCUGAACCACAAAGUCCGGUACACCACCAUCAGCAUCCUCAUCAGAAGGACCAAGAAAGAUGCGGAAUCUAGAAGAGUUGUACGAUACCACUCAGGUUAUGGAAGAUACAACUCUGUUUUGUUUUCAUGCAGAUAGUGACCCAUUAAGCUUCAAUAAAGCUGUCACAGAAAAGAAAUGGAUUAAAGCAAUGGAUGAAGAAAUACAUGCCAUUGAGAAGAAUGAUACCUGAAGCUGACUUAUCCACCAGAAAAGAAGAAAGCAAUAGGUGUCAAAAGGGUCUACAAGACGAAAGCCAAAUUAGUGGAUAAAGGCUACAAGCAGAGAGAAGGCAUUGAAAGGAGAAGUGUUCAUGCUUGGCAUGACAUCCCUCGAUUGAGUUUAAAGGGGAGAUUUGUUGAAUAAACUCAAUCUAGAAGGUCAAGGAAGGCAACCACCACCAGCCACCACCAGCUGCCACCCGACCAGCCACCAGCCGCAGCAGCCAGCCGCCAGCUGCCACAGCCGCCAGCCGCCUUCACACUUGAAAGUUGAAUUUUUUUUUUGAUUUCGUGUAUAAAUAGAGUGCCCAGCUUGUGUUAUUUGGUGGAGAGAAUUGAGAGGAACACUAGAAAGAGAAAGAGAGAGAGAGAGGCGUGUUUAAGCUUUUGUGUUAAGUUAAUUGUAAGCUUCGGAUUUUUGUAAUAAAACAGUGUGUUUUAUCCCCUCUGAGUGUUUCAAAGCCACCACCAGUGGUUUCUCCCACCAACACAAUGAAGGUCUUGAUUUUCUUACGACACAAAGCAUCAUAGAGAUGGCUGGUAAAAUUAUUGCGCGUAUCCUUGCCCCUAAAACUAAGGAACACAUCAUACUUCCUUUUAUGAGCAACAGCAGAUGAAGAUGCCAUAUCAGACAGUUACAAGAUCGUGUCUUCCUCAAUCACUAAGAAUCGAAAUCAACAAGUGCUCUCCUUUUUCUCCUAAAGACAUACAAGAGCAGCCACUUCAACAGUUGAACAUUUAUUAAGAGAAAUUGAAGUCUAAGAGUACAAGAACCCACACAACAUAUAUUUGUCUGAAAAUUCCUCAAACUCUGAACGAUGGAUACAUACUAGCUUAAUUUGAUAUGAUCUAUCUUAAUUUGAUCACUCGUCACUUGCUACCAAUGCUAGCUUGCUAUUACUUUCAUUGCAAGAACAGUCACUAGCUGAGCAAUAAGAAUUACAGAUGGAAGAAUUAAUACGUUCAUAAAACAUACUUAUCUAACUCGUAUAUAUAAUCUUAAAUAUAGAAGACGCAUGAACCAGAAAGACUUACCAACAGAUCAUAAGAACAGUUGACUUGUGUUUUCCAUCAGCAAACAAGACGAAGAAGAAGCUGCAUAUCGUUGAUGAUAACAGACGAUUUUUCUUGUCUAUUGCCUUCUCCUUCUCCUUCAAGUAAAUUCUUACAGACAAUCUGAGCUUCUCGUUAUCUAAAUGAAAGAUGGUUUUUGAUCAAGAAACAGGUGAAUGUGAGAAGACUUUGGGGUCAUUAGACUCAAUACCAAAUUCAUUGGCCAAUGAACUUGUCAAUGGCAACGGUACCCCUCAUGGCCAAUGAUUUAUUUUUUUCUUUUUUCUUUUUUAGUGCCUAAUGGAUGGGCUUCCUAAAGUAAUUUGUUUGGGUCUUCCAAACCAAAAUCUUAACCCAUUUCGAACAAAGAGUCUUGGAAACAAAAUUCCAUUUAUUAUUAUUAUUAUUCAUAAAACAUUAUUAAUUUACCUAUGAUUUCCAUGGUAUUAUUGACACUUUAUUUUCUUAAAGCUAUUUAUUGGAUUAUAAUUUAACAUAAUGUUGAAGAUGUCUUUCAUUUAAAUAGGGACAAAAGCAUACACAUCAUAACUAAUUCUUAUCAGAUUUAUAGCAAAUAUAGAAAAUAAGCAUUAUGUUGGAAAUAUGUAUUGAGUCAUUUGUUUUUAGCUUGCAUUUAUUUAAAAAAAAAUAUUCUCGAACUAAAAAAUAUUUUUUCCUUCUCUAUAAAAAUAAAUAUUUUCUCUAUCAAAAUUAUCAUGUAAAUUACAUGAUAAGACAAUAAUUUUAAGGUUUAAUAAGUAAAAAAUAUCUAGCAUGAUUACUUCUUGAAAUACUUUUUUUUUUUUUAAAGUUAACUAGAUAUGUGCUCCAUGUGUAAUUCGUAUUAUUUUUAUAUUUAGAUUAACGAAGUACUAAUGUAAAAUACUAUUAAAAAUAUAUACCAACUUUACAAAAAUAUAUAUUUUACAAUUGAUGAUAAAAUAAUGUUCAUUUCAGCUGUUAAUUCCACUAAAUAACAUGUAUCACCUAGUUUUAUAAUUUAAGUUAAUUAUUAUUUUUCUAUGAAAAAAAGUAAUUGAUCUUUUAACAUUGCUUUGUUUUGUGAUUAAUCUUGAUUAUUUAUUUUUCAUGCAUAUGCAUGAGAUUCUUGAUAUGUCACGGAAAUAUUUAAUCUCUUAGGUAAUCUUAGUUAAUGCUUGGUUUGAGAAAGCAAAAUUUUAUUUUAUUGAUUUCAAACAAUUACAACUUAAAUAACCAAAUUUGAAGAUUAAAGAAAUGUUUAUUUAAUUUUUUCAAAAUUAGAGAUUGAUUUGUAUGGUUAGGAGGGAGUUCAUGUACUAUUUUUAUUUUGGUCCCUUAACUGUUUAAUCUCUUAGUUAAUGCUCGGUUUGGAAAAGUAAAUUUUAAUUUUAUUGAUUUCAAAUAAUUAUAACUUAAAUAAUCAAAUUUGAAGAUUAAAGAAAUAUUUAGUUUUAUUGGGUCAAAAUUAGGGAUUGAUUUGUAUGGUUAUGAGGAAGUUUAUGUCCUGUGUUUUUUUUUUAUCCCUUAACUUGUUUUUUUUUUAUUUGAUCCCUUCAUAUUGAUUUUAUUUGGGAUGGAAUUGGUAGUUUGUUUUGAAUGCCUUGAAAUAGAGAUCUUACAAUAUUGAAAAACAAUUAUGGGGCUUAGUUGAUACUUGAUUUUGAUGAGUAAUACAAAUUUCAGCUAAUAUAGAACUACUAAAAUUUAGGAACUAAAAUUAAAAAUAAAACAAAUAUAAAAACUUAGUAAACAAAUAGGAUAAAUAGGUUGUGGCACGUACCAAUGUUUGAAAGAUAUCUAUUAUGUCUAUUUAUGUUUUUUGCAUGAACAUACUAGAGAAAUUUCUCAUUUUUUAUUUUUGUGACUUUGGGCAUUUAUCAUAGGAUGAUAUAGAAGAGAAAAGAAGAGUUACGGUAACUAAUUGUGGAAUUCCAGAGGUAAAGUCAUCAUCUUUUCCCAAUAGGGUUCAGUUAGGAGCCUCAAGCAAAACAAGUAGCAAAGAGUAAAGCUUUAUGGGAUGAGGAUUGGGGACCUGUUUCAAAAGUAUCUUUCACUGCAUAUCGGCCUUCAGCAAGUAACUCAUCACCCACUCCAUCUAUUUCAGCCAAUCAACAAAGUCAGUUAGCAUUUUUGCCAUAGAAUCUUCCAUGACAUCUGCAGUAUCCAAUACGCAGUAAGCCAUAUCAUGGCCUCCAGUUGAUAUAGAAUGGCCUCCAAGGACAUCUUCAACUAUUAUUCCUCGGCUAGAUGAUGAGGGAGAGGAGGGGGGAUGACCUGGAGUUAUAGGUCCAACAUUAGGUGAAGCCAUUGGCAAAGCCUUGCUGGCUAUUUAUAUAUAUAAAAAAAAGUUGUAAGGCCCUCUUUGUAUACUGUGAAAGUUCAAUAUUUCCCUUCUGUUGUUCUUUGCUUUUCUCUCUUGUAAAUGGCUAAUUAAAUUUUGCUUCGAGUAGGUAGCGCAUAAUUAUUUUUGUUUUUGCUAAGAAUAAAGCAACUGAAAUGCAACAUUUCAUUCAUUCAAGCUUUGACAUGAAAAAAUAUGAACAUGAAUGAUCCAUAUCUUCCAACACCUUCCAUCUACUUGACUACCCCUACAUAUCUAUCUUGUGCACCUAUAAUUGUUCUACUAAUCCUUCUCUCACUAGCCUUAGUGAAAUUAUUGACUAAUUAGUGCAUUCCUGACUUAAAUCUCUAUUGCUUGAAGUUCGUCUUCUCAAUGUGUUCAAAAGUCGUCAUCUUAUUAGAUUGUUGAGCAAUGACACUGCUUGUUCAUGGGUUUUGAGAUGAAACAAUCUCGUAUCCAUCAUAAUAUAAGUCCAUUCCUUCAGCCAAGAUUUGCCAAACCAAGCCACCACCAAUUGUCCCUCUAGUUCUUGCAAAGAUGUAGAUGAUUGUAUAGACUGUAUUCAAGAAAGAAUCCCUCACACUUGUACUGUAUCCUGGAUCUUUAUUUGAUUACCCGAAUUCAGCAAAAACCAAUGGCUUCUUUAAUAUGGUUUUUGAGUCUGUCCAAUGACUAGAUAUCCACAUUUGCAUGAAUUCCAUUUGUGCAUUAUCAUUCUGUCCAGAUACCCUGUAAAUUUGACAGAACAGUACCAUGUUAAUUAUCUUUGCAACAUGUCUUUUUAAGCUUGGUGAAUAAAAACAUCAUGAUUAAUUGAUUAUUAUUUCCUUUCGUGCUUACCAUAUGUCAGGGUAUGCAUGUAUUAUAGCAAAAUCACUAUCCCUAACGAGAUGAUUGCUAAUAAACUCUGUGUCAAUAGAUUUAACAUAAGGUGCCAGCUCUUGAACCCAUCCCUGUCAGAUUUAAAGACAAUCAUUAAUUAAUAGAUGAUAUUAUAAUUAACCUAAUAACUACCACAAAAAUAAUCAAUUACUCAUGGUUGUUGUUUCUUACAUUUAUAGGCUUUCCAGAGUAGUCAACCUGGCAGCGAGGUUCGUACAUCAAUUCCCAUGCAAUGAUGGUUGGCUCAUCCAUAUAAGCAACUCCAGUGAUCGUGGUGAUCCUUGUUAACACUCUAUCUGUUGAAAAAAUAAAGAAAGAAAAGAAACAUUAUUCAUCUCUAAUCAUAACAUUACAGAAGGGAAAUUUGUCAUAUUUGAUUUGGUGCUCAAAAUAUGUAACUUGACAUGGUUCUUGUGAUAGCCCUUCACAACAACGUUUGUAUAAAUAAAAAUCAUCAUCGUUGUUUACUGGCACUCCUGCGGCUCUAACCCAAUUCACGUAUUACGGUCUCCCUCCAAAGUCAUGGUAAUUAUUGCUUAAUGUCAAGAUUGAGCGAAUUAUGUACUUUCUUGCCUCAGAAAUCAUAAAAUCAAGUCCCUGAGAAUUAUAAACAGUAUUUAGCAUUGCUUAGAUUUUUCUUAGUUGGGGAACAAGUUAAAACACAAUUUUGGAGACAUAAAUAUACAAGCAUAUACCUGAAAGACAUGCUCACUACAAACCCCAGGAGAAAUCUGCAGAGCUUGAUAACCUUCAUCACUAAAUGUCCAUGUUCGACAGACAGUAAGACCUGUGUCAGCAGCCGUGCGAAAUACAUUAGAUAUUUUGUACCUUUGACUUGGCUGUGCUGCAACAUUCAUCAUCUAGUAGGAGUUGAACCCAUUAAAAAGGAAUGGAGAGCCACUUAGGACAAAUUAGGUGUUUGUAAUUUGAAUGAAUCCAGACGUAGGAAGCCCAUCUUUAUAAGUAACAAAGGCUAAAAACAAUAUAAUAGUACCAAAAAAAGCAAAGCUUACAUCCCUAAAGCUUGCCAUCUUGCUUGAAAUUUAUGUUUUAAUUUGCCUUUGGUUGAUUCGUACUUGAAAGGAUGGAUGUGAGGACAAGUUAGGGAGAUGUGGUGCCUGUUUAUAGAAGUGAAGGGUGAUGAGCAUAUAGAGGUUCUUAAUUUAAUAUAUAUGAAAUGUUUAAGAGAAUGAAAAACUAUUUAUUUACAUUUUAGGAAAAGAUAAACAUACAGAAAAUUAAAUUUGGAUAAUGUUAUUUAAAGGGAACAUGGAAUUGGUGAGGAAUUUAUAAGAUGUAACAGAAAUUGUUGAGUAUCAUCCUUAAAAUGAUGAUGGCUAAGUAUGGCUAAUCUAAGAAUUAGGAAAUGAUCAAAUAUAAAUUAUUACCAGCCUUAUUCAUUGUAGUUCUCAUAAUCAAAUAUUUUGACUCUUCACAAGAACAUCUUCCACUCUAUAGACAAUAAAGCAGUUUGAAUGGCGUUAAGGAAAAAAAUAACAUUAUUAUUUUAUUUUAUUAAUUGAUGUUGGGCUUACAAUGUUUAUGAAUUGUUUAAUUCAAUAGUAAUUAUAUUGAUUAGAUAUAUUAAAAUUCCUUAUUUAAUAAGUGCAAGUAGGGAUGAUAAUUUAAUAUGGGCUCAAUGGAUAUUGACCCAAAUUGACCCAAAUAUAUGGUUAUUUUUUAUUUGAUGGAUAAUAGGUAGAGUAUGAAUAUUGUCAAACAUGACCUGAAAUCCCAAAAUAUAUAUUUAUAUUAUAUAAAUAUAUAUAAUUUUAUUUUUUAUUAAUUGACAUGCAAUUUUCAAAGGGUCUUUUAGAGACGAAGCUUUAUCCUUUUAGUUUGGUGAAAUAGCAUUCCCAAAGUCUAUGUAAGAAUUAACCUCCUUAUCAACUUGGCUACAAACACCAAUUUGAUAAAAAAAAAAAUUUACAAAUCUGUUGCAGAAAUGAAAAAAAUUCUAUCAACCAAAAUUUGAUAUUUUUUUUUUGAAAAGAUAAAAUAAAAUUAAAAUAAAUGACAUGAUAAAAAAAUAAAUAGACCUUUAUAUAUUUCUGAGUCAAUGAAAGGUUGACAAGUGGGAUAAGAUAUUUAAGAUAUCUUAUCAUAUAUAUAUAUAUAAGAUUUUAUAAAUAAAAAUCAACAAAUGAAAUAAUAUCAUGUGGCAUUGAAAAAGAACUUGAGAGCCCCUACAAAACUCAAAAUAAAGGGCUUUACCCUAGAAAAAAAAAAGAUUUUUUGGAGAUACAAAUUUCUUUUCAAAACAAACUCUUCAAGCAAGAGAACUCUCUCAAAAGCUCUCAACAAACGAAACUAUGUUGAAUCAAGCAUAAAUGCCCCAUAAGAGUUUUUUAACAACACUUUGAAAACAAAUUAAAGAUACUCUUGAAAGCAUCAAAUCAUCAAAUAUUAUUCUUCAAUACAUAUCUAAAUUUAGGUUCUUGCACGACAUAAAUCUUGGCUUGAUUUCACAAAUAAAUCAAAUCACCAUAUACCAAAUUCAAGGGAAGGAUAAAAGAAUUGUUUACUCUUUUGCAAGAAUAUUUAAAAUAGAGAUUGUACCUAGUCAUAUAUUUAAUAAAAUCAAAUAUUUAUACACAUGUGCUUAUCAAAUUUCAGGUGCUCAAAAUUGUGUUUAUAAAUUUCUAGCAUAAAAUCAAACAUCUAUACCUCUCGUGUCUUCCUUUCAGAAAGAAUUUCCAACAACCUCUCAAUGACAACUAGGAAGAGCAUGAUCAUCGUUGUCGCUUAAAAAAAAAAUACAAGGCUAUUGAUUCAAGUCACCGAUAUACCGUUGAAGAUUCUUCAACCUGUCAUUGAAUACAAAAUUCAUCGCAGAAUUGUAUUUGCAAACUAAGCCAAUUAUUGAGCUAAUGUCAGCAUCAAAUGCAAAGGAGGCAUGAGAGUUUGCUCCAAAACUGAAGCUACAAGUACCUCCACCAUAAAAGUCAAGUAGGGUCCGUAGGCUUUUCUUCGGCACUUAAGGUGAGUACUCUGAAAAUUCACCUAUAGAGACUUCUUCAUGUCAAUCACCAAGUAAGGUUUUGGGUUUUAGCAUCAUAUUAGUGAUGAUGAUCGAGACUGCAUCUUUGGAGAAUCAAGUGGCUAACUUGUCAAAAAUCUUCGAAGGGCUUUCAAGUUCACUCAAGGCAAAAGAGCACUAGAUAACAAAGUUGAUAAACAAACUCGAGAGCAUGAACGAGGGAGGCCAAACUGCAACUAUAAAGGAUUUGCAAGUAGAUCAAUUAGAUGUCAUUGAGGAUUCUAUAAUUGGAGCCACAAGGAAUAUCCACGGUAUUAUCGAUGGCAUCUUCACCACGAAUUAACUGAAAGAACUUAUCAAAAAAAGUCAUAACGGACAAAAUAGAAAGAUCAAUUCAACCUUCAUAUUCUUAUGUGAAGCUGUACAAAGAAAGGAUUAACCUGCUAAGGAUGCCUUUGAGCUAUCAACCAUCAAAGUCUCAAUAAUAUAAUGGAAAAGAGAAUCCAAGGCAACAUGUAGCUCACUUUGUGGAGACUUGCAACAAUGUCAAAACCGAUGGUGAUCUCAUGGUAAAACAGUUUGUCUAUUCGUUAAAAGGUAAUGCCUUCGACUAGUACACUAACUUGAAGUCUGGCUCAAUUGAUAGUUGGGAGCAAUUGGAAUGCGAGUUUCUUAACCGCUUCUACAACACUCAUCGUGUGGUCAGUAAGAUUGAACUCACCAAUGCACGUCAAUACAAGGAGAAGCAUGUCAUUGAUUAUAUUCAUUGGUGGAGAAACCUUAGCCUCGAUUGUAAGGAUCGACUCAUCGAAACUUAUGCGCUAAAUAUGUGUAUUCAAGGGAUACCCCGAGCACACAACUCUCCAGUCCACUUUGGCCAACCUAAUCAGACUCAUUAAAGUUACCGCCUCGACUUGGUAUCAUGCAAAUUCCUUGCACUAGCCCACAUCACAAUGUAUUAUUACGAACUCCAAAAAGUCAUCAUGGCAUCACACACCACCUACUAGUGCUACACGAUGCUCAUCUAAUUCUCUAUUAUGGUGCCCGACCUCUUGUAAUAGUAGAAAAAUAUUAUUCUACUUCCCGUGCCAUCACUUCUAAUUAAUAUAAGCAGGAGGUGCUUGUUCAUAUUUAAUAGGAUGUGAUGGGUAUCAUAAUUACUAACACAGACCUAGAGUAUGGGAGCUUAGUGUAGAGUGACAUGUUAGUUAUGCACCCAAUCUAAGGGAUGUUGGGCUCAAUCCACGCCCAAAGCGCAGGAGAAAAAGGGGCGCAGACGUAUCCAGAUCCACUGUGAAGCUGGGCGUGGACACGACUAGGUCCAAAGUGGGGUUGGGCGUGGUCGCGCCCGAGCCCAAUUGUGGGACCGGGCGUGGAUGCGUCCGUGCCCAACAUAGAUUUGGACGUGGACGCGCCCGGGCCCGAUCAUGGGACUGAACGGGGACGUGUCCAGGCCCAACAUAGAGUUGGGGGUGGGUGUACCCCAACCCAACUUGGGGUUGGACACCCGAAAAGACAUAGCUCCAUUUUGGGUUAUGAUUUUCAUGCAUUAUCUCUUAAAUAAGGUUGAGUUGAGAAACUAUGACCCAUCAAUAUCCAAAAUCAUAAGAUUCUAAAAGACACAAAAAAAUCAAAAUCUGUCCUCAUAACUUCUCAUAAGUUACUAGGGAUUAAAAAUAAAAAAAGGAGGAGAAAACAAGUCAACUACAAAGAGAAUAUUUUGUUUUAGUCUGUGCUCGUGGAGAUGGAGAGAAGAAAUCAUGGAGGGAAAAAUGGUUUUCUAUGUAUACUAGAUUGAUAUAUUGUUCCCUUUGUAUGGGUUAUAUUAUAUAAAGGAUAUUUUUAUCUUUUAAUCAAAAUUUAAAUCUUGAAGUAUAAUUUCUAAAGCUAUAGAGAGAGAUAUUAAAAUCGUUUUCAAACCUUGGUAGAUGAGUAAUUUUUCUAUUAUAAAUUGUGUACGGCUAACAGGUGAUUUUAGUACACUUGCUAAGUCCCAUUUAACAUUCCAAAUUAAUUCAUGUGUUUAACGUUUUGUUUAUAAUUUAUUAUAGACACUUAAAAACAUCACCAUAUAAACUAUUUAACAUAUUUAAUUAAUUUAAUUGAUUUUUAUUUGAAUAUUUGUUUUUUAAUUAUUAUUUUUACCACAAUUCAAUAAUAAAUAAAAUCUAAGAAAUACAUUAUUCAAAUAAUGGUUUACUAUUCAUAUAAAUAUAAAUAGUAAAGAAUCUUAAUACAUAUUUUUAAUUAGUUUAUAAUAAUUUUCUUGUUGUUAUGUGGCAGAGGCACACGUGAUAUGAUGCAGGUUGCAGCUCGAGAGUGGAUGGCAACACUUAAUUUUUUAUUUUUUACAAACAACAGGUAGUCCGUAACUUUCUUUUUUUUUUUAAGGACGAAUAACAUUCAAAUUCAUCUAAACAGGAGACCUUAUGGUCUCUUUAAGCAAUGGAGCAAUACUUCACUAUGAAAAUAAAAUUAUGUUCAAAUAAUACAAUGAAAAAAAAAAGAAAAAGGAAAAGUGUUUUUUUCUCAGAUCUGAAUCCAUGUCGUGAAAAACAUGUUGGGAAUGGUUUCCCAGAUUUUCUCCUGCUAUAUCUAUCUAUCAAUUGAUUUGAUGAUAAAGUUUUCAUGUUUACCUUCAACCAGUAUGGCAAGAUAAAAUCACAAUAGUUCUCCGCUUGGCUGUAUAGCUGGCGGACCCCACACUUUCUCACAUGACAAUAAUGCAAGGAGUUGUUGUCCAUAUCUUCCACGGAGAAUUCAACUGAGACUUCACUGAAAUUACCAUACCAAAAAUCUUUUGUAGCAUUCAAACAAGGAUCAUAUCCAAGAAAUAGGUGAUCUGACUGGAUAGAUCGUUUGUGCAAUGAGCCAUAGCAACUGGCAAAGUAGCAAUGGAGAACGCAGGGAUCAGCAUGGUCAUUCUUGAAAUGGUAAGUACAUUUAACUUGGAAUCCACCAGAGUCGUCAUAAGAUGGUUCGAAUGCAACAACAGUGCACAGCAUGAAACCCAAUAACUCACUACUAGCGCAAUGUGAAGGCAGCUUAAUUGUCACAGAAGCUGCUGAAUUCUGCUGCACAAACCACGCUGGAACUUUACAUCCAGGGAAGCAAAAACUAGAUACCCCAGCAGCUACUGAUGAAAUCUGCAUCAUGAAAAACAUGCUCAACUCUACCUCCAAUAAAAAACGAGAGAAGAGAUUAUAAUACGGGAUUGUACGGGGAUUGCACGUGCGUGCGUGCGAGCGUGCGUGCGUGCGUGUGUGAGAGAGAGAGAGAGACCUCAUUGUAAAGUCUUUUGGCAUAUAGCUGAAUUUUCAAGAGAGCAUAUGCCAUGAUAUUGUUGCGUGCAGUCUCAUCCAACAUGAGACAAUUAGUAAAGAUGAAUUCAAAAAUGUUUCCAUCAACUAUAGUUGAUGAGCUUGGGACUGUUCUCAGAGAUGUGCAGCUGUGUGCAUCUAGUUCUGCAAGCCGUGGGGGAAGUUUUUGUAAGGACCCAAGCCUCCUGCAAUAGCGUAAGCCAAGAUAUUGGUGACAUUUGAGCAGCCAGAGACAUCAACAAUAACAAUAGACUUCAACAAACAAAUACUGUCUGGAAGAUUCCCAAGUUGUUUACAGUCCCUCAAAUUCAAAGCAACGAGUCUACUCAGAUGUCCAAUAGAUUGGGGAAGUUCUUUGAUUGCAGUCUCAUUGAAAUUCAAAUACAUCACAUGCUCUGUAGUCUCUGGGUACAUCUUGAGAUUUGAGCAGCCAGAGAGGUCAAGAGCCUUGAGAUAUUUCGAUUUAAUAAUUCUUGGAAAACUCAAAAGGCUUGUGCAGCUUCUCAGAUCCAAAUCAACAAGCUUCUCUAGAAAUUGAAGAGAUGAGGGAACCACUUUCAGAGUUGUACAAAAUUGAAGAUUCAAUCUCUCAAGAUUUUUAGCCUUUGAUAGGUCUGGAAUUGUAGUUAGAUGCUCACAAUUACUAAGGUUGACCUCUGUUAAAUUCACAAGAUUCUGCACCCUCAUAGCAUUGAUAAAUAUAUAUAUAUAUAGUAUCAGUACAUUUUAAAAUUCAUUUGAAGGAGGAGAAAAAUUACAUGUGUAGUGACUAAACCAUACCUGGUCCCCCUUCCAAAGUCCUCGAACCUUGCUGUGUGAUAGAUUAAGUUCAACAAGGUUCUCCGGAUGAAAAUUGGAUGGCAAAGAUUUCAGAGGGUAUCCAUCCCAAUGGAGAUACCUCAACUCAUCAGAAAGUGAUUUGAGACCAUGAGGAAGGUACACUUUACAGUUUUUUCCAACUUCAUAAUUAUAAAUUAUGAGCAAUCUAAGAUUAUACUGUAGACACAAUUUUGUGCACCUGAAAUUAAACAAGCACAUGUGUACAAAUAUAUGAUUUUAUUAAAUAUAUGAAUGGGUACAAUCUCUAUGUAAUAUACUCUUUCAAAAGAAUAUAGCAAUCCUCUAAUUCUUCCCUUGGAUUUGAUAUAUGGUGACUUGAUUUAUUUGAGUAAUCAAGCCAAGAUUUGUGCUUUGCAAGAACGCGAAUUUGAGCGUGUAUUGCGAAGCGAGAUAUUGUGAUUUAAUGCUUUGAAGAGUACCUUGAUUUGUCUUCAAAGUGUUGUUGAAGAACUCUUAUGGGGCGUUUUGACUUGAUCCAAUAGAGCUUCGUUCUUUGUAGACUUCAAGCGUAGAUGAAGGAGGCUUGAGAACUCUUUGAGAGAGAGCUUCCUUGCUUGAAGAGAAAGAGAGAGAGCUUCCUUGCUUGAAGAGCUUGUCUUGAAGAAAAUUUGUAUCUCCAGGAAUCCAAUCCCUGCCUUUAGGUUGAGGUCCUCUAUUUAUAGAGAUCUAUAGGGGCUCUCAGGUCCUUUUCCAAUGUCACGCGGCAUAAUUUUAUUGGUUGGUCUUUAUUGACGGGAUCCUGCAUUUAUGACAAGAUAUCUUGAAUAUCUCAUCCCAAAUGUCAACUUUUCAUAGGCCAAAAAAUAUAUGAAGACUCAUUUGUUUUCUAUGUCAUUUAUUUCAAUUUUAUUUUAUCCUUUCUUUUAAAGAAUAAAAUAACAUAUGGUGAAAUUUGAUUAGUAGAAAAUUUGUGUUUCUACAGAUGCCCCCUCGAGACAAGUUCACUUACUUUUGGAACAAGUGGACAUGUCUCGAAAAAUAUAGUUGAGAGGGUUUUAUAUUUUUGACUAAAAUUUAAUUUGAUCAUAUUAGAUUUUCACAAGAAGCAGAUAAAUUUUAUUGUGAAAAUAAAAUAUGAUAAUCAAAAUUGAAAAUUUAUGGAUCAAUCUUGAUUGAGAUUUAUCAAAUCAAAUGAUAGAAUAUUCAGGUCCAACACCUCAUUUGAAACUGUUGCAUAUUCAAGACUCAACAAAAUUUAUCUUUAUACCCGUAUAGCAACCAAUAAAAUUUACUGCAAUUUCAAUUUCAAACAGCUCCAGAUAUCUUUAUUUACAUUUCAGCUGUUACCUUAUGAAAUGUAAUCACUUUCUCUUAGAAUAAGCAAAUGGAUUUCAAAUUAGUUGUCUAACAUAUUAUACUACGUACAGAAAGCUUUUAUUGGAAUACUUUCCAUAUAGUUCUUUUGGCCAUGAAACAAUCUCAUUUGAUUUCUUUGAACCUUUUAGGUCUCCGACUGUAAACCUUCAAGUCAUUUGUGGUAGAUUCCGCACCAUUCUUGAAGCCACUUCCACCGGGUUCCGCCUCAUUGUCACGCUUGUUAUCAUGGCAUCUCUUGUUUGUUCCCACGCCGGCAUUAGUGAAUUGUUCCGUUGGAAGAUAAAUUCCACAUGCAAGAAUGGUUUUCCCCCUCUGAGUGAUUCCACAUAAUUGUUGUACAAGCUGUCCAAAUUCCGUUGGAGUUGCUGCAAAUAACCGACGGUAUGGCAAGAUAAAAUCGCAAUAGUUCUCUGCUUGGGUGUAUAGUUGGCGAACCCCACACUUGCUCACAUGACAAUAAUGCAAGGGGUUGUUGUCCAUAUCUUCCACGGAGAAUUCAACUGAGACUUCACUGAAAUUACCAUACCAAAAAUCUUUUGUAGCAUUCAAACAAGGAUCAUAUCCAAGAAAUAGGUGAUCUGACUGGAUAGAUCGUUUGUGCAAUGAGCCAUAGCAACUGGCAAAGUAGCAAUGGAGAACGCAGACAAUUAGUAAAGAUGAAUUCAAAAAUGUUUCCAUCAACUGUAGUUGAUGAGCUUGGGACUGUUCUCAGAGAUGUGCAGCUGUGUGCAUCUAGUUUUGCAAGCCGUGGGGGAAGUUUUAGUAAUGAUACAAGCCUCCAGCAAUGGCGUAAGCCAAGAUACUGCAGCUCAGAGAGUUCACUGAUAUUUUCAGGCAGUAUAACAAAGUUGUUUCCACUCAGAUCCAAUGCUUCCAGUGAGGUUAAGCAGCCAAGACUUUUAGGCACUUCCAGUAUUCCGCAACCACUGAGGUUUAGCUUGCGCAAAUAUUUUAAAUCCACAUCCUGCUCAAGCAAUCGCAAGUCACCAAGAUAUUUUCCUUCCAAAUAUAUACAAUUUCCCAAUUCUAAGCAACAAAGCCCCUUCAGAUUUCUAAUUGGUGAGGGUAAUUUUUGUAUGCCUGUCCUGCCCAAGUAAAGAUAUCUCAAAGAUUCCAUUGUCUCCAAAAUUCCCGGGAAUCUCUGAAAUUGAGAGCAACCUGAGAGGUUGAGCUUUUGCAGAGAUUUCAACUUGCAGAUACUCCCAGGAAGAAUCAUCCAGAUGAAGUCUGUGAGAGUUGUGUCCUCAGCAAACAUCACAAAUCCAGUUUUGCCAAAGAAGUCAACUGGAGAGCAAAGAGGCCACUGGAGUUAGUACACACAGAUGUGUGUGGCCCAAUUACGCCUAUGUUGACUGGACAAAAUAGGUACUUCCUCACUUUUACUAAUGAUUUUAUUAGAAAGACAUGGAUAUACUUUCUGAAGAGGAAGUCAGAAGUAUUCAAUUGUUUUAAAGAUUUUAAAGCAAUUGUGGAGAAGCAAACUGGUUACACGAUCAGAACAGUGAGAUCUGAUCAAGGUGGAGAAUAUACAGCAAAUGACUUUGAAGCCUAUUGUACAUAACAAGGCAUCAGACAUCAGACAACACCAGCUUAUACACCACAGCUGAACGGUGUAGCCGAAAGGAAGAAUCGCACGAUUCUUGACAUGGCAAGAAGUCUGCUCAAAGCAAAGAAGUUGCCCAAGCAAUACUGGGCUAAAGCUGUAUCAUGUGUAGUGUAUCUAUUGAAUCGCUGCCCAACCAAAAGUUUACAAGGAGUCAUUCCAGAAGAAGCAUGGAGUGGUCACAAACCAAGUGUUACUCAUCUACGAGUCUUUGGUUGUGUGGCAUAUGCAAAGAUCCCAGAUGCAAGAAGGACAAAACUCGAUGAUAAAAGCGAGAAAUGCAUCUUUGUCGGAUAUGGUGAAAGAAGGAUGGGAUACAGGCUGUAUAAUCCCAUCACGAAAAAGGUGAUUACGAGUAGAGAUGUUAUCUUUGAAGAAGAUAAAUCUUGGGAAUGGAAUGGUGAUCAAGAAGCAGUCAAAUGGAUCAAUCUUGAUUUGAUCCUUGAAGGUGAAGAAGUACCAACAGUACUUGUCGAAGAACCGAUUGUGCCAGCAGCUGAACCACAAAGUCCGGUGUUUAUACCAGCAGCUGAACCACAAAGUCCGGUACACAGAUUCCCUGUAUUCAACAGGAGGAACACACCAGGAGCAUCAUCAUCAACACCACCAUCAGCAUCCUCGUUAGAAGGACCAAGAAAGAUGCGGAAUCUUGAAGAGUUGUACGAUACCACUCAGGUCAUGGAAGAUACAACUCUGUUUUGUUUUCAUGCAGAUAGUGACCCAUUAAGCUUCAAUAAAGCUGUCACAGAAAAGAAAUGGAUUAAAGCAAUGGAUGAAGAAAUAUAUGCCAUUGAGAAGAAUGAUACCUUGAAGCUGACUUAUCCACCAGUAAAGAAGAAAGCAAUAGGUGUCAAAGGGGUCUACAAGACGAAAGCCAAAUUAAUGGAUAAAGGCUACAAGCAGAGAGAAGGCAUUGAAGAGAGAAGUAUUCAUGCUUGGCAUGAUAUCCCUCGAUUGAGUUUAAAGGGGAGAUUUGUUGAAUCUAAACUCAAUCUAGAAGGUCAAGGAAGGCAACCACCACCCAGCCAACCACCAGCUGCCACCAACCGACCAGCCACCAGCCGCAGCAGCCAGCCGCCAGCUGCCACAGCCGCCAGCCGCCUUCACACCUAGAAAGUUGAAUUUUUUUUAUUCUGAUUUCGUGUAUAAAUAGAGUGCCCAGCUUGUGUUUAUUUGAGUGGAGAGAAUUGAGAGGAACACUAGAAAGAGAAAGAGAGAGAGAGAAGGCGUGUUUAAGCUUUUGUGUUAAGUAAUUGUAAGCUUCGGAUUUUUGUAAUAAAACAGUGUGUUUUAUCCCCUCUGAGUGUUUCAAAGCCACCACCAGUGGUUUCUCCCACCAACACAAUGAAGGUCUUGAUUUUCUUACGACACAAAGCAUCAUAGAGAUGGCUGGUAAAAUUAUUGCGCGUAUCCUUGCCCCUAAAACUAAGGAACACAUCAUACUUCCUUUUAUGAGCAACAGCAGAUGAAGAUGCCAUAUCAGACAGUUACAAGAUCGUGUCUUCCUCAAUCACUAAGAAUCGAAAUCAACAAGUGCUCUCCUUUUUCUCCUAAAGACAUACAAGAGCAGCCACUUCAACAGUUGAACAUUUAUUAAGAGAAAUUGAAGUCUAAGAGUACAAGAACCCACACAACAUAUAUUUGUCUGAAAAUUCCUCAAACUCUGAACGAUGGAUACAUACUAGCUUAAUUUGAUAUGAUCUAUCUUAAUUUGAUCACUCGUCACUUGCUACCAAUGCUAGCUUGCUAUUACUUUCAUUGCAAGAACAGUCACUAGCUGAGCAAUAAGAAUUACAGAUGGAAGAAUUAAUACGUUCAUAAAACAUACUUAUCUAACUCGUAUAUAUAAUCUUAAAUAUAGAAGACGCAUGAACCAGAAAGACUUACCAACAGAUCAUAAGAACAGUUGACUUGUGGUUUUCCAUCAGCAAACAAGACGAAGAAGAAGCUGCAUAUCGUUGAUGAUAACAGACGAUUUUUCUUGUCUAUUGCCUUCUCCUUCUCCUUCAAGUAAAUUCUUACAGACAAUCUGAGCUUCUCGUUAUCUAAAUGAAAGAUGGUUUUUGAUCAAGAAACAGUGAAUGUGAGAAGACUUUGGGGUCAUUAGACUCAAUACCAAAUUCAUUGGCCAAUGAACUUGUCAAUGGCAACGGUACCCCUCAUGGCCAAUGAUUUAUUUUUUUCUUUUUUCUUUUUUAGUGCCUAAUGGAUGGGCUUCCUAAAGUAAUUUGUUUGGGUCUUCCAAACCAAAAUCUUAACCCAUUUCGAACAAAGAGUCUUGGAAACAAAAUUCCAUUUAUUAUUAUUAUUAUUCAUAAAACAUUAUUAAUUUACCUAUGAUUUCCAUGGUAUUAUUGACACUUUAUUUUCUUAAAGCUAUUUAUUGGAUUAUAAUUUAACAUAAUGUUGAAGAUGUCUUUCAUUUAAAUAGGGACAAAAGCAUACACAUCAUAACUAAUUCUUAUAAGAUUUAUAGCAAAUAUAGAAAAUAAGCAUUAUGUUGGAAAUAUGUAUUGAGUCAUUUGCUUUUAGCUUGCAUUCAUUUAAAAAAAAAUAUUCUCGAACUAAAAAAUAUUGUUUCCUUCUCUAUAAAAACAAAUAUUUUCUCUAUCAAAAUUAUCAUGUAAAUUACAUGAUAAGACAAUAAUUUUAAGGUUUAAUAAGUAAAAAAUAUCUAGCAUGAUUACUUCCUGAAAUACUUUUUUUUAUUUUUUUAAGUUAACUAGAUAUGUGCUCCAUGUGUAAUUCGUAUUAUUUUUAUAUUUAGAUUAACGAAGUACUAAUGUAAAAUACUAUUAAAAAUAUAUACCAACUUUACAAAAAUAUAUAUUUUACAAUUGAUGAUAAAAUAAUGUUCAUUUCAGCUGUUAAUUCCACUAAAUAGCAUGUAUCACCUAGUUUUAUAAUUUAAUUUAAUUUUUAUUUUCCUAUGAAAAAAAGUAAUUGAUCCUUUAACAUUGCUUUGUUUUGUGAUUAAUCUUGAUUAUUUAUUUUUCAUGCAUAUGCAUGAGAUUCUUGAUAUGUCACGGAAAUAUUUAAUCUCUUAGUUAAUCUUAGUUAAUGCUUGGUUUGAGAAAGCAAAAUUUUAUUUUAUUGAUUUCAAAUAAUUACAACUUAAAUAACCAAAUUUGAAGAUUAAAGAAAUGUUUAUUUAUUUUUUUCAAAAUUAGAGAUUGAUUUGUAUGGUUAGGAGGGAGUUCAUGUACUAUUUUUAUUUUGGUCCCUUAACUGUUUAAUCUCUUAGUUAAUGCUCGGUUUGGAAAAGUAAAUUUUAAUUUUAUUGAUUUCAAAUAAUUAUAACUUAAAUAAUCAAAUUUGAAGAUUAAAGAAAUAUUUAGUUUUAUUGGGUUAAAAUUAAGGAUUGAUUUGUAUGGUUAUGAGGAAGUUUAUGUCCUGUGUUUUUUUUUUAUCCCUUAACUUUUUUUUUUUUUAUUUGAUCCCUUCAUAUUGAUUUUAUUUGGGAUGGAAUUGGUAGUUUGUUUUGAAUGCCUUGACAUAGAGAUCUUACAAUAUUGAAAAAAAAUUAUGGGGCUUAGUUGAUACAUUUUGAUGAGUAAUACAAAUUUCAGCUAAUAUAGAACUACUAAAAUUUAGGAACUAAAAAAAAAAACAAAUAUAAAAACUUAGUAAACAAAUAGGAUAAAUAGGUUGUGGCACGUACCAAUGUUUGAAAGAUAUCUAUUAUGUCUAUUUAUGUUUUUUGCAUGAACAUACUAGAGAAAUUUCUCAUUUUUUAUUUUUGUGACUUUGGGCAUUUAUCAUAGGCUGAUAUAGAAGAGAAAAGAGGAGUUACAGUAACUAAUUGUGGAAUUCCAGAGGUAAAGUCAUCAUCUUUUCCCAAUAGGGUUCAGUUAGGAGCCUCAAGCAAAACAAGUAGCAAAGAGUAAAGCUUUAUGGGAUGAGGAUUGGGGACCUGUUUCAAAAGUAUCUUUCACUGCACAUCGACCUUCAGCAAGUAACUCAUCACCCACUCCAUCUAUUUCAGCCAAUCAACAAGUUCAGUUAGCAUUUUUGCCAUCAGAAUCUUCCAUGACAUAUGCAGUAUCCAAUACGCAGUAAGCCAUAUCAUGGCCUCCAGUUGAUAUAGAAUGGCCUCCAAGGACAUCUUCAACUAUUAUUCCUCGGCUAGAUGAUGAGGGAGAGGAGGGUGGAUGACCUGGAGUUAUAGGUCCAACAUUAUGUGAAGCCAUUGGCAAAGCCUUGCUGGCUAUUUAUAUAUAUAAAAAAAAGUUGUAAGGCCCUCUUUGUAUACUGUGAAAGUUCAAUAUUUCCCUUCUGUUGUUCUUUGCUUUUCUCUCUUGUAAAUGGCUAAUUAAAUUUUGCUUCGAGUAGGUAGCGCAUAAUUAUUUUUGUUUUUGAUAAGAAUAAAGCAACUGAAAUGCAACAUUUCAUUCAUUCAAGCUUUGACAUGAAAAAAUAUGAACAUGAAUGAUCCAUAUCUUCCAACACCUUCCAUCUACUUGACUACCCCUACAUAUCUAUCUUCUGCACCUAUAAUUGUUCUACUAAUCCUUCUCUCACUAGCCUUAGUGAAAUUAUUGACUAAUUAGUGCAUUCCUGACUUAAAUCUAUAUUGCUUGAAGUUCGUCUUCUCAAUGUGUUCAAAAGUCGUCAUCUUAUUAGAUUUUGAGCAAUGACACUGCUUGUUCAUGGGUUUUGAGAUGAAACAAUCUCGUAUCCAUCAUAAUAAGUCCAUUCCUUCAGCCAAGAUUUGCCAAACCAAGCCACCACCAAUUGUCCCUCUAGUUCUUGCAAAGAUGUAGAUGAUUGUAUAGACUGUAUUCAAGAAAAAUCCCUCACACUUGUACUGUAUCCUGGAUCUUUAUUUGAUUACCCGAAUUCAGCAAAAACCAAUGGCUUCUUUAAUAUGGUUUUUGAGUCUGUCCAAUGACUAGAUAUCCACAUUUGCAUGAAUUCCAUUUGUGCAUUAUCAUUCUGUCCAGAUACCCUGUAAAUUUGACAGAACAGUACCAUGUUAAUUAUCUUUGCAACAUGUCUUUUUAAGCUUGGUGAAAAAACAUCAUGAUUAAUUGAUUAUUAUUUCCUUUCGUGCUUACCAUAUGUCAGGGUAUGCAUGUAUUAUAGCAAAAUCACUAUCCCUAACGAGAUGAUUGCUAAUAAACUCUGUGUCAAUAGAUUUAACAUAAGGUGCCAGCUCUUGAACCCAUCCCUGUCAGAUUUAAAGACAAUCAUUAAUUAAUAGAUGAAUUAUAAUUAACCUAAUAACUACCACAAAAAUAAUCAAUUACUCAUGGUUGUUGUUUCUUACAUUUAUAGGCUUUCCAGAGUAGUCAACCUGGCAGCGAGGUUCGUACAUCAAUUCCCAUGCAAUGAUGGUUGGCUCAUCCAUAUAAGCAACUCCAGUGAUCGUGGUGAUCCUUGUUAACACUCUAUCUGUUGAAAAAAAAAGAAAGAAAAGAAACAUUAUUCAUCUCUAAUCAUAACAUUACAGAAGGGAAAUUUGUCAUAUUUGAUUUGGUGCUCAAAAUAUGUAACUUGACAUGGUUCUUGUGAUAGCCCUUCACAACAACGUUUGUAUAAAUAAAAAUCAUCAUCGUUGUUUACUGGCACUCCUGCGGCUCUAACCCAAUUCACGUAUUACGGUCUCCCUCCAAAGUCAUGGUAAUUAUUGCUUAAUGUCAAGAUUGAGCGAAUUAUGUACUUUCUUGCCUCAGAAAUCAUAAAAUCAAGUCCCUGAGAAUUAUAAACAGUAUUUAGCAUUGCUUAGAUUUUUCUUAGUUGGGGAACAAGUUAAAACACAAUUUUGGAGACAUAAAUAUACAAGCAUAUACCUGAAAGACAUGCUCACUACAAACCCCAGGAGAAAUCUGCAGAGCUUGAUAACCUUCAUCACUAAAUGUCCAUGUUCGACAGACAGUAAGACCUGUGUCAGCAGCCGUGCGAAAUACAUUAGAUAUUUUGUACCUUUGACUUGGCUGUGCUGCAACAUUCAUCAUCUAGUAGGAGUUGAACCCAUUAAAAAGGAAUGGAGAGCCACUUAGGACAAAUUAGGUGUUUGUAAUUUGAAUGAAUCCAGACGUAGGAAGCCCAUCUUUAUAAGUAACAAAGGCUAAAAACAAUAUAAUAGUACCAAAAAAAGCAAAGCUUACAUCCCUAAAGCUUGCCAUCUUGCUUGAAAUUUAUGUUUUAAUUUGCCUUUGGUUGAUUCGUACUUGAAAGGAUGGAUGUGAGGACAAGUUAGGGAGAUGUGGUGCCUGUUUAUAGAAGUGAAGGGUGAUGAGCAUAUAGAGGUUCUUAAUUUAAUAUAUAUGAAAUGUUUAAGAGAAUGAAAAACUAUUUAUUUACAUUUUAGGAAAAGAUAAACAUACAGAAAAUUAAAUUUGGAUAAUGUUAUUUAAAGGGAACAUGGAAUUGGUGAGGAAUUUAUAAGAUGUAACAGAAAUUGUUGAGUAUCAUCCUUAAAAUGAUGAUGGCUAAGUAUGGCUAAUCUAAGAAUUAGGAAAUGAUCAAAUAUAAAUUAUUACCAGCCUUAUUCAUUGUAGUUCUCAUAAUCAAAUAUUUUGACUCUUCACAAGAACAUCUUCCACUCUAUAGACAAUAAAGCAGUUUGAAUGGCGUUAAGGAAAAAAAUAACAUUAUUAUUUAUUAUUAAAUUGAUGUUGGGCUUACAAUGUUUAUGAAUUGUUUAAUUCAAUAGUAAUUAUAUUGAUUAGAUAUAUUAAAAUUCCUUAUUUAAUAAGUGCAUGGAUAUUGACCCAAAUUGACCCAAAUAUAUGGUUAUUUUUUAUUUGAUGGAUAAUAGGUAGAGUAUGAAUAUUGUCAAACAUGACCUGAAAUCCCAAAAUAUAUAUUUAUAUAUAUAAUAUAUAUAAUUUUAUUUUUAUUAAUUGACAUGCAAUUUUCAAAGGGUCUUUUAGAGACGAAGCUUUAUCCUUUUAGUUUGGUGAAAUAGCAUUCCCAAAGUCUAUGUAAGAAUUAACCUCCUUAUCAACUUGGCUACAAACACCAAUUUGAUAAAAAAAAAAAUUUACAAAUCUGUUGCAGAAAUGAAAAAAAUUCUAUCAACCAAAAUUUGAUAUUUUUUUUUGAAAAGAUAAAAUAAAAUUAAAAUAAAUGACAUGAUAAAAAAAUAAAUAGACCUUUAUAUAUUUCUGAGUCAAUGAAAGGUUGACAAGUGGGAUAAGAUAUUUAAGAUAUCUUAUCAUAUAUAUAUAUAUAAGAUUUUAUAAAUAAAAAUCAACAAAUGAAAUAAUAUCAUGUGGCAUUGAAAAAGAACUUGAGAGCCCCUACAAAACUCAAAAUAAAGGGCUUACCCUAGAAAAAAAAAAGAUUUUUUGGAGAUACAAAUUUCUUUUCAAAACAAACUCUUCAAGCAAGAGAACUCUCUCAAAAGCUCUCAACAAACGAAACUAUGUUGAAUCAAGCAUAAAUGCCCCAUAAGAGUUUUUUAACAACACUUUGAAAACAAAUUAAAGAUACUCUUGAAAGCAUCAAAUCAUCAAAUAUUAUUCUUCAAUACAUAUCUAAAUUUAGGUUCUUGCACGACAUAAAUCUUGGCUUGAUUUCACAAAUAAAUCAAAUCACCAUAUACCAAAUUCAAGGGAAGGAUAAAAGAAUUGUUUACUCUUUUGCAAGAAUAUUUAAAAUAGAGAUUGUACCUAGUCAUAUAUUUAAUAAAAUCAAAUAUUUAUACACAUGUGCUUAUCAAAUUUCAGGUGCUCAAAAUUGUGUUUAUAAAUUUCUAGCAUAAAAUCAAACAUCUAUACCUCUCGUGUCUUCCUUUCAGAAAGAAUUUCCAACAACCUCUCAAUGACAACUAGGAAGAGCAUGAUCAUCGUUGUCGCUUAAAAAAAAAAUACAAGGCUAUUGAUUCAAGUCACCGAUAUACCGUUGAAGAUUCUUCAACCUGUCAUUGAAUACAAAAUUCAUCGCAGAAUUGUAUUUGCAAACUAAGCCAAUUAUUGAGCUAAUGUCAGCAUCAAAUGCAAAGGAGGCAUGAGAGUUUGCUCCAAAACUGAAGCUACAAGUACCUCCACCAUAAAAGUCAAGUAGGGUCCGUAGGCUUUUCUUCGGCACUUAAGGUGAGUACUCUGAAAAUUCACCUAUAGAGACUUCUUCAUGUCAAUCACCAAGUAAGGUUUUGGGUUUUAGCAUCAUAUUAGUGAUGAUGAUCGAGACUGCAUCUUUGGAGAAUCAAGUGGCUAACUUGUCAAAAAUCUUCGAAGGGCUUUCAAGUUCACUCAAGGCAAAAGAGCACUAGAUAAAAAAGUUGAUAAACAAACUCGAGAGCAUGAACGAGGGAGGCCAAACUGCAACUAUAAAGGAUUUGCAAGUAGAUCAAUUAGAUGUCAUUGAGGAUUCUAUAAUUGGAGCCACAAGGAAUAUCCACGGUAUUAUCGAUGGCAUCUUCACCACGAAUUAACUGAAAGAACUUAUCAAAAAAAGUCAUAACGGACAAAAUAGAAAGAUCAAUUCAACCUUCAUAUUCUUAUGUGAAGCUGUACAAAGAAAGGAUUAACCUGCUAAGGAUGCCUUUGAGCUAUCAACCAUCAAAGUCUCAAUAAUAUAAUGGAAAAGAGAAUCCAAGGCAACAUGUAGCUCACUUUGUGGAGACUUGCAACAAUGUCAAAACGAUGGUGAUCUCAUGGUAAAACAGUUUGUCUAUUCGUUAAAAGGUAAUGCCUUCGACUAGUACACUAACUUGAAGUCUGGCUCAAUUGAUAGUUGGGAGCAAUUGGAAUGCGAGUUUCUUAACCGCUUCUACAACACUCAUCGUGGUCAGUAAGAUUGAACUCACCAAUGCACGUCAAUACAAGGAAAGCAUGUCAUUGAUAUAUUCAUUGGUGGAGAAACCUUAGCCUCGAUUGUAAGGAUCGACUCAUCGAAACUUAUGCGCUAAAUAUGUGUAUUCAAGGGAUACCCCGAGCACACAACUCUCCAGUCCACUUUGGCCAACCUAAUCAGACUCAUUAAAGUUACCGCCUCGACUUGGUAUCAUGCAAAUUCCUUGCACUAGCCCACAUCACAAUGUAUUAUUACGAACUCCAAAAAGUCAUCAUGGCAUCACACACCACCUACUAGUGCUACACGAUGCCAUCUAAUUCUCUAUUAUGGUGCCCGACCUCUGUAAUAGUAAAAAAUAUUAUUCUACUUCCCGUGCCAUCACUUCUAAUUAAUAUAAGCAGGAGGUGCUUGUUCAUAUUUAAUAGGAUGUGAUGGGUAUCAUAAUUACUAACACAGACCUAGAGUAUGGGAGCUUAGUGUAGAGUGACAUGUUAGUUAUGCACCCAAUCUAAGGGAUGUUGGGCUCAAUACGCCCAAAGCGCAGGAGAAAAAGGGGCGCAGACGUAUCCAGAUCCACUGUGAAGCUGGGCGUGGACACGACUAGGUCCAAAGUGGGGUUGGGCGUGGUCGCGCCCGAGCCCAAUUGUGGGACCGGGCGUGGAUGCGUCCGUGCCCAACAUAGAUUUGGACGUGGACGCGCCCGGGCCCGAUCAUGGACUGAACGGGGACGUGUCCAGGCCCAACAUAGAGUUGGGGGUGGUGUACCCCAACCCAACUUGGGGUUGGACACCCGAAAAGACAUAGCUCCAUUUUGGGUUAUGAUUUUCAUGCAUUAUCUCUUAAAUAAGGUUGAGUUGAGAAACUAUGACCCAUCAAUAUCCAAAAUCAUAAGAUUCUAAAAGACACAAAAAAAUCAAAUCUGUCCUCAUAACUUCUCAUAAGUUACUAGGGAUUAAAAAUAAAAAAAGGAGGAGAAAACAAGUCAACUACAAAGAGAAUAUUUUGUUUUAGUCUGUGCUCGUGGAGAUGGAGAGAAGAAAUCAUGGAGGGAAAAAUGGUUUUCUAUGUAUACUAGAUUGAUAUAUUGUUCCUUUGUAUGGGUUAUAUUAUAUAAAGGAUAUUUUUAUCUUUUAAUCAAAAUUAAAUCUUGAAGUAUAAUUUCUAAAGCUAUAGAGAGAGAUAUUAAAAUCGUUUUCAAACCUUGGUAGAUGAGUAAUUUUUCUAUUAUAAAUUGUGUACGGCUAACAGGUGUUUUAGUACACUUGCUAAGUCCCAUUUAACAUUCCAAAUUAAUUCAUGUGUUUAACGUUUUGUUUAUAAUUUAUUAUAGACACUUAAAAACAUCACCAUAUAAACUAUUUAACAUAUUUAAUUAAUUUAAUUGAUUUUUAUUUGAAUAUUUGUUUUUUAAUUAUUAUUUUUACCACAAUUCAAUAAUAAUAAAAUCUAAGAAAUACAUUAUUCAAAUAAUGGUUUACUAUUCAUAUAAUAUAAAUAGUAAAGAAUCUUAAUACAUAUUUUAAUUAGUUUAUAAUAAUUUUCUUGUUGUUAUGUGGCAGAGGCACACGUGAUAUGAUGCAGGUUGCAGCUCGAGAGUGGAUGGCAACACUUAAUUUUUUAUUUUUUACAAACAACAGGUAGUCCGUAACUUUCUUUUUUUUUUUAAGGACGAAUAACAUUCAAAUUCAUCUAAACAGGAACCUUAUGGUCUCUUUAAGCAAUGGAGCAAUACUUCACUAUGAAAAUAAAAUUAUGUUCAAAUAAUACAAUGAAAAAAAAAAGAAAAAGGAAAAGUGUUUUUUUCUCAGAUCUGAAUCCAUGUCGUGAAAAACAUGUUGGGAAUGGUUUCCCAGAUUUCUCCUGCUAUAUCUAUCUAUCAAUUGAUUUGAUGAUAAAGUUUUCAUGUUACCUUCAACCAGUAUGGCAAGAUAAAAUCACAAUAGUUCUCCGCUUGGCUGUAUAGCUGGCGGACCCCACACUUUCUCACAUGACAAUAAUGCAAGGAGUUGUUGUCCAUAUCUUCCACGGAGAAUUCAACUGAGACUUCACUGAAAUUACCAUACCAAAAAUCUUUUGUAGCAUUCAAACAAGGAUCAUAUCCAAGAAAUAGGUGAUCUGACUGGAUAGAUCGUUUGUGCAAUGAGCCAUAGCAACUGGCAAAGUAGCAAUGGAGAACGCAGGGAUCAGCAUGGUCAUUCUUGAAUGGUAAGUACAUUUAACUUGGAAUCCACCAGAGUCGUCAUAAGAUGGUUCGAAUGCAACAACAGUGCACAGCAUGAAACCCAAUAACUCACUACUAGCGCAAUGUGAAGGCAGCUUAAUUGUCACAGAAGCUGCUGAAUUCUGCUGCACAAACCACGCUGGACUUUACAUCCAGGAAGCAAAAAACUAGAUACCCCAGCAGCUACUGAUGAAAUCUGCAUCAUGAAAAACAUGCUCAACUCUACCUCCAAUAAAAACGAGAGAAGAGAUUAAAUACGGGAUUGUACGGGGAUUGCACGUGCGUGCGUGCGAGCGUGCGUGCGUGCGUGUGUGAGAGAGAGAGAGAGACCUCAUUGUAAAGUCUUUUGGCAUAUAGCUGAAUUUCAAGAGAGCAUAUGCCAUGAUAUUGUUGCGUGCAGUCUCAUCCAACAUGAGACAAUUAGUAAAGAUGAAUUCAAAAAUGUUUCCAUCAACUAUAGUUGAUGAGCUUGGGACUGUUCUCAGAGAUGUGCAGCUGUGUGCAUCAGUUCUGCAAGCCGUGGGGAAGUUUUUGUAAGGACAAGCCUCCUGCAAUAGCGUAAGCCAAGAUAUUGGUGACAUUUGAGCAGCCAGAGACAUCAACAAUAACAAUAGACUUCAACAAACAAUACUGUCUGGAAGAUUCCCAAGUUGUUUACAGUCCCUCAAAUUCAAAGCAACGAGUCUACUCAGAUGUCCAAUAGAUUGGGGAAGUUCUUUGAUUGCAGUCUCAUUGAAAUUCAAAUACAUCACAUGCUCUGUAGUCUCUGGGUACAUCUUGAGAUUGAGCAGCCAGAGAGGUCAAGAGCCUUGAGAUAUUUCGAUUUAAUAAUCUUGGAAAAUAAAAGGCUUGUGCAGCUUCUCAGAUCCAAAUCAACAAGCUCUAGAAAUUGAAGAGAUGAGGGAACCACUUUCAGAGUUGUACAAAAUUGAAGAUUCAAUCUCUCAAGAUUUUAGCCUUUGAUAGUCUGGAAUUGUAGUUAGAUGCUCACAAUUACUAAGGUUGACCUCUGUUAAAUUCACAAGAUUCUGCACCCCAUAGCAUUGAUAAAUAUAUAUAUAUAUAGUAUCAGUACAUUUUAAAAUUCAUUUGAAGGAGGAGAAAAAUUACAUGUGUAGUGACUAAACCAUACCUGGUCCCCCUUCCAAAGUCCUCGAACCUUGCUGUGUGAUAGAUUAAGUUCAACAAGGUUCUCCGGAUGAAAAUGGAUGGCAAAGAUUUCAGAGGGUAUCCAUCCCAAUGGAGAUACCUCAACUCAUCAGAAAGUGAUUUGAGACCAUGAGGAAGGUACACUUUACAGUUUUUUUCCAACUUCAUAAUUAUAAAUUAUGAGCAAUCUAAGAUUAUACUGUAGACACAAUUUUGUGCACCUGAAAUUAAACAAGCACAUGUGUACAAAUAUAUGAUUUUAUUAAAUAUAUGAAUGGUACAAUCUCUAUGUAAUAUACUCUUUCAAAAAGAAUAUAGCAAUCCUCUAAUUCUUUCCCUUGGAUUUGAUAUAGUGACUUGAUUUAUUUGAGUAAUCAAGCCAAGAUUUGUGCUUUGCAAGAACGCGAAUUGAGCGGUAUUGCGAAGCGAGAUAUUGUGAUUUAAUGCUUGAAGAGUAACCUUGAUUUGUCUCAAAGUGUUGUUGAAGAACUCUUAUGGGGCGUUUUGACUUGAUCCAAUAGAGCUUCGUUCUUUGUAGACUUCAAGCGUAGAUGAAGAGGCUUGAGAACUCUUUGAGAGAGAGCUUCCUUGCUUGAAGAGAAAGAGAGAGAGCUUCCUUGCUUGAAGAGCUUGUCUUGAAGAAAAUUUGUAUCUCCAGGAAUCCAAUCCCUGCCUUUAGGUUGAGGUCCUCUAUUUAUAGAGAUCUAUAGGGGCUCUCAGGUCCUUUUCCAAUGUCACGCGGCAUAAUUUUAUUGGUUGGUCUUUAUUGAACGGAUCCUGCAUUUAUGACAAGAUAUCUUGAAUAUCUCAUCCCAAAUGUCAACUUUUCAUAGGCCAAAAAAAUAUAUGAAGACUCAUUUGUUUUCUAUGUCAUUUAUUUCAAUUUUAUUUUAUCCUUCUUUAAAGAAUAAAAUAACAUAUGGUGAAAUUUGAUUAGUAGAAAAUUUGUGUUUCUACAGAUGCCCCCUCGAGACAAGUUCACUUACUUUUGGAACAAGUGACAUGUCUCGAAAAAUAUAGUUGAGAGGGUUUAUAUUUUGACUAAAAUUUAAUUUGAUCAUAUUAGAUUUUCACAAGAAGCAGAUAAAUUUUAUUGUGAAAAUAAAAUAUGAUAAUCAAAAUUGAAAAUUAUGGAUCAAUCUUGAUUGAGAUUUAUAUCAAAUCAAUGAUAGAAUUCAGGUCCAACACCUCAUUGAAACUGUUGCAUAUUCAAGACUCAACAAAAUUUAUCUUUAUACCCGUAAGCAACCAAUAAAAUUUACUGCAAUUUCAAUUUCAAACAGCUCCAGAUAUCUUAUUUACAUUUCAGCUGUUCCUUAUGAAAUGUAAUCACUUUCUCUUAGAUAAGCAAAUGGAUUUCAAAUUAGUUGUCUAACAUAUAUACUACGUACAGAAAGCUUUUAUUGGAAUACUUUCCAUAUAGUUCUUUUGGCCAUGAAACAAUCUCAUUUGAUUUCUUUGAACCUUUUAGGUCUCCGACUGUAAACCUUCAAGUCAUUUGUGGUAGAUUCCGCACCAUUCUUGAAGCCACUUCCACCGGGUUCCGCUCAUUGUCACGCUUGUUAUCAUGGCAUCUCUUGUUUGUUCCCACGCCGGCAUUAGUGAAUUGUUCCGUUGGAAGAUAAAUUCCACAUGCAAGAAUGGUUUUCCCCCCUGAGUGAUUCCACAUAAUUGUUGUACAAGCUGUCCAAAUUCCGUUGGAGUUGCUGCAAAUAACCGACGGUAUGGCAAGAUAAAUCGCAAUAGUUCUCUGCUUGGGUGUAUAGUUGGCGAACCCCACACUUGCUCACAUGACAAAAGCAAGGGGUUGUUGUCCAUAUCUUCCACGGAGAAUUCAACUGAGACUUCACUGAAAUUACCAUACCAAAAAUCUUUGUAGCAUUCAACAAGGAUCAUAUCCAAGAAAUAGGUGACUGACUGGAAGAUCGUUUGCAAUGAGCCAUAGCAACUGGCAAAGUAGCAAUGGAGAACGCAGACAAUUAGUAAAGAUGAAUUCAAAAAUGUUUCCAUCAACUGUAGUUGAUGAGCUUGACUGUUCUCAGAGAUGUCAGCUGUGUGCAUCUAGUUUUGCAAGCCGUGGGGAAGUUAGUAAUGAUACAAGCCUCCAGCAAUGGCGUAAGCCAAGAUACUGCAGCUCAGAGAGUUCACUGAUAUUUCAGGCAGUAUAACAAAGUUGUUUCCACUCAGAUCCAAUGCUUCCAGUGAGGUUAAGCAGCCAAGACUUUUAGGCACUUCCAGUAUUCCGCAACCACUGAGGUUUAGCUUGCGCAAAUAUUUUAAAUCCACAUCCUGCUCAAGCAAUCGCAAGUCACCAAGAUAUUUUCCUUCCAAAUAUAUACAAUUUCCCAAUUCUAAGCAACAAAGCCCCUUCAGAUUUCUAAUUGGUGAGGGUAAUUUUUGUAUGCCUGUCCUGCCCAAGUAAAGAUAUCUCAAAGAUUCCAUUGUCUCCAAAAUUCCCGGGAAUCUCUGAAAUUGAGAGCAACCUGAGAGGUUGAGCUUUUGCAGAGAUUUCAACUUGCAGAUACUCCCAGGAAGAAUCUUAAAUUUUGUACAGUUUCGUAGAUGCAAUUCAACAAGUUUGUAAAAACACCCGAUUGACGAUGGGAUUUCUUCUAUUGUUGUCCCAUUAAAAUACAGCUCUUUUAUAUUACACCAAACAUUUGGAAACUCUGUGAUAUUGGAGCAGCCAGAGAGAUUAAGUUUCUCAAGAUAUGCCAACUCAUAAAUGGUACUUGGAAGAUUCUUGAGCCUUCUACAGUUGGACAGAUCCAAAGAAGAGAUUAUCCAGAGAUGACCAACAGAAAAUGAAAAUUCUUCUACUGCAGUUCCACUCAAGUAUAAAUACCUUGUAUUCCCUGGUAUGCUCAGAAACUUGGUGACAUUUGAGCAGCCAGAGACAUCAACAAUAACAAUAGACUUCAACAAACAAAUACUGUCUGGAAGAUUCUCAAGUUGUUUACAGUCCCUCAAAUUCAAAGCAACGAGUCUACUCAGAUGUCCAAUAGAUUGGGGAAGUUCUUUGAUUGCAGUCUCAUUGAAAUUCAAACACAUUACAUGCUCUGUAGUCUCUGGGUACAUCUUAAGAUUUGAGCAGCCAGAGAGGUUAAGAGCCUUGAGAUAUUUCGAUUUAAUGAUUCUUGGAAGACUCAAAAGGCUUGUGCAGCUUCUCAGAUCCAAAUCAACAAGCUUCUCUAGAAAUUGAAUAGAUGAGGGAACCACUUUCAGAGUUGUACAAAAUUGAAGAUUCAAUCUCUCAAGAUUUUUAGCCUUUGAUAGGUCUGGAAUUGUAGUUAGAUGCUCACAAUUACUAAGGUUGACCUCUGUUAAAUUCACAAGAUUCUGCACCAUCAUUGUACUGAUAACAAAAAAAAUAUCCAUGGUCAUAUGUGAAUACUUUCAAACUUCAUAGACCAAAUCUCUAAAAAGAAACAAGAAAUGAAAGAAAUUAAGCAUUCACAUACAUGACACUCACCAUAUUUUUUGUCAAAACUUGAUUGACAUCCCUAGGACUCCAUAACCUACUACGUUUUCCCAGUUCUUUUAUGGAUUCUUGUCGGACAAUUUCGAAAGCCAUUUCUUGCACCAGAUCAUGCAUUUCAAGCUUUCCAUUUGAAAUAGUAAUAAGGCACCUUUCAGCAAGAAAAAAAACUCCAAUAUUUGUUGAGAAACCACAACCAUCCAGUAUUCUCUUCACGUAAUCAAUUUGCUUCCCUUUAAAGAAACACGCAAUAUCAAGAAAUAUGUUCUUCUCUUCAUCACCAAGUGCAUCAAAACUUACUUUCAACAUAUUAUAAAUUUUCAGCUGAGGAUUUCUUUCAAGUUUAUUCAAUGCAUUUUCCCAGUCCUCUUUCCUUAGGUCAAAUAGAAAGGAACCCAAAACAUUAAGAGCCAAUGGGUUUCCUCUAGCAUAAUUUACUGCCCUGAUUGAUAGGCCCAUAUAAUCUUUUGGAAUGUGGUUUCCUUUGAAGACAGACAAACUGAAGAGUUGACGAGCUUCACUGCAAUUUAAUUCCUCGACCUCAUAAAUUUCAUCAGCCACAUUCUUAAGCACUUGUCUAUCUCUGGACCUCAUAUAUUUCAUCAGCCACAUUCUUAAGCACUUGUCUAUCUCUGGACGUUACAAGAAUUCUACUUCCUGGACCAAACAUAUCAUGCCUUUCAAUUAAACAUUCCACUUGUUCUACAUCAUUCACAUAAUCUAGAACAAUUAAGACUUUUUUGUGCCGGAUCCUUUCCUUGAUUAAAGUGGAUCCCAUGCGUGGAGUGUCAAUAGUAGAUUUUCCUGCUCUAAUACUCUGGAAAGGAAUUCCUCUCGCAAGCGAAUCAAGCCACCACAUUCUUCCGAUUUCUCUCUUACAUUGGUAAUAAAACAGCAGCUUUCAUAUUGACUUGAAAUUCUGUUGAAAACAGCUUCAGCAAUGGUUGUCUUACCUAUACCACCCCAUGCCCCAUAUUCCGAUUAUACGAGCUUCAGAUGAUCUAAUGCAUAAAAGUGUUUUGAGUCGUUCAAUGCGUGAAUCUAUCCCAACUAGGCCCUUAGAGUCACCUAAUGAUGUGUGGUUCAAUUUUUUCAAAAUGAAUUGCACAAUUUCACUUACAAGUUUGGACUCGGGCCUACCAAAUACAAGGAACAAGCGUUAGUAAAACAAAAGUUAUCCAAAAAAAAGUAAAUAGAAUAAUGAAGAUAAUGCAGUAUCUUUUUAUUUUUUAUUUUUUUGUUAAGAGUUCAUUUGGAAUUUUUGUGAUCAUUACGCUUGUAGCAACUAACUCAAAUUUCUUAAAUUUAUAAUGUUUCUUGAAAUUCACCAGUGCAUAGCAUUUUUAAGGCUGAUUUAGAAGUCCCAGGAACAUAUACAAUUUAAAAGUUAUAAUUUUGCACAAGUAAACCCACAAGAAGUGCGGUGACACAAGACUGGGCAAUUAAGUUCCAUCACAGUAAUAGUCCUUCUGUGGAUUCAAAUUAACAUGGGAAUCAGUUUUAAAAGCUCAAACUGAGAUAUUAUAACCUUUAAGUGAAAUAAAUUUAUGCUUUUUAAAGUUAUUAUCCUAAACUGGAAAACAUAAACUAGUUAAAUUGCUAAAGAACAUGUCUAAGGACUGCGCCCCUUUUAAGCGAUUAUACUAAAUGACCAUUUCAUGAUGAGCAAGUAUAAUUUGGUUUGCAUACUGAAUAAUGCUAGAAAUACUUAAUUCUGACAUAAUUGAUGUGUUACCUCAAAAAGGAUCGAGUUACUUCACCUAACUAAACAAUGUACUAAGCUAGUAAUUCGAUAAUUGCCAAGUGUUGAUUCUUAAAAAACUUUUAUUAGUAAAGAACAAUGGCAGAUUCUAUUACCAUGUUCAAAAACAUUUAGCCCCUUUGUCUAAUUAGUGUUUUGAAAUUUAAUGUGGAACGGUAACUCCAUCAUUUCCAGGGCAGCUAAAAAUAAAGAAACUUGCAUUCUUUCAAAUUCUUGAAAGUGCAAAGUAAGGGAACUUUAUUGUUCUUAUUUAUUUUCCAACCCUUAGCUAGUUCCAUACCCAUUGGAAAUCAGCCUUUUUAACAUUAUGCAUAAUUUUAGCUAUAUUAGAAAAUGGGCAUGCUAAAAAUGGCACAAAUAAUACUUAUAUUCACGUAUUCAAGUGAAACCUGCAAAUGGUAUAGAAUAGAGAGAAAAGGUUACCUAGUGACUUGUGAAUCCCAUCCAGAAAUAUUGGCCGCAUUUGUCAAGUCAGCUCUCCAGCUUGAAACCUUGUCUAUAUUCCAUUUAAAAUUUCUUUCAAGUUUAGCAAAUGCAUUUCCAAAACUCCCUCUCUGUUCAUCCACAUCAGAUGGGUCUACAUGAUAAAAAACUGGUAAGACAAUCUGCCCACAUGUUCUCUUGCAUUCCAGUAUCUUCACCAGUUCAUCCACACACCACGGAGAAGAUGCAUAGUUUUUUGAGAAUAUCACUACUGAAAUUCUUGAAUCUUCAAUUGUUCUCAACAGUGCAGGUUCAAUUUCUUCACCCCUUUCAAGAUCAUUAUCUAUGAAAGUCUUGAUUUGUUUACGACAUAAGACAUCAUAGAGAUGGCUGGUAAAAGUGUCACGAGUAUCCUUGCCUCUAAAACUGAGGAAUACAUCAUACUUCCAUUGUUGAGCAGUUGUAGAAGAAGAUGCCAUAUCCGACAUUCACUAGCUUGUGCGGAAAAUCACUUGAAAUUAGAAGUUCAUUGAUGCUCUCUUUUUCACCUAGUAAAGAAAAAUUAAGGAUAUAAAUCACAGUCGAUAACACUAAACAACAGUCGAGAAUUUUAAGAGAAGGACAAAUCACUAAACUCAUUAAACACUAAACGCUGAAACCCACCUUACAAAUAUCAAGGAUUCAAAAAUUUCUUCACAAAAAAAUCACCAGAUCCUUCCACCCCAAAAUGCCGACAUAAAGGGAAUACUUGCGGCCUGUUAAUGGACUAGAAAGUUAGAAACCAUGCUCAAAUGUAGGCUUACGCUCCAUAAUUUGAUAAGAACAUAACUUUUUUACUUAAAUCUCAGCAAAUAAAUCUUUCAUUCAGCUAAACUCAAAGGCAAACCGUGAGACUUGGAGCUUUACAGUACGCUUCAUUUAUCAAAUAAACAUGCAAUCUCAAUCAAUAAACCCAGAGAGAGUUGAUAAUUAAAACUAACGGUAGCAUCAAUUUGAAUACUACAAAGUGGAAAGAAGCAAAGAGUUUGGACUUACAGGGUGGAUACAGGAAAGACAGUAAGAGGGGUUCGGCAGCAACUUUCUUGUUUGAUGUUUCAGUCAGCCAAGAAACCAUAGAAGAAAAACAACACUGAUUCCUGUUUCCACCAAGAGAUCGAGAACGUCACAAGAUGAUCUUUUCCAUGGAAAAUGGAUACCAAAGCUAAAAGGGAAGACAAUUCCUAACUAUUGGUCAAGUAGUUUACUGGCGAAGCAGACAUUUCUUUUAAAAAAAUUAAAAUAAUUUGUAUAAAAUUUAAUUGUUUUAAUAUAUCUUAUUAUUUUGAGAUCAUUCAAAAACAAUAUUAUCAUUUGUUAAAAUAUAUAUGUACUCAAAAAUAUUUUUUAAAAUCUGAAAAAAAAUGUCAAAUGUCAUUGGUCUCUCUCUUAACUAAAACUUUCACACUAUUAAUAUAUCAACAAAUUAUUUAAUUUAAUAUAAUCUAGAGCCAAAUUUAAUAAUAUAAUUAUAAAAUUAUAUUAUUAAUUGAUUUUCUUAAUUUGAAAUAAUAAUUAAUAAUCAAAAUAACAAUGAUGAAUUAUAUAUCCAAGUUUCUUUCAAAUCUCAAAAGCAACUAUUAAAAACUCACAUGUGUGAUUGUGAAUGUAGUCAAUAUGAGAUUAUCAAAUACCCAUAAAAAUAAAGCAAACCUGAAUAAUAAUAAAAAAAAGAGAUGUAACCAUUAAAAGAUAGCUAAAAAAGCAGUAUUUUAAAAUUUAAAAAAAAAUAAGUUUUUUUUUAAUUUUUUUCAAAUUAUUUUUUUAUUUUCAAAUUAUUUUGACAUGCUGAUAUCAAAAAUAAUUUUUUUAAAAAAAUAUAUAUUAUUUCAAUACAUUUCUAAAAAAAAAUAUUUUAAAAAAUAAUUUUUAUCACUCUUGCAAAAAGACCCUAGACUGUUUGUUUAAAAUAUUUAUAUGUUUAAACUUAAAAAUAUUUGUUAAAGAAAUAAAUUAUUUCAAUAUAUUUAUAAACAAAAAGUAUUUCAAAGAAUAAUUUUGACUACACUAGCAUUGAAAUUUGUAUAUGUUUAAAUGAAAAAAUAUUUAUUUUUGAUAAAGCAUUUUAUCAUAAAAUAUUUGCUUAAAAUUGAUUAUAUGUUUUAAAAAAAUUAAAAUUUCAAAAUUACUUAAGAAUAAAAGAAUUUAGAAAUAAAAAUUUCAGUUUUUUCAAAGAAAUAAAAUCAUGCUCUUGUGUAGUGUAAGAGCGUUUUAAAUAUGAAAUGAAAUUUUAUCAAGUUGAUUGGUAAAACUUGUUAAACUAGUAUAUUAAAAAAAAUAACAUGGAAAUACAUAAUAAACAUAUUUGAAAACGUAAAGAUAUAUUAUAAGUAUAAUGAUAUAAUGAUAUAUUAAGCUUGACUUGAGUAGAGUUGUUAGUCAAGUUAAAUAAGAUAGUGACCUGGCAAAAUUUAGUACCAGAUUUUUCAUAAUUUAAUCAAAUCUAGUUCAAACUAAACCAAGUUAACAUCUAAAAAAAAUUUAAACAUUAUCGUCCUAAUUGACCUAGUGAGCAUGGAGAAUAUUAUUACCAUGUGAAACAAAUUUAAUGAGCAUACACAAAUUAUAUAUUUUCUGUAUUAUAAAAAAAUCCACAACAAUUAGAAUUUUUUUCUCUUUAUGGCAGGGAUAUGUAUGGAUGAGCCGAUACAUUACUUAUCGAGUAAAAAAUUUAAAUAUUCAUAUUUUAUAUAUUAAGUUUUAGAUAUUCAUAUAGAUAUUCAUUAUUUGACUAUUAUUUAAUAUUUAACAAAAAAAUAAAAUAUUUAAAGUAUGUAUAAAUGUAUUAAAUGAUAAGUGUGUAUCUUGAGUUAGGUUUGGGUUGGGUUUUGGGUCAAUUUUGAUAAUAUUUAUAUUUUAUUCAUUAUGUAAAAUAAUAUUAAAAAAAAGUUUAUUUAUUUGGACUGGGUCGGGUUAGAUAAAUGUUCAUCGAAUUUAGAUUAAAUUGUUAUGGAUAUGUAUUACAAUUUUAUAAUCAAAAUUAUUUUUUUAAUUCAUGAUUUAGGUUGUGAUUAAGUCAUUCAACCAUGGAUAAAAAACUCAAAGCCAAAGAGAAAAAAAAUGAUGGAAAGGAACCAUCAAUUUGUCCUUUGAUGAGCAGAACCUAAAAGAAAAGCAGAAUCCGACAGUGGAGGUAUAGGCAUCCGCAGAAACACGGAACCGUUCGCGCCCAUGUCUUUGGAAUCUUGAGAUUACUAAAAAAUGCUUGCAAGAAAAUAAAAGGUUGUUUUCAUAUUAAAAUAUAAUUAUUUAAUCUUUAUAAUUUUAAAUCUAUAAAUAACAUAAUCUUAUUUUAUUAAUUUCAUAUCUUUUUUAAUUUUUAAAAAAUAAAAAAAAAAAUAAAAAUUUAAGUACAUAGGAUCCAAAAAAAUAUAUAAAAAAAGAAGGUGUGUUUCAUUACCAAAUAACUUAAUUACCAAAUAACUUAAAUAAAAAAUAAUUAGCUUUGCUAAACUAGGAAGACUAAAUUUUAACUAUCGUAACAGAAUAAUAAUAUAUUAAAGUUGUCUCUAAAAGAUAUGCUCUCCAUUUCAUCCAUCAAGUUUGGAUUUUGUCAAAUUUUGCAAAAGAGAAAGAAGAAUACAUCACUGAUAAAAAUAAAUAAAAGAAUAACCUAAUUGUUACAUUCAAAUUUUCUUGGAUUGGACAGCAAUUCACACCUCUACAACCUUAUCAAAAUAAUUAUUAAAUUAUUUCUACCGUGAAACCCAAGUGUCAUAUUAAUUAUGCCUUCUCUUUUUAAUCGGGAGAGUAACAUCGUCAAAACCAUCAUCCCAUAUCAUGUCAUUUGUCUGGCAACAUUGCUCUCUUGGCUUGAAACAUUGCUUCCAAUCCAUCAUUGGCAUGCAGUAGACGAACCCCACACUCAACCACUUGACAACGAUCUAAUUGUAAGAAAUUGUAUACUGGUUGGAAAUGGUAUACUGGUUGGAAUUCAAUUGAGACCUCACUGUAUUCACUAAACAUAUCCUUUUCUUUGGCAACCAAACAGGGAUCAAAUACAAAUAUAAGAUAUGUGUAAAUGUUUAUCUUAUCAAACUUCUCAUGGAGAUAGCAAUAGAGAUUGUUGCUACCCAAUUUUUGACCCAUGUUUUGAUAUAUUUUCAAAAAAUCCAAAAAAUUGAGAAAAGCAAAGAAAAUCCAAAAAUAUGUUUUUUUAAUAUAUUUUCGUCAUUUUAGCAUUUUCAACGGCGUCUAAAAAAGAAUUUAAAUUGUUAAAAUAUUUUCAAACGCGUUCGACUUUUCACACGUCAUUUUUAAAAUCAUUGAUUUUCCGCAUUUUGAGUCAACGUUGAUAUUGCUCGUUUUCAAAAAAUACAAAAAAAUAAGAAAAAUCAAAAUUUACAAAAAGAAAGAAGUUGAGGGACCAAGUCGAAAAACCUAGUAAUAUUUUUGCCUAUAAAUACCAUGCUAAACUUAUUUUUAAAAGGGGGGGCAAUUUUGAAACUUCAGCAAAGAUAUAAAAGAAAAAACCCUAAACCUAUCUUUUGGUUUUCUCCAAACAGCCUACCCAAAGCAGCCGCCCCCUACCCGGUGCAUUUUUGACCCCGCCGUUUCCCAUCUUCUUUGCAAACACAGCCGCCCCACCUUUGGCUUGGAUUUUUCGAGACCAGCCCUCUCGGCCAAAGGAACAAACCAAAAACCCCCACCUCCUGCUUUUUUUUUUUUUUUUCCAACAACCGCCACUCUUUUUCUCCAAAACAGCCGCUGGUCCAACCAUUUUCUUCCACCUCAACUGGCCAGAACAGCAGCCCCAGCUUGGAUUUCUUUUUCCCCACAAACGCCGCCCGAAACGACCACACCACCACCGAAACUCCCCCCCUUGCCUGGUGAUUGUUUUUGCCCCGGUUUGGAUUUUUUUUUUCUCUAAAAACCAGCCGAAGCAGCCACUCCACUUCCCCAUUUCCCCCUCACCUUGUUGUUCCCCAGCCGAAACAAAAAAAGCCAGCCAACAAAGAAGGCUGCCUUCCCCAUCUCCCCGUCAUCUUCCCUCUCGGCCUGCACAGAGCCACCGCUCCUUCUCCCCUCCGCCGCAGUCUCCUAGCUUCUCCACCCGACAGACCCGAACGACAGCCUUCAAUGGUGCCCACGAACAACAGCGUCGCCGCCCGAUCUGCCACCGGGGAAGGAGACAGGAGCAACGGGCAGAAAAAAAGCUUCCCGGCGAGCCACCUAACACUCCUCAACAGAUCUGCGAUUGAGGAAGGAGGAAAGAGGAGCAGAUCUAAGACGAUCUGAAGAAGAGGAAGCAGCAGGCGGAGAAAGAAAGAACAAAAAAAAAACAGAUUUGAAAAAACUAAGAAAAAGUUAAAAUCGACUGAUGUGGUUGUUCUUUUUUGUUGCAGGUCACACCGGCGAAGACAGAGAAGAAGAAGCCAUUCGGGAUCUGCUGUUUCCCAAGUUUCUUCACGACGGCGCGUGAACCCACGCGCCGCUAGUGGCGGUGGUGCGUGGUUCCACGCGCCGGAACUGUUCAUUCAUCCCCAGAAGUCUUUCCGUGCAAAUUCAGGAGUUUUGAGGGACCAUUUUGUAAAUUUUAAAGUUUUAAUGUAACUUUUGUUUAUUUAUUUUAAAUUUGUAAUAUGUGAAUGUAAAAGAAAAAAAAAAGAAAAGAAAAAAAAUAAUAAUAACAAAGGGGAUGUGUGUGUUAGUGUAUUUUUAUUUAUUUAUUUUGAAUUUGUAUUUGUAUUUGUAUUUGUAUUUUGUGGAUGAAAAAGAAAAGAAAAAAGAAAAGAAAAGAAUAAAAAUAGUGAAAGUGUAUGUGUGUGUUUGUAUUUUGUUUUAUUUAUUUGUAUAUAUUUUUAAGGAUGAAAUUGCAAAUACAUUAAAGAAGAAUUUAAUAUUUUGAUCGGAUCACGGUUAAGAAUUAUUAACUUAUACGUAAGUGAUAUUUCUAAUUUCCGAAGAAAAGACAAUUAUUAAAACUUCUUUAACACGUCAAAGCCACGAAGCAGCUUACCUCAGGUAGGGUGCGUUAGGGGUGCUAAUACCUUCCCUAACCACAACCAGUCCCUUACCCGCGAAUCUCUGACAAGACUAGUGCAUCCGGUUUCCUAGUAGCCCGAAAUCAAUUACUAGGUGGCGACUCCAACGAACCAAAUUCAAGCAAACACAAUAAACGAGAUUUAAAUCGCCAGCCGAUGCCGCGCGCUGAGAUUUUUUGGGGUGCGACAGAGAUCAUGUCUAUCACCGUGCUUAUUGCGGAAGUGAUAUGUGCAUUUAACUUCCAACUCAAAGUCCAAAGAAUAAGAUGCAAUGACAACGCAAAGACAGAAACCCAAGAACUCGCUGCUAUCACAAGAUAGCUGGAAUGUUACUGUAGAUCCCCAACUUUGAUGGCUAAACCACUUCCUAGUCAUAACUCCAGGAAGGCAGAAACUAGAUGCCGAUGCUCGAACAUCGGACUUCUCCUGUUAACACAAUUCAAAUAGCAUCUUUUUAAAAUAAGACAUUGCAAAUAUAGAAGGAAAGAAAAAAGCAUGUUAGAGGUUUGAGAAACAUACCACAUGACAGGGUAAUCUGAACCUUUCGGAAUAAAGUUCAGAAUUCAAUAAUUUAUACGUCCUACGCAUGAUAGAAGAAUCCUCCCCUCUAGUGGCUUGGAACCUUGCUCUCUUGGCUUGGAACAUUGCUUCCAAUCCAUCUCGAUCCAGAAUAUGAAAACGAGAGGAGCCUGGCUUGAUCAAAUCAAAGGGAUGUAUCUCAUCUUCAUACAGUAGACGAACCCCACACCCAUAUACUUGACAAAGAUCUAAUGGUAAGAGAUUUCCGUUCAUAAAUUCCGGUUGGAACUCAAUAGAGACUUCACUGUAUUCACUAAACAUAUAAUCUUCUUUGGCAACCACACAGGGAUCAAACCCCACCAAUAUGUGUUCUGAGUUGAUUCGCUUCUCAUCAUACCAACCAUGGAGAUAGCAAUCGAGGUCACAACUAUCACCAUGCUUAUUGAGAAAGUGAUAUGUGCAUUUAACUUGCAAACUGUGACUGACAGAACCAAAUGCAAUAACAGCGCAAAGAAAGAAACCCAAGAACUAUUGUAAAGCUUUAUUGUUAUUGUUAAGCUUCUGUUUUUUGUAAUAAAACUUCGUGUUUUAUCCCCUCUUAGUGUUUUAAAACCACCACCAGUGGUUCCUCCCACCAACAAUUGGUAUCAGAGCCCCGUUCGUCGGAAAACAGAAGAGUUGUGGGGUAUAUCCGAAAUUUCAAAGUUGUCAAAAACAAGUUUUGAUCAUUCCAUAGUGUAGAGCUCAUCAAGACGAGUUCACUGCCGCAAAAAUCAGCCUGAUCGGAGUCCGGGGUGAUCCACACGCGCCGUCUGAAGAUCCGGUGACUGUCACCCACGCGCGCCCACGCGCUCCAGAGGAAGACGACGAGUGUCGUCCACGCGCGCCAUAUUCGAGCCGUGUAAGCCGCCUAAGCCGAGCGCCAGCCGAGCCGAUAGCCGAGUCCAGCCGAGCCACAAGCCGAGCCGUCCUCCGCGCCGAGCCGAGCCGUAUUCCAGCCGCAGCCGAGAGAGAAUAUUCCCCGAAUAUUCCCCAGAAUAUUCCCCAGAAUAUUCCCAGAAUAUUCCCCAGAAUAUUCCCCGAAUAUUCCACAGAAUAUUCCCGGUUCAACCCAGCGAACCGCCCGCCGUACAUAAUUGGUUUUUUGACCGGUUCACCCAUUUUUUGACCCGAUUUCAACAAAGUAAGACCGGUUCCCUACUAUUUGGACCAUUCCGGAUCGAUCUACAGUGUCCGUUUGGCCAAAUUCGGCUCCCAGAAAGGUGAUAUAGUCAUUCAAAGAGCAAAAUGACUACAGAAGGUACACAUACACUCAUCCCGAAGCUGACCAAAGACAACUAUGAUAGUUGGUGCAUCAGAUUGAAGGCAUUCCUUGGGUCACAAGAGUGUUUGGAUAUUGUACAAACUGGUUAUGAUGAACCAGAAUCCAAAGAAAGAGAAGAUGUUUUACAAGAGGCACAGAAGCAAGCUUUGAAAGUCAACAGAAAGAAGGACAACAAGGCAAAGACCAUCAUCUAUCAAGGUCUUGAUGAAGAUACAUUCGAGAUAAUAGCUUCCGCUGAAACGUCACAUGAUAUAUGGGAGGCUCUCCAACAGAAAUACAAAGGUGCUGACAGAAUCAAGAAGAUUCGUCUUCAAUCUUUGAGAGGAGAAUUCGAAUUAUUACGAAUGAAGUCCUCAGAAUCUAUUUCUGAUUAUCAUACAAGGAUUAUGGUGAUAGUCAAUCAGAUGAGGAGAAAUGGAGAAGCCAUCAUAGAUACUCGAAUUAUUGAGAAAAUUUUGAGAUCCAUAGAUCCAAAAUUUGAUCAUGUUGUUGUCGCAAUUGAAGAGUCCAAGGAAGUGGACAAGUUGACAGUGGAUGAGCUUAUGAGUUCUUUGCAAGCUCAUGAGCAGAAGAUUGUAAUGCGAAAUGAAGAUAAGGCCAUUGAGCAUGCCUUACAAGCAAAGCUGUCUUUCAAAGACAGAUAUGAGCAAGGGGAGACUUCAACAGGUGGCUACACCACUCAAGCAGGAAGUCAACAAUCCAGAGGAGGAUUUCAUAGAUUCCAAGGAAGAGGAAGAGGAUCUUGGAAUACAAGCUUCAGAGGAAGAGGUGGUAGAAGCACCACCAGAGGAGGCCGAGGACAACAAGCAUUCACUCCUAGAGGAAGAGGAGGCGGUUACAAUAACCGUGACAAGAGGAAUAUCAAAUGUUAUAGCUGCAAUCAAUUUGGGCACUAUAGCACUGAAUGCCGAAGGAAAACUCCGUUGAGAUACGUGAGCAAGCAACUAUGCAGAAGGAUGAUAGAGAAGAAACUGCAUUUCUUGUCCAACAAGGACAUGAGAAACAUGAGGAUAUAUGGUAUCUUGAUACUGGAGCCAGCAAUCACAUGUGCGGCUACCGAGAGUUAUUUCGUGAUCUAGAUGAGACCAAGCAAGGUCUAGUUACUUUUGGAGAUACCACAAAGGUUCCAUUCAAAGGUAAAGGCAGCAUCCCAGUUAAGUUGAAGAAUGGCGAUUCCAGCUACAUCGCCGAUGUCUAUUAUGUCCCAGCCAUAAAGCAGAACCUGAUCAGCUUAGGUCAACUGUUGGAGAGAGGAUAUAUCUUUUACUCGAAGAAUUGUCAUCUGGCAAUUAGAGACAACAAUGGGAGAUUAAUGGCCUACGUGAAAAUGUCCAAGAAUAGGAUGUUUCCUUUGAACAUCCAGUAUGAUGCAACAAGGUGUUUGAGCGCCAUCACCAACAGUGAAGAAUGGCUUUGGCACCUAAGGCUUGGACAUCUGAAUUUCACAAGUCUGAAGAUGCUAGUAAGCAAGAAGAUGGUCAAAGGUUUGCCUCACAUUGAUCAUCCAGAUGAAGUCUGUGAGAGUUGUGUCCUCAGCAAACAUCACAGAUCCAGUUUUGCCAAAGAAGUCAACUGGAGAGCAAAGAGGCCACUGGAGUUAGUACACACAGAUGUGUGUGGCCCAAUUACGCCUAUGUCGACUGGACAAAAUAGGUACUUCCUCACUUUUACUGAUGAUUAGUAGAAAGACAUGGAUAUACUUUCUGAAGAGGAAGUCAGAAGUAUUCAAUUGUUUUAAAGAUUUUAAAGCAAUUGUGGAGAAGCAAACUGGUUACACGAUCAGAACCGUAAGAUCUGAUCAAGGUGGAGAAUAUACAGCCAACGACUUUGAAGCCUUUUGUACACAACAAGGCAUCAAACAUCAAACGACGCCAGCUUAUACACCACAGCUGAAUGGUGUAGCAGAAAGGAAGAAUCGCACGAUUCUUGACAUGGCCAGAAGUUUGCUCAAAGCAAAGAAGCUGCCCAAGCAAUACUGGGCUGAAGCUGUAUCAUGUGCAGUGUAUCUGUUGAAUCGCUGCCCAACCAGAAGUUUGCAAGGAAUCACUCCAGAAGAAGCAUGGAGUGGUCACAAACCAAGUGUUACUCAUCUACGAGUCUUUGGUUGUGUGGCAUAUGCAAAGAUCCCAGAUGCAAGAAGGAGAAAGCUCGAUGAUAAGAGCGAGAAAUGCAUCUUUGUCGGAUAUGGUGAAAGAAGGAUGGGAUACAGGCUGUAUAAUCCCAUCACGAAGAAGGUGAUUACGAGUAGAGAUGUUAUCUUUGAAGAAGAUAAAUCUUGGGCAUGGAAUGAUGAUCAAGAAGCAGUCAGAUGGAUCAACACUGAUUUGAUCCUUGAAGGUGAAGAAGUACCAACAGUACUUAUAGAAGAACCGAUUGUGCCAGCAGCUGAACCACAAAGUCCGGUGCACAGAUUCCCUGUAUUCAACAGGAGGAAUACACCAGGAGCAUCAUCAUCAACACCACCAUCAGCAUCCUCAUCAGAAGAACCAAGAAGGAUGCGGAAUCUUGAAGAGCUGUAUGAUGCCACUCAAGUUAUGGAAGAUACAAAUUUAUUUUGUUUCUUUGCAGAUAGUGACCCAUUAAGCUUCAAUGAAGCUGUCACAGAAGAGAAAUGGAUAACAGCAAUGGAUGAAGAAAUACAUGCCAUUGAGAAGAAUGAUACCUGGAAGCUGACUUAUCUACCAGAAAACAAGAAAGCAAUAGGUGUCAAAUGGGUCUACAAGACGAAGAAGAAUGCCAAAGGAGAAGUGCAAAGAUACAAAGCCAGAUUAGUGGCUAAAGGCUACAAACAGAGAGAAGGCAUUGACUAUGGAGAAAUAUUUGCUCCAGUAGCCCGGCUAGAGACAAUCAGACUGAUGAUCUCACUAGCUGCACAACAUAGAUGGAAGAUCUAUCAACUCGAUGUGAAGUCAGCAUUUCUGAAUGGCUUCCUAGAAGAAGAAAUCUAUGUUGAACAACCACUUGGAUACAUUGAUGCUGAAAAUGAAGGCAAAGUAUACAAGUUGAAGAAGGCUCUCUAUGGUUUGAAGCAAGCUCCGCGUGCUUGGAAUACCAGAAUUGACAGGUAUUUUCAAGAUAAUGGAUUUGAGAAAUGUCCAUAUGAACACGCAAUGUAUGUGAAGAAAGGAGCAGAUGGCAGCAUCUUAUUUGCGUGCCUGUAUGUUGAUGAUUUGAUAUUCACCGGCAACAACCCUACCAUGUUUGACGACUUCAAACAAAGCAUGGUACAGGAGUUUGAAAUGACUGACAUUGGUCUAAUGUCACAUUUUCUUGGCUUAGAAGUAACGCAGAAGGAAGAAGGGAUUUUUGUAUCCCAAAGCGGUUACGCCAAAGAUAUUCUUGAAAGGUUCAAGAUGGAAAGCUGCAAUCCGGUAUCAACUCCAGUUGAGAAUGGAGUGGAAUUGAGGAAGAGUAAGGUUGGAAAUGUUGAUCCAACUUACUUCAAAAGCUUAGUAGGAAGCUUAAGGUACUUGACAUGUACCAGACCAGAUAUACUCUACGGAGUCGGACUCGUCAGCAGAUACAUGGAGACACCAGACCAGUCUCAUUUGAAUGCAGCCAAGAGAAUUCUUCGCUACAUCAAAGGCACAAUGAAUGAAGGUAUGUUUUAUACCUCAAGUAAAGACUUUAAUCUUGUAGGCUACUCGGAUAGUGAUUGGGGUAGAGAUUUGGAUGAAAGGAAAAGCACAACAGGGUUUGUCUUUUUCAUGGGAGACACAUCUUUCACAUGGUCAUCCAAGAAGCAAUCGAUUGUCACGUUAUCAAGCUGUGAAGCUGAAUAUGUAGCUGCCAACUCAGCCGUAUGCCACUCAAUAUGGUUAAGGAAUAUGCUGAAGUUUUUGGGAUUUCCUCAAGAAAAUCCUACGGAGAUUUAUAUUGACAAUCGAUCAGCAAUCGCAUUGGCAAAGAAUCCAGUGUAUCAUGAGAGGAGCAAACAUAUUGAUACACGUCAUCACUUUAUCCGGGAACAUGUGAAGAAUGAAGAAGUUCAACUGAUAUCUUGCAACACAAAUGAUCAAGUUGCAGACAUCUUCACAAAGCCAUUGAAAAGAGAAGUAUUUAUCAGAUUAAAGUACAUGCUAGGCAUGACAUCCCUCGAUUGAGUUUAAGGGGGAGAUUUGUUGAAUAUUAAACUCAACAUCCAGAAGGUCAAGGAAGGCAACCACCGCCUCACCGGCCACCAGCUGUCACCGACCAGCCGCCAGCCACCAGCUGCCACCGCCUAGCCGCAUUCACACCAUUGGCCGCCAACCAUUUUUCACACCAUGACGGUUGAAUUUUGAGCCGACUGAAUUUGUGUAUAAAUAAGCAUCUAAGCUAAGGUUAUUAUAAGUGUGGAGAGAAGAGAAAAACAAUAGAUAGAGAGAGAGAGAGGGUGUGUAUUGUAAAGCUUUAUUGUUAUUGUUAAGCUUCUGUUUUUUGUAAUAAAACUUCGUGUUUUAUCCCCUCUUAGUGUUUUAAAGCCACCACCAGUGGUUCCUCCCACCAACAAGAACUUGCUAUUAGUCAAAUCUGAAGAUAACUGGAAUGUUACUGUAGAUCCCCAACUUUGAUGGCUAAACCACUCCGGAGUCGCAUUUCCAGGGAGGCAGAAACUACAUGCCCCUUCUGGAACAUCAGGCAGCUGUAAACACAAUUCAAAUAGCAUCUUUUUUAAAUGAAAGGUGGCAAAUAGAGAAAGAAAAAAGAUGUAUAUCAGAGGUUUGAGAAACAAACCUGAUGGUAUAACCUUUUGAUGUAAAGUUGAAAUUUCAAUAAUAAGUAUGCCAAGAUAUGAUUGAAACAAAGCAAUCUCGAGCAAUUGGUGAAAAUGAAUUCAAAAAUGUUCCCCUUAACUACAGUUGAUGAGCUUGAUACUAGAUAAUGCAAACUCCUGCAAUUGUCUACAUCCAACUUUGAUAGUCGUGGUGGAAGAUCCGGUAAUGAUUCAAGUCUUUUGCAAUUCCUUAAUCCGAGAUAUUGCAACUCAAAGAGUUUAUUGAUGCUUAUAGGUAUUCUCUGAAAAUCGUUUCCACUUAGAUCUAACACUUCCAGUGAAGAAAAACAGCCAAGACUGUCCGGCACUUCCGAUAGACUGCAACCAUCUAGAUUUAGCUUACGCAAACAAUCUAAAUCCACGCAUCUCUCGGGCAAUUGCAAGUCAACAAAACAUUUAAUGUCUUUUAGAUAUUUGCAGUUUCCCACUUCCAAGCAGGCAAGUCCCUUCAAAUUUCUAAUCGGUGAAGGCAACUCUGUUAUGCUUGUCUGUUCUAAAUAGAGAUAUCUCAAACAUACCAUCGGCUUCAAAACUUCUGGAAACUUCCGAAAUUGGACACAACCUGAGAGAUUAAGCCUCUCCAGUUUUCUCAACUUGUAGAUGUUGCUUGGAAGAAUCUCAAAUUGUUUGCAGUUUCUUAGGUGCAAUUCAACAAGAUCACACAAACAUUCUAUUGAGGAGGGAAUCUCUCGUAUUGCUGUCCCAUUUAAAUACAGCUCCUUUAAAUUAUUUGAAAACUUUGGAAACUCCGUGAUACUUGAGCAACCAGAAAGACUAAGUUUUUCAAGACAUACUAACUUAGAAACCGUACUCGGCAGAUUCUUCAGCCUGUUGCAGCCAACUAGAUCUAAAUAAAUGAGUUUCCUUAGAUCACCAAUUGAAGAUGGCAGUUCUUCUAUUGCAGUUGCAUUCAAGUACAAGUAUCUUAUAUUCGUUGAAAAAUCAGGAAGCCUGCUGAUAGAUGAGCAGCCAGAGAUGUCAGCAAUUAGAAGAGAUUUCAACAAAUACGUGUUUUCUGGAAGAUUCACCAGGAGGUUGCAGUUGUUCAAAUUCAACGCAACAAGUCCACUGAGUUCCUCAAUUGAUUGGGGAAGCUCCUCAAUAGCAGUUUCAUUUAAAUUUAAGUAUGUCAGUUUCCUUGCAGUUUCUGGGCACUUCUUGAGAUUUGCACAACCAGAAAGGUUUAGAGUCUCCAGACAACUUGAAUUAAUUCUACUGGGAAGAUUGAUUAGUCUUUUGCAGCCUCUCAAAUCUAAAUCAACAAGCUUGUCCAGAUGCUGUAUAGAUGAAGGCAACAUAACCAAACUUUUACAGAAUUGAAGAUUCAAUCUCUCAAGGUUUCUGGCCUUUGAAAGGUCUGGCAGGAAAGUUAUGUGCUCACAAUUGCUGAGG
rnacentral:lncRNA from 1 species